AACCACAACAACAAUUUCCCAUACCAUACCCACCCCAACAACCAUUCCCCCAGCAACAACAACCUUCCCCACACCAACAACCAACUGGGAGCGAUGUUAUAAGUAUCAGUGGCCGAUGAAAUGAAGAGAUGUAAUACUAGACGGGUGAAUCAUCGUUGUUAGUCAAUUGAGCAUUUAAUGUAACAAUGAUAAAUAAAGUGAUGUGCACCAUCAUGUGUAACCCCGACCUAUACUAGUUCAAACAUGGGGUAAAAGACAAAUAAGUUCUUUUCUAAAGCACAUUGCUGGCAAUUGUUACAUUCAUGCCAUAUUUCGAUUUUCAUCCCUAACUACAAUCUCAAUGUUAUGCGCUAUCUACUUAUUUAUGAAGUGUAGUAUUAUGAACAUAACAUAUUAACGUGUGUGAAACUUGGUUCAAAUUGAUGUACUAUUAACUCGGGAGUAAGGAUUAAUGACAAUUUAAUAUUUCAAUGGAGAGCCACAUGAGUUGUGCAACCUUCUUAUCUGACAUGGAUCUACAUCAAACUAGGUGUUAAUGUUCUCCACAAACUCCAUGUCAGAUUUCAUUGUUCAUUUAUAGUGAGAAUAAUUGAUUACUUAUGCACUUUUCGCCUUUGAUGUUCCACUCACAAAAUAAGUUUAACUACCAACUAUCUCCAAAAACAAUCUUAGCGGGACAAAAAGUAUCCUCUGACAAAUCACGACCCAUCAAACAAGGUUCAAAUUUGAAGGAAAAUGACCCCUUCAACUUGAGUCAAACAAAUAAUUUGCAUACAAUCAACCGAAAUCAUUAUGGGCUUCUUCAGCCCUCCACUCGAUACACACCUACGCAGGGAGUCCACCAUUGCCGCUACCGAACAACAUUUUUGGAGGCGCACAUUAUCACCCAUAAACACAAAAUAAAUCAAAACGCAAUACAAGCCUAAAAGCGGUCAGUUCCUAGGGCCAGAAAAAGCUUGUUGACCUGCAAUUGCACAUGGUUUAUUUUUCACCUAUUUAAGUAUGAGUAUAAAUCCCACAGGGAAUACAUGAAUUGGACUUUGUCCCUAAGAGACACUUAUGGUAAUGUGCCUGCAUAUUAGUUUUUGACACAAAGCAAAGUGAACGCCAAAGAUUAUAAUGACUUCUGAGUUUAGUGCGAACAAAAGUAAAUAAUGCAAAAGAAUUAAAACAGCGCAGCGGAACGAAUAAAGCAGGGAAACCGGUGGAGGAUUGAAGCAUUCUCAAGGACUCCAUAAUUCCCAUUGCAGUGUGUCUAAGGUAACAUAUGCCACUUCAUAAUUCUAAGCUAGAUACUUGAGUCACUCUUGACAUUUGUUAUUGGGCGUAUCCGGGUACAAAAUACGUUCUACUCGAGGUGUACUCCGUACCACGAAGGCCACCACAGAAGCUUCCCCACUCUAGUUCUCACUGCGGUAAUUAAGGGUUUCCCCGUGGAAGCGGCCUUAUCAAGGGUUCUCCGUUAUGCCCCUAUCAGUUGCAAAGGCGAGGUAAAGAGUCUUUUACACUCACCUUGAAUUACCUCAACAUCCUAACCUUUACAACCAUGGUAAUAUGCCUCGUGGCCUUGCGACAGAAAUGGUGAGUGGGGCACCUUCACAAAAUUCAUGAAGGCUAUUGAAAAAAACAUUCAACAGAGAAUAUCACAUCCUUAUUAACAUUUCAGCCUCCUAUACAUACCAUGGUUCAUCCAAAUCCCUGAGAACUGAGGAAACUACUCACACGUUGAGACAUGGAUGAAACAUCGGAUAAUACAUGUAUGGAUCGUACGAAUAGUGGAAAUAGUGGUGGUAAACAUGGUUUAAACACACGGAUAAUACAUGUAUGGAUCCACAAGGUUUCGGUAUUACAAUGGGAAGGAGAUGGAUGAUGCUGACGUCCCCUUGCACGAGCUGGUGGUGAUAGUGAUCUCCUCCUUUCCUUAAAUCUGCAAGCACAUUUAAAACAACAUCUUGGAGAGAACAGGAAAAAAGAAUUGUGCAGACGCGGUAAAAGCUAGCAAAUUUUACUGUGUAGGCGGGCUUGUGAUGGCUGUGGCAGUGUGGAUCUGACUACCGAGUUGUGACAAGUUGUGUGGGGCGAUGGUGGAGGUCCUCCCUCUUCUGAGCGUGAUAUCUGGCGACGGUGGGUUUCGACAGUCCCUCUCACGGGUGUGGAGGCGGGUCAAGGGGCGGUGAGUGUUGGCCGUGGUUUAGGCUGGCACUGGCGGAUCUGGGCAGGGGGAUUCAAUGGAGAGGCGGGGCUGGCAUUGGUGCGACUUCUCAGCGACUGGAGUUGCCGGCUGUUCGGAGCGCCCCCGCCCCUCUUGAUGGGGUGGCGCCCCCCUCGUGCAUAUGUCGGCAGCGGGUCGGUGAUGCAGACUAGCCGCCGGGCAAGGAGUUUGACAUGGUCGUCCUUGUCGGGGUUAGUUGCUCCCCACACAAGUUUUAGUGCUUAGUCGCCUAGGAUUAGGGUUUUUUGACUCUGGGUCGUUGUCGGUCAAGCCAAGGUGAAUGCUUGCAGCUCUGUUGGGGGAGGCACCUCCACACAUUGUAGUGUCGGUGAUGAUUGGUAGAUGUGGUGGUCAGGGCUAUGAUAUGCCGGCUGGUGGACCAGUGCCUCAGUUCACAGACUUGGCAUCUACGCUGGUCUCGACGAUGGUCGUCGGCAGUCACCUAGCGAGGUGACUGAUGCCGGGCUUUACUUGCUGCGAUUUGUGCAUUGUGAAGCGAGCGGGUCUAGGUGGUGCUCGGUGGUGAUGGUUGUGUUAGCAUUGCAUUCGUGCGCGGAUCAGUGCCGGUGAUCGCAAACAUGGCGUGGUGCGAGCUCGCCUGGCCAAGGGCUCGGUGCUGGCUCACCGGCGGUCCCCCUACUCCACCGACCAUUGGCUGGGGAUGCAGGUGUGGGUGCGUCCUAUGGUGGAGGUGCCCAACCAAACUCUUGGACUGAGUCUGGGCUAGGAGUAGAUGGAGUGUCGUCGCUCUUCCUACCAUGGUUGGCUACGUUGUCAUGUGAGCGGCGUAUGGUAUUUCGCAACAAGGAUGCCGGGUUGGCGGCCCCUGAUGGCGGGCCGCAUGAUUGCUCUUUGGCAGCCAUUAUUUCGUUGGUGGUGGCUCCCCUCCUGGGUUGUGGGGGCAACGGGAGGUGUUGCGGUUAGUAGCUCAGACGUGCCCUCUCUCUCGGAGGGGCAGCGUCCUGAUCAAGAUCUGGGGAUCUAACAUCAACGCGCUAGUCCUGAGGACCUCGUGGUGGCACAGGUGAGUUGUCGAGCAAAAGCUCCGUGCCUUGGCGUCGCCGCUGACGACACUCAUGGGUGCCACACUCUUCUUGAAGACGUCGUUGUGGUUCUUCUCUCCGUGUCAGGGCUCCGGGUGUAGAACUUUGUCUGGUGUGGACUCAGCAGGGGCGACGCUGUGCGGAGUUCUCCCACUUGGGGCCGUUGUCGUGGAGCUUAGGUGUGCUAGGUCGUAGCGUGAGGAUGUUUUGUUCUUCCGGUGCUUGUUGCUGGUAGCGUAGAAGCGUGCGUUUUGCAUGUGCCGGACAACUCAGGACCGACUUUGUAAGGUCUACGUGACCAUAUUGUAUCGUUUGGCCGUGUGCAUCUUUGGAUGUUGCUUUGUUUAUAAAGCGGGGCAAAAGCCUAUUUCGAGAACAACGAAAACAACAGCAACAACAAACAAAUCAACAACUUCAGAAUAGUUUAUCUUUUAAAAUUUCACUUGCUUAAUAAACUACAUGCAUAGGACUUUCUACAGUGUUUUAGAGAAGGACAACUACGAUUUGCUAGCUAGCUAGUUAGGUAUUUCAACACAACAUCAACAGGAAGGAGGAGAAGAACUGUUAACAGCCAGGCAGGCAGGUGGAGAGUGGAUGUGUGAGAGUGAGGUCUCUCUGGCUUUUUCCUGUAUGGUACCCCUACUUCCUUCGCUGACAAAGACCUGUUCUGAAUCUGUAAUACUGAUUCACAGUAAUGAUGGUGGAUCGACUAUAUCUUGACUAAUCCAUGUACAACGAAAAUUACUACGUACAUGAUUAAAAAUCCAAGGGUCAAAUCCUGAUCAAUCGAUCCGGCAAAUUCUGCACGAAUCUAGCAUGACAUCAUGUGUGAUUAACAAGAGUUUCAAUUAUAAUUAGCCUCCGAGAAGCAACAUGGAGGAGGAUGUAGUCGUGUUUUUGGCCUUGUUAGAAACUUCGCUUUCCAUCAAUCUGAAAACAAGUGGUAGAGGGCAAAAAAAUUAAAAAAAACAUGUGUAGAGGAUACCGCAACACAUAAAGCCACACACACAAAAACAGCAGUAUGCUAGCUGGUCCAUGACAUUGACAAAUCAAUUGAUUUGCUGCAACCAUAUGUAUGAAUAAUAUCGCCAAGGAUAAGAGAAGGAAAAAAUAUAAAUAUACCGAUAGGCUCUUCUUUUGUUCAUGGAUGCAUGUUGCAUGAGCCAAGUGUAUUGGCAGUAUGGCUUGUGUUUGCUGCAUGAUGGCGGCAGGUUCCCAUUCAGUUAGGCAUGCUAAGUCCUAAAUUCAUUUAUUCACGUAUCAGGUAGAAGUAGAACAAAUUUCAUUUCUUUUCUGUAGGUUCCUUGCUUAAAAGAAAAUAGAAAAAAAUACACUUCUAUAAUUACCAGAAAAAAUCAACUGUAUGUCGCUCAGCCUUCCCUUUUUGUUCCGUAUCAGUAUCAACAAUCAUAGUACUAAUAGCUUUCUAUACUGGCGGUAGUAAAUUCAAUAAAAGAAACCUGGAGACUAUCUGAACAAUUUGAAACAAUAUAUACAAAUUGAGAUCAACUAACGACAAAAAUCCAAAAGAAAUGUUCAUGUCUACGUGGAGUGAAUCGAUCAAGCCGUGCAAAGCCCUAACAAUUCGUUUUGUAUUAAUAACUCAUAUGACAAUACAACCGCUCCAUAUGAAAAUGUAAUAUGAUGAUUCAUGAAUGCUUAUCCAUCUUAUAAAUAUAUUGUGCAAAAAAUAUCGAGUUAGUUCAGAGAAAACGCUGUCUAGAACAAUCUUCACAUUAAUAGUGUGAUCUAUCUCAACGACUCACACAAGAUUACAUAGUUUGUUCCCUUAAGUAUGCCAAUCUGGAUACGCCUAACAAUAUGUAGAACAUGACAAACUAAAUCAGAACAAGGGACAAAAUCUAGAUCAAUGUUUGAAGUGUAAAGUGAAUACGAUGAGUCAUUUGUCGUUAUCAAGCAUUCCAUACACCUAGAUGAUAUGUGCAAGAACAAUCAACUAUGACGAAUAAUCCAAAAUCACGAUAGUAAGUAGUACCAUAAAACACGACAUACCAAAUUAUUGUAAAUGAUAAGCUUAAGAGCACUUUUUCAAGAAGCACGUGUAAAGAUUACAAACUUAGUUCCCUUAAGUUAUGCCAAUCUGGAUACACCUAACAACAUGUAGAACAUCACAAACUAAAUCGGAAAGACGGACAAAAUCUAGAUCAAUGUUUGAAGUGUAAAGUGAAUACGAUGAGUCAUUCAUCGUGAUCAAGCAUUCGAUACAGCCAGAUGAUAUGUGCAAGAACAAUCAACUAUGAUGAACAAUCCAAAAUCAUGCUAGGAAGUAGUGCCACCAAACACAACAUAUCAAAUUAUUAGGUCGAUAAUCGUAAGUGCACUUUUUCAAGAAAAGAGUGGGAAGAUGAAAACAAAAUAUGUCAUGCCUGCUAUAAAUACGACUACACCAUGUGGGUCUCUUCCAUCAUCUAACCUUCAAACACCUAAAGCAAAAACACCAAAGCCAAGUGAGCAAUAGUAAACACAAAUCAAACAUGAAGACCUUCAUCAUAUUUGUCCUCCUUGCUAUGGUGAUGAGCAUCGCCAGUGCCACUAGGCAACUAAGCCCUAGAAGCAAGGAGUUGCAAACACCACAAGAACAAUUCCCCCAACAGCAAUUUCCUCAACCACAACAAAUCCUCCAACAACAAUUCCCCCAACAACAACAAAUCCCCCAGCAACCGCAACAAUUCCCCCAACAACAAAUCCCGCAACAGCAAAUCCCGCAACAACAAAUCCCCCAACAACAACNNNNNNNNNNNNNNNNNNNNNNNNNNNNNNNNNNNNNNNNNNNNNNNNNNNNNNNNNNNNNNNNNNNNNNNNNNNNNNNNNNNNNNNNNNNNNNNNNNNNNNNNNNNNNNNNNNNNNNNNNNNNNNNNNNNNNNNNNNNNNNNNNNNNNNNNNNNNNNNNNNNNNNNNNNNNNNNNNNNNNNNNNNNNNNNNNNNNNNNNNNNNNNNNNNNNNNNNNNNNNNNNNNNNNNNNNNNNNNNNNNNNNNNNNNNNNNNNNNNNNNNNNNNNNNNNNNNNNNNNNNNNNNNNNNNNNNNNNNNNNNNNNNNNNNNNNNNNNNNNNNNNNNNNNNNNNNNNNNNNNNNNNNNNNNNNNNNNNNNNNNNNNNNNNNNNNNNNNNNNNNNNNNNNNNNNNNNNNNNNNNNNNNNNNNNNNNNNNNNNNNNNNNNNNNNNNNNNNNNNNNNNNNNNNNNNNNNNNNNNNNNNNNNNNNNNNNNNNNNNNNNNNNNNNNNNNNNNNNNNNNNNNNNNNNNNNNNNNNNNNNNNNNNNNNNNNNNNNNNNNNNNNNNNNNNNNNNNNNNNNNNNNNNNNNNNNNNNNNNNNNNNNNNNNNNNNNNNNNNNNNNNNNNNNNNNNNNNNNNNNNNNNNNNNNNNNNNNNNNNNNNNNNNNNNNNNNNNNNNNNNNNNNNNNNNNNNNNNNNNNNNNNNNNNNNNNNNNNNNNNNNNNNNNNNNNNNNNNNNNNNNNNNNNNNNNNNNNNNNNNNNNNNNNNNNNNNNNNNNNNNNNNNNNNNNNNNNNNNNNNNNNNNNNNNNNNNNNNNNNNNNNNNNNNNNNNNNNNNNNNNNNNNNNNNNNNNNNNNNNNNNNNNNNNNNNNNNNNNNNNNNNNNNNNNNNNNNNNNNNNNNNNNNNNNNNNNNNNNNNNNNNNNNNNNNNNNNNNNNNNNNNNNNNNNNNNNNNNNNNNNNNNNNNNNNNNNNNNNNNNNNNNNNNNNNNNNNNNNNNNNNNNNNNNNNNNNNNNNNNNNNNNNNNNNNNNNNNNNNNNNNNNNNNNNNNNNNNNNNNNNNNNNNNNNNNNNNNNNNNNNNNNNNNNNNNNNNNNNNNNNNNNNNNNNNNNNNNNNNNNNNNNNNNNNNNNNNNNNNNNNNNNNNNNNNNNNNNNNNNNNNNNNNNNNNNNNNNNNNNNNNNNNNNNNNNNNNNNNNNNNNNNNNNNNNNNNNNNNNNNNNNNNNNNNNNNNNNNNNNNNACAACAAUUCCCCCAACAACCACAACAACAAUUCCCCCAACAACAAUUUCCCAUACCAUACCCACCCCAACAACAAUCACAAGAAGCUUCCCCAUACCAACAAUACCACAACAACAACUAUCUGGGAGCGACGUUAUAAGUAUCAGUGGCCGAUGAAAUGAAGAGAUGUAAUACUAGACAGGUGAAUCAUCGUUGUUAGUCAAUGGAGCAUAAUGUAACGGGUAUAAAUAAAAUGAUGUGCACCAUCAUGUGUAACCCCGACCUGUACUAGUUCAAACAUGGGAAUAAAAGACAAAUAAGUUCUUUUCUGAAGCACAUUGCUGGCAAUUGUUAUAUUCAUGCCAUAUUUCGAUUUCCAUCGCUAACUACAAUCUCAAUGUUAUGGUCUAUCUACUUAUUUAUGAAGUGUAGUACUAUGAACAUAACAUAAUUAACAUGUCUGAAAAUUGGGUCAAAUUGAAGUACUAUUAAUUCAAGAGUAAGGAGUAAUUACAAUUUAACAUUUCAAUGGAGAGCUCUAAUUGUAGACUGCGUUGUUAAUUCCCCGAAGAGGAGAGGAUGAUGUAGUAUAGUAGAGAUAAGUAUUUCCCUCAGCUAAGAACCAAGGUUAUUAAUCCAGUAGGAGAACCACACAAAACCUCGUUAGCAGCACCUGCACACACAACAGCAAACACUUGCACCCAACGCAAAUAAGAGGGUUGUCAAUCCUCUUAGCGAUUAUUUGCAAGGAUUAGUUCUGACAGUGAUACAUAGAUAAAAUAAAUUACUAAAUAAAAUAAAAAUAAAUAAAUUGCNNNNNNNNNNNNNNNNNNNNNNNNNNNNNNNNNNNNNNNNNNNNNNNNNNNNNNNNNNNNNNNNNNNNNNNNNNNNNNNNNNNNNNNNNNNNNNNNNNNNNNNNNNNNNNNNNNNNNNNNNNNNNNNNNNNNNNNNNNNNNNNNNNNNNNNNNNNNNNNNNNNNNNNNCAGAGUUUUCACUAGAGGAUUCUCUCUUGAUCAUAGAGCAUAUGGUGGGUAAACACAUUACUGUUGGGCAAGCUAUUAUAUACUAAAAGGAAAAUAUUGGUCCAAAAUAGAGAAUAGGCUAGAAAAUCCGGCGUUAAUUAGAAAAUAUGAACCCUUGAUCCGUUUAAUUUUAAAAAUUAUAAAUCUAUGACCGUUCAAUAUACGUAACAAGGUAGGGCGUGGAUAACUUCCCGCGUAACGUGACACAUGUAAGAAACACAAACAUGGGUCCAGUUAAGGCAAACACGUAGAUGUGUUGAAGUGGGAAUGAAUAGAAUUGCUACGUCCGAAUAUGCAAGAGAUAUAAAAGAAGAAGAAAACUAAAGAACAUGUCGUGUUCAGAUUGGACUAAACGUAUGUGCGUAUACAACCACAACCACAAUCCGAAAGGUCCAGCCAUUAAUCCCGUGGGUCCAUCCAAAACAAAAGGUGGAUAUCCAUCUAAUUGCCCCACGUCCAUGGAACAUACUUAUUAGAGUCCACAAACAACAGCUGCUGGUCUCUUUUACAUGAUCCUCCUUGCACUGUUAGGACUUUGCCGUCGGACAUCCCAAAGUUCUUGUGAAGUUCACAUCUAAAAAUACUAUCAUAAUAAAAAAAAUCCAUUUCAUACUCCAGGAAAGAUAUCACCGUCCCAAAGUUUCAAUUGCAAUCUAAGUUUUGCCACAACUGGGUAUUUAAAGCUUAUUUUGCCAUAGCCAGGCAAUUUCAGCCACUAAGGUUUUUGUGGCAGAUCAAGCAUCUUCCCAUUGGAAACUCCCAACUGUAAAAAGACCAGCAAAUUAGCAAUCAUUGGCAAAUCAGCAAUCUUAUAGCGGCAGCAGCUCCCAUCAAUCAGGCAACUCAUCUUUCAAAAAUCAGAGACAAUAAGCAACCAUACACAUCAUGGACAUAUGAUAUUAACGAUAAUUACAUAUGUGAUUUCUGUGUUGAAUUUCGUACAACAUCACCAUGAAGAGAAGCGCAUCCACAUGGCAAGUAAUUUCCAAAAGCCGCCAAGAAGGUGAAAAGCAAUCAAAUAUGCAAUCCAACAAGUUAAUUAUUAAGCUAUAGACCAUGCAUGUUUCAGUGGUGCAUACAAGAUCAGUAGAACAAAUUCCUAGCCGUUACGACAUUCAUCAGGGAGGCGAGGACUGUGAAGCGAGGGGUUGCGAGCUGGAGGGAAUGGCGGCACACCCCGUGUCUCAGCCGAGAGAGGAGAGGCCGGGGAUAGAAUUAAGAGAGACACGAGAGAUGACAGAUGAUAGGCUAGGGAUCGUUGGGCGUUCUCACAUAUUGCGUGGAGGUGGUUAGCUAAAUGGGGCAGCACAAAGGCCCAGUCAACCGCAGGUGGCAGAGUUUUCUCCCAGUGCAGCAGCCCUUUAGGACAGUUGAGCCAAGAAAUAUAAUUACAAAAUUAGGGAUUCAUCCAAUAGUCAGAAAUGAUCUAUACAAGUGAUCUGAUAGUUACAAAUGUUGAAUGCUUGAGAGAGCUGGGAUAAGGCUAGGUUUUACUGUCCUAAAUGUAUUAGAUAUGUAGAAUCUGACAGUUAUUAAAGUUUAAUUGUCCUUCGAAACAAACUAUGGCUAAUCACCACUACGCUAAUUACUUUUUACAAUUGUUGAACAUGAAUGGGGGUUAGGGGGGCGUAACACUGCUGAUGAGGGUCCCAACCCCGAAAAAGGUGGAGGGUGCAUGAUCAAAUUAACAUCUAACACUAACAUGCAAUACCUUUUAAGUUCUUAUAUUGAUUCAAUCGCAAAAGGGAGAAAUGAAACAAAAGUAGGCAGCGGGACCUGGAAGUCAACAGAGGAAACAGAAGGGUAUGCUCAUCGUGUGGAAUCGUUUGUGGGGGCGAGCUGAGUAAACAGAGGAAGGUGAUCGAAUGACGUCUCAGGUUUAUUUGUUUACUGAACAGACAGACAUGUGUAAGUUUUUUUUCCCUUUGAGGGGAAAGACGUGUGUAACUAGGGAGAGAUGAUUUUGCACGUUCUGUAUUUUUUUCCACCAGAAAACAGAUACUACUUUAACAAAUAAAUCCUACACUAAAUAUUUUAUAUGCUGCAAAUUACAGGCCACAUACGCAUGAGCCUAAAUUAUAGGCGACUAUUUCAUAGGGUGAAAGUAAACAAAAUAGAAAAUCUUAUAGGCGACAUAAGCAUGAACCUAAAUUAUAUAUUUUAUAUGCUGCAAAUUAUUUUAAAAACAUGUGAAAAUAUAGUGCAUGAUCAUCAGACCAAAAACUCUAGCCUGUACAAAACACUCAUAUUUAGACGUAUAUUUCAUAUGGAGCUGCCAAUUCAUAUCAAUCCGGCACUACAACAGUAACACUAUCGUGCAGCCGCUUAAGUCAAAUCUAAGGUUAAAGCUAAUCAACACAAAAUAUCCAAUGUAAAAGGAAUUACUUAUACUAAAAAAUAUAAAAUAUACCUAAGAGUGCGAACAAUGACGAAUAUUUACUAUAAGAGUGCUAGCCCUCGCAUUUGCGAGGGCCACCUUGCUAGUUGAUAAAAAACAAAUAAUUAUGAUGGAUUCAUGGCAAUGAUCAUGUAUAUAGGCAUCACGUUCGAGACAAGUAGACCGACUCCCGUCUGCAUCUACUACUAUUACUCCACCCAUCGACCACUAUCCAGCAUGCAUCCAGAGUAUUAGGUAUAAAACAGAGUGACGCCUUAAGUACGAUGACAUGAUGUAGAUAAAGUAAAUUCAAGAAAUAUGAUUAAACCCCAUCUUUUUAUCCUUAAUUGUCAGCCCAUUGGCUGUUAUUUUCCCCGAUCUGACCGUCCGCGACGCUCCUGUUGUUCGCAACGCUACCGCUACGACUGCGGGAGCAUGUCAUUUUCGUUAUACAUGUAACCCAAAAAUAUCUCUAACAUUAAUGACAACAAUACAAAUACGUGUUAUGUCCGUUUUUGUCACUGGGAUUGAGCAAUGCAAGAUUGAAUCCAUCACAAAGCACCUCUCCCCAUUGCAAGAUAAACCAAUCUAGUUGGCCAAACCAAAUCGAUAGAUCAGGGAGAAAUAUAAAGCUAAAAUAAUCACGCAUAAAAGAGCUCAGAGAAGACUCAAAUAUUUCUCAUGAAUCAUAUGAUCAUAAACUCACGAUUCAUUGGAUCCCAACAAACACACCGGAAAAGAAGAUUACAUCGGAUAGAACUCCAAGAACAUCGGGGAUAACUUUGUAUUGAAUAUCAAAGAGAGAGAAGAAGCCAUUUAGCUAUUGGCUAUGGACCCAUAGGUGUGUGGUAAAAUACUCACACAUCAUCGGAAGGACAGCAUUGUUUAUGUGGAAGCCCUUCGUGAUCGAUUCCCCCUCCGGCAGAGUACUGGAAAAGGCCUCCAGACGGGAUCGCGGAAGAACAGAGGCUUGCGGCGGCGAAAAAGUUUUGUCAUCUAUCUCUCUGGUGGUUAUGGAAUAUUUGUGAAUUUAUAGUGGAAGAAUUAGGUCAGGAGGUGCCACGAGGGGGCCAUAAGCCUAGGGGCGCGGUGAUACGUCCAUUUUGCAUCAUGUUUUAUUACGGUUAUUUAUUAAGUUUUGAGCCAAUAUAACACUUCAUGGAGUAUUUCUAAUGCCUUUUCUCUCUUAAUCUGCAAGGUUUACACAAAGAGGGAGAAUACCGGCAGCUGGAUUUCAGGGCCUGAAAAAGCUACAUCAGAGAUCCCUAUUCUGCACAUCUCCAAAUGGGCUGAAAAUUCACGAAGAUUUAUUUUAGAAUAUAAAAAAAAUACUGGGCCAAAGAUCCACGGGAGGAGGCCACCCAGGUGCCCACACAACAAUAGGGCGCGCCCCACCCCUGGGGCGCGCCCUGAUGCUGUAUGAGGCCCCUGGCCCACUUCAGCCCCCCUCCUUCUGGUAUAUAAGUCAUUUUACCAUAAAAUAUUUAUGGGGAGACUUUCAGGACGAGGCGCCGCCGCCACGAGGCGGAACUAGAGCAGGAGAAAUUUGGCUCUCCGGCGGGCAGAUUCCGCCGGGGAUACUUCCCUCCGGGAGCUGGAAAUCAAAGCUUACGCCAUCACUAACAACCCUCUCAUCGUGGGAGGGCCAAUCUUCAUCAUCAUAAACCACAACACCAUCUCAUCUCUAUCCCUAGUUCAUAUCUUGUAUUCGAUCUCUGUGUCAAAACAUUAGAUUGGUACUUGUGUUUGACUAGUAGUGUUGAUUACUUAUCGUAGUUGAUGCUAGUGGAUUUGUUUGGUGAAUUACCAAAUGUUCUGAUCGUGCAUCCAAAUUAUAUCCUCUCUGAUCAUGAACAUGAUGAUGAUGUGUGAGUAGUUACUUUUAUUCUUGAGGACAUGGGAGAAGUCUUGUCAUUAGUAAUCAUGUGAUUCCACUGGUAGAAAACUGGGCUUUGGUCACAGGGCAAUAUUCACAUUAGUCCCGGUGCAGUCACGAACGGGGACUAAUGUGAGCAUUGGUCCCGGUUCGUGCGGCCAGGGGCCUGCCGGGCCUCGUGGGGGCAUUGGUCCCGGUUCGUCCGGCCCCUUUGGUCCCGGUUGGUGGGACAAACCGGGACCAAUGGGCCACGCUCCUGGCCCACCACCCUUUAGUCCCGGUUCAUACCACAAACCGGGACUAAAGGGCUGGUCCUAGUUGCGGCCAGUGUUUAGUCCCUCCUCGCCAACCGAAGGGCGCUCACACCAGUUUAUAAGCCCGUCCCUCUCUGCCUUGUUGAGCUUCUCUUAAAGUGAAAAUAGAUGCCCUUAUACAGGGAAUUUGACCUAAAUUCACAGUAAAUUUCAUAGAAAUUUGUUAUGAAUUUAGGUUUAAUUUUCUCUAUAAGCGCAUCUAUGUUCAUUUUUUAUAUUUAUAAAAUAAAUAAACAUUAAUAAAAUAAAUAAAACUAAAUAAACCUUAAUAAAAUAAAAUAAAAUAAACUAUAGUAACUACAAUAAAUAAACCUUAAUAAAUUAAGUAAAAAUAGCAGCAGUAAAAUAAAUAAAAAUAGCAGCAGUAAAAUAAAUAAAAAUAAAAUAAUUAAAGUAAAAUACAUAAGUAAUUAUAAAUAAAAUAAAUAAGUUUUUUGUUGUAAGUAGAACAAAACAAAACAAAUAAAGCAAAAGAGAAAAAAAACAGAGGAACAAAAUUAUGCCACCUACUGGGCCACCACGGCCUGAAUACGACUAGAAACCCAUCCAUGGGCCAGGAUUCANNNNNNNNNNNNNNNNNNNNNNNNNNNNNNNNNNNNNNNNNNNNNNNNNNNNNNNNNNNNNNNNNNNNNNNNNNNNNNNNNNNNNNNNNNNNNNNNNNNNNNNNNNNNNNNNNNNNNNNNNNNNNNNNNNNNNNNNNNNNNNNNNNNNNNNNNAAAAAAUUAUGCCACCUACUGGGCCACCACGGCCUGAAUACGACUAGAAACCCAUCCAUGGGCCAGGAUUCAGGCCCGCAGAAGGCCCAGUAGGCCCCACAGGCAAAGAGAACAGUUAGGCCCGAAAGCCUGCAGUUGAGAGGAGUUCGAGAGGGUGGGCGCAGCAGCGCUUAUAAACCACUCUCGAGCUCUCUCAACUAGCGAGGUGGGACUAAACUUUUGACGCGGGGCAGCACAAGGCCUUUGGUCCCGGUUGGUGCCACCAACCGGGACUAAAGGAGGCAUUGGUCCCGGUUCGUGGCACCAACCGGGACAAAGGCCUUUAGUCCCGGUUGGUGCCACGAACCGGGACCACCGAGUUCCCUAUAUACCCCAUCGCCACAGCAGAGCACUCCAGAGUGCUCUGUUUUUUCUGGCCGCGAGGGGAGGGCAUUUGGGUGCUCUAGCUCACCUCCUAUGCACAUGAGGUGUUCGAUGAAAUGUCUGAGCCACACUAGUUAAUCUUUGUCCUCUCGAAACUCGACCUCCGAGCUCCAUUUUCCCCGAGAUUUGUCUAGGUUUAGCGGUCCGUCACGUCCCGUCCCCGUCUUCACCGCCGUCGAUCGCCCGCGCCGAUCUCGUCGCCAGCACCACCGUGGUGAGCCUCUUGUUCUUAUCUUCUUUCUGAAAGGAAAAAAAUUCUUACUUUAGAUAGUUACUUGUCUAAUUUUGUUACUUUUAUUAUUCCUUCUUAUUACAUAGUGCGAUGGUUUUGGUAUCCGCCCCCGUCGGCCCUCAUCCUGUCUAUGAUUCGGAUGUGGUAUAUAUUAUCUUUUUAUAACUAUUUGGUUCAUUUACUGUUUAUGACAAAUAUACCGACCAACGUGACAUAGAUUUUAUUUAUCUAGGAGGUGGUUGAACCGGAAAUUCUAACCGACCCUAUUGUUGAGAGGUUAAAUUUAGUUGAAGAAGAAAACAAUUAUUUGAAGGAAAAAAUAAAAAAAAUUGAGGAGGAGAAGAUGAUAUUGGAGUGGCAUGUUGCGGAUGUCGUCGAUGAUCACAAGAUCAAGAUGGAUGCAAUGCGCUUAAAGAUUAGAAAGAUUAGAAAAUAUGCCAUUCAUACUGAGGCUUGGUAUCAUUAUGCCAUUGGAUCAAUUGUUACCUUGGUUGCGAUUAUGAUCGCAUUUGUUUUCGCAUUGAAAUGUUUUACAUAGUUUCAAUGUAUGGUUUAAUUAAUUAGAUGCUCUGGAGAGCUAUAUAUAUGUUGUUAGAUGAGAACUAUGUAUGUACUUUGGUUUUAAUGUGAUGAUGAACUUCUAUUAAUUUGGUCACUUAAUUAUCUAUUCAUGAUGUUCUGUAAUGGUUUUUGACACACUUAAUUAUAUAUAAUGCACGCAGAUGAACCGGCAAUGGAUGUACGAUGACAGACACACCUCCGAGUACAUUAAGGGCGUGCAUGAUUUUCUCGAAGUGGCUGAGGCAAACAAGCAGAAUGGUUUUAUGUGUUGUCCAUGCCCUAUAUGUGGGAAUACGAAGUCUUACUCUGACCGGAAAAUCCUUCACACCCACCUGCUUUACAAGGGUUUCAUGCCACACUAUAAUGUUUGGACGAGGCACGGAGAAAUAGGGCUUACGAUGGAAGACGGUGAAGAAGAAGAGGAUGAUGACAACUAUGUGCCCCCUGAAUACGGUGAUGCUGCAACGGGGGAAGCUGCUGAAGAUCAAGAGGAACCAGACGAUGUGCCCAAUGAUGCUGCAAGGGGGGAAGCUGCUGAAGAUCAAGAGGAACCAGUGCCCGAUGAUGAUGAUCUCCGCCGGGUGAUAGUCGAUGCAAGGACGCAAUGCAAAAGUCAAAAGGAGAAGCUGAAGAUCGAUCGCAUGUUAGAGGAUCACAAAAAAGGGUUGUACCCCAAUUGCGAAGAUGGCAACACAAAGCUCGGUACCGUACUGGAAUUGCUGCAGUGGAAGGCAGAGAAUGUUGUGCCUGACAAAGGGUUUGAGAAGCUAUUGAAAAUAUUGAAGAAGAAGCUUCCAAAGGAUAACGAAUUGCCCGACAGUACAUACGCAGCAAAGAAGGUCGUAUGCCCUCUAGGAUUGGAGGUGCAGAAGAUACAUGCAUGCCCUAAUGACUGCAUCCUCUACCGCGGUGCGUACAAGGAUCUGAACGCAUGCCCGGUAUGCGGUGCAUUGCGAUAUAAGAUCAGACGAGAUGACUCUGGUGAUGUUGACGGCGAGCCCCCCAGGAAGAGGGUUCCUGCGAAGGUGAUGUGGUAUGCUUCUAUAAUACCACGGUUGAAAUGUCUGUUCAGAAACGAAGAGCAUGCCAAGUUGAUGCGAUGGCACAGUGGGGACCGUAAGAAAGACGGGAAGUUGAGAGCACCCGCCGACGGGUCGCAGUGGAGAAAAAUCGAGAGAAAGUACUGGGCUGAGUUUGCAGCUGACCCAAGGAACGUAUGGUUUGGUUUAAGCGCGGAUGGCAUUAAUCCUUUCGGGGAGCAGAGCAGCAAUCACAGCACCUGGCCCAUGACUCUAUGUAUGUAUAACGUUCCUCCUUGGAUGUGCAUGAAGCAGAAGUUCAUUAUGAUGCCAGUUCUCAUCCAAGGCCCUAAGCAACCCGGCAACGACAUUGAUGUGUACCUAAGGCCAUUAGUUGAAGAACUUUUACAGCUGUGGAAUGGAAACGGUGUACGUACGUGGGAUGAGCACAAAAAGGAGGAAUUUAACCUGCACGCGUUGCUGUUUGUAACCAUCAACGAUUGGCCCGCUCUCAGUAACCUUUCAGGACAGACAAACAAGGGAUAGCACGCAUGCACGCACUGUUUAGAUGACACUGAAAGUAUAUACCUGGACAAAAGCAGGAAGAAUGUGUACCUGGGCCACCGUCGAUUUCUUCCGACAAACCAUCAAUGUCGAAAGAAAGGCAAGCAUUUCAAAGGCGAGGCAGAUCAGCGGAAGAAGCCCGCCAUGCGUACCGGUGAUCACGUACUUGCUAUGGUCAAUGAUUUACACGUAAUCUUUUGAAAGGGUCCCGGCGGACUAGCUGUUCCGAAUGACGCUGAGGGACACGCACCCAUCUGGAAGAAGAAAUCUAUAUUUUGGGACCUACCCUGCUGGAAAGAGCUAGAGGUCCGCUCUUCAAUCGACGUGAUGCACGUGACGAAGAACCUUUGCGUGAACCUGCUAGGCUUCUUGGGCGUGUAUGGGAAGACAAAAGAUACACCUGAGGCACGGGAGGACCUGCAAUGUUUGCACGAAAAAGACGGCAUGCCUCCGAAGCAGUAUGAAGGUCCUGCCAGCUACGCUCUUACGAAAGAAGAGAAAGAAAUCUUCUUUGAAUGCCUGCUCAGUAUGAAGGUCCCGACUGGCUUCUCGUCGAAUAUAAAGGGAAUAAUAAAUAUGCCAGAGAAAAAGUUCCAGAACCUAAAGUCUCAUGACUACCACGUGAUUAUGACGCAACUGCUUCCGGUUGCAUUGAGGGGGCUUCUACCAGAAAACGUCCGAUUAGCCAUUGUGAAGCUAUGUGCAUUCCUCAAUGCAAUCUCUCAGAAGGUGAUCGAUCCAGAAAUCAUACCAAUGCUAAGGAGUGAUGUGGCGCAAUGUCUUGUCAGUUUCGAGCUGGUGUUCCCGCCAUCCUUCUUCAAUAUCAUGACGCACGUCCUAGUUCAUCUAGUCGACGAGAUUGUCAUUCUGGGGCCCGUAUUUCUACACAAUAUGUUCCCCUUUGAGAGGUUCACGGGAGUCCUAAAGAAAUAUGUCUGUAACCGCGCUAGGCCAGAAGGAAGCAUCUCCAUGGGCCAUCAAACAGAGGAUGUCAUUGGGUUUUGUGUUGACUUCAUUCCUGGCCUUAGGAAGAUAGGUCUCCCUAAAUCGCGGUAUGAGGGGAGACUGACUGGAAAAGGCACGCUUGGAGGGGACUCAAUAAUAUGCAGGGACGGAUAUUGUUGGUCUCAAGCACACUACACAGUUCUACAGAACUCUACCUUGGUGACCCCGUAUGUCGAUGAACACAAGAACAGUCUGCGCUCCAAACACCCGGAGCAGUGUGACGACUGGAUUACAUGUGAACACAUCAGGACUUUCAGCAGUUGGUUGGAAACACGUCUCAUAGGUGACACCACUGUUUGUGUUGAGUUGUACUCAUUGUCCAGGGGACCAUCUUCGACUGUAUUGACUUACAAAGGAUACGAGAUAAAUGGGAAUACAUUUUACACGAUCGCCCAAGAUCAAAAGAGCACCAACCAAAACAGCGGUGUCCGCUUUGAUGCAGCAACCGAGAGGGGAAAGGACACAUAUUAUGGUUACAUAAUGGACAUAUGGGAACUUGACUACGGACAUGAUUUUAAGGUCCCUUUGUUUAAGUGCAAAUGGGUCAAUCUGUCAGGAGGUGGGGUACAGGUAGACCCACAGUACGGAAUGACAACAGUGGAUCUGAACAAUCUUGGGUACACUGAUGAACCGUUCGUCCUAGCCAAUGAUGUGGCACGGGUUAUCUAUGUGAAGGACAUGUCUACCAGACCGAGGAAAAGAAAAGAUAAGGAAGCGAAUACAUCAUACGAUGAGCCAAAGCGCCACAUAGUUCUUUCAGGAAAAAGGGACAUUGUGGGAGUGGAGGGCAAGACAGACAUGUCUGAAGAUUAUGAAAAGUUUCAUGAAAUUCCUCCCUUCAAAGUCAAGGCUGACCCAAGCAUCCUGAUAAACGAUGAAGAUUAUCCAUGGUUAUGGCGCAAUAAGCCAAUGACACAAGCGAAGAAAAAGUGAAGACUUUCUCCCGCAACUAUUAUGAUGAUACCAUGCCAACUUUGUAAUAGACGAGUAUGAUACCAUUGUCCGUUUUGUACAAGAAGUGCAUCUAGUUUUUUGCCGUAACCCUCUCAACUUUCUUGCACAUGCUGUGUGGAUGAAAUGAUGAUACCAUGCCAACUUUCAAUCUUUUCAGAGUUCAUUUGAAAUGCUUUUCAAUUAGUAAAUGCAUGAAAAAUAACAGGCCAAAAAUUAAAAAUUAUGCCACCUACUGGGCCACCACGGCCUGAAUACGAUUAGAAACCCAUCCAUGGGCCAGGAUUCAGGCCCGCAGAAGGCCCAGUAGGCCCACAGGCAUGUACAGAGAGGUUAGGCCCGUAAGCCUGCUUUAGAGAGGAGCUCGACAGCUCAGGCGCACCGCACCUUAUAAAUAGGUGCGGCUCUCUCUUAGCUAGCGAGGUGGGACUAAACUCACCACCACGCCGCUGUGCAAGGCCAUUGGUCCCGGUUGGUGGCACGAACCGGGACCAAUUCCACCCUUUGGUCCCUGUUGGUGCCACGAACCGGUACUAAUGAGGCUGUGGCCCCACGAGCACCUUUAGUACCUGUUCGUGGCACGAACCGGUACUAGAGUUUCUUACUAAGCAGUUUUUUAGUCCCACCUCGCUAGCUGAGAGGCACUAGGAGCGGUUUAUAAGCCCUGAGUGCAGAGACAAUGAAGAAGAGGCGCAAUGCUCACGUUGCUUAGCUUCAAGCCUUGAGGAAUAAGGUAGACUGCAUCGAGCUAUGUGCAGUGCAGUCUACACUAUUCCAAAAGGCUUGAAGCAAAUCAACGAGCAUUGCGCCUCUUUUUUAUUUUUAAUAACUUAUUACAACUCCGGACUUCUUGUGUUCCGACAAAAUAAAAUGAACUUUAAUAAAAUUUAUGAAACUAAAAUUAACAAAGUAUUUUACGUUCAAAACAUUAUAAGAAACCUCUAUUAUUAUUGAAACUAAAAUCAUAUAAAAUUGAUGCAACUAAAAUUAUUGAAGUAUUUUCUGUUCAAAAUCAUUAAAAGCAAAAAGAAUUUUCAUAAAGAACUUUUUUUGAUCGAAACUUUAAUAGCAAAAAGAAUUAUCAUAAAGUAAAAUAAAUAAGUAAUUAGAAACAAAAUAAAAUAAAAUAAAUAAGUUUUUUGUUGUAAGUAGAAACAAAACAAAAUAAAUAUAGCAAAAAAGAAAACAAAAAAACUAAAUACAGCAAAAAGAAUUUUCAUAAAGAACUAAUGGCACUAAUAGAAAGUNNNNNNNNNNNNNNNNNNNNNNNNNNNNNNNNNNNNNNNNNNNNNNNNNNNNNNNNNNNNNNNNNNNNNNNNNNNNNNNNNNNNNNNNNNNNNNNNNNNNNNNNNNNNNNNNNNNNNNNNNNNNNNNNNNNNNNNNNNNNNNNNNNNNNNNNNNNNNNNNNNNNNNNNNNNNNNNNNNNNNNNNNNNNNNNNNNNNNNNNNNNNNNNNNNNNNNNNNNNNNNNNNNNNNNNNNNNNNNNNNNNNNNNNNNNNNNNNNNNNNNNNNNNNNNNNNNNNNNNNNNNNNNNNNNNNNNNNNNNNNNNNNNNNNNNNNNNNNNNNNNNNNNNNNNNNNNNNNNNNNNNNNNNNNNNNNNNNNNNNNNNNNNNNNNNNNNNNNNNNNNNNNNNNNNNNNNNNNNNNNNNNNNNNNNNNNNNNNNNNNNNNNNNNNNNNNNNNNNNNNNNNNNNNNNNNNNNNNNNNNNNNNNNNNNNNNNNNNNNNNNNNNNNNNNNNNNNNNNNNNNNNNNNNNNNNNNNNNNNNNNNNNNNNNNNNNNNNNNNNNNNNNNNNNNNNNNNNNNNNNNNNNNNNNNNNNNNNNNNNNNNNNNNNNNNNNNNNNNNNNNNNNNNNNNNNNNNNNNNNNNNNNNNNNNNNNNNNNNNNNNNNNNNNNNNNNNNNNNNNNNNNNNNNNNNNNNNNNNNNNNNNNNNNNNNNNNNNNNNNNNNNNNNNNNNNNNNNNNNNNNNNNNNNNNNNNNNNNNNNNNNNNNNNNNNNNNNNNNNNNNNNNNNNNNNNNNNNNNNNNNNNNNNNNNNNNNNNNNNNNNNNNNNNNNNNNNNNNNNNNNNNNNNNNNNNNNNNNNNNNNNNNNNNNNNNNNNNNNNNNNNNNNNNNNNNNNNNNNNNNNNNNNNNNNNNNNNNNNNNNNNNNNNNNNNNNNNNNNNNNNNNNNNNNNNNNNNNNNNNNNNNNNNNNNNNNNNNNNNNNNNNNNNNNNNNNNNNNNNNNNNNNNNNNNGCCGCCCCUGCCUCGACGCCGCCCCUCCUCCCCGUUCGGUCUGGCUCCGGCGACCCCCUUUCCUCCCUGUCCCCUCGAUCCUCUUCAUAUAAUUUGUUCAUAUAUUUUUUUUCAUAUAAUUUUUUUCAUAUGCAUAUGUUGAUUAUAUGGAUGGAUGGAUGAUGUAUAUGUUCAUUAUAUGGAUGGAUGGAUGAUGUAUGCUUUUUUUCAUAUAAUUUUUAGGCAGAUUUUUAGAAUUUUUUGUGUAUGUAUGUUAUGUUUAUAUGUAUGUAUGUAUGUAUGUUCAUAUGUAUGUAUGUUUAUAUGCAAAGCAUAUGCAAAGAAAAUGUAUGAAUGGUCAUAUGCAAAGAAAAAAUGUAUGUAUGGUCAUAUGCAAAGAAAAUGUAUGUAUGUAUGUUCAUAUGAAAGAAAAAUGUAUGGAUGUAUGUUCAUAUGCAUAUGCAAAGAAAAUGUAUGUUCAUAUAUAUGAUGAUAUGUUCAUAUAAAAAGGAAAAUAAGAAGAGGAAGAAAGGAGAAGAAGAGGAGAGGAAGAAGAGGAGAAAUAAAUAAGAAGAGGAAAAAAGAAGAAAAAGAAGAGGAGAAGAAGAAAGGAAUAGAAGAGAAGAAGAAAAAAUAGAAAAAAUUCUAUUUUUUCUUCUUCUCUCCUCUAUUCCUUUCUUCUUCUCCUCUUUUUUUUCUUCUUUUUUUUCUUCGAUCUUCUCCUCUAUUCCUUUUCUUCUUCUCCUCUUUUUNNNNNNNNNNNNNNNNNNNNNNNNNNNNNNNNNNNNNNNNNNNNNNNNNNNNNNNNNNNNNNNNNNNNNNNNNNNNNNNNNNNNNNNNNNNNNNNNNNNNNNNNNNNNNNNNNNNNNNNNNNNNNNNNNNNNNNNNNNNNNNNNNNNNNNNNNAUAUACCCCUCUCCCGAUAACUUCAACACGAGGGGGGGUCGAUAUACCCCCUCCCCGCCGAUAAUAUUAUUUUCCCAUGCACGUAUGUCGUCGUUGUCGAUAUAACCCCCUCCCGAUAACUUCAACACGUGGGGGGGGGUCGAUAUACCCCCUCCCCGAUAACAUUAUUUUCCCAUGUAUGUAUGUCGUCGUUGUCGAUAUAUAUAACUCCCUCCCAGAUAACUUCGACAUGAUGGACGGUCGAUAUUUAUACUCCCUCUCGACCGUGAUAACUUAUACCACGGGAGCACCCCCUAGCCCUCUCGCUCGACCAAAACUCUCGAGGACACCCAAACCCUAGAAAAAACUAUGUCGGUCUCCUACCCCCUCCCGCCGCGCCCCUACCCUUGAAGCGUUGCCUAGGCCACCCCAAACCCGGAAUAAGCUAGGUCUACGUUUGCACUAAUAUAUCCACCUGCUGUCAUGUUUGUGUAAUAAUUGCCAUGUUGUAAUAUUUGCAGAAACAAUGGAGCACGGACGAGAUGAGCAAGCAGAAGAGGUGUUGGGGGACAUAAUCUUAGCCGGAGGUGAUAUCUUGUCGUAUCUUAACGACAAUGAUGGUCUGGAAGAACAGGGUGAAGAAGCAGGCUACGGUGAUUGAAGAGUGGAGGAGGAAAGACAUGAUUAUGAUGGCUCCGGUGACCCAAUGCUGGUGCAAGAAGGAGCCCGUGGUGACGGCUCCGGUGACCGAACAGAGUCCGGCCAGGUAAAUAUAUUAGUUAAGCCUGUGCUGACUAGCUAAUUGAUGCAUUCAUUGUUUUGGUAUGUACAUAUAUUAAUUAACACUCGUCUUUCUUCUUUUUUCUAGCCCUCCGGAUCGAGCACAACUGCGGUAAAGAGACGAGGCCCGAAGAGAAAGUUGCGCUCGGAUGAAAGGUUUGAGAUCACAGCAAUCGCGCGCGACGGCCAACCGAUUGAACCCAUCCGGACAAAGGAUGCAUUUGCUGCUCAGUGCGGGAUUCUAGUUAGGGACAAGAUCCCGAUCAGCAUCCACCAAUGGUAUAAGCCUAAGAAGGAAGACCCUGAGGUGUCUUAUGUCAAUGAUAUGCAGAAAGAUGAUCUUUGGACUGAUCUGAAGGCAAAUUUCACCCUACCGCCAGAGGAGGAUUCGGAGAAGCCAGUUAUAGAGCAAUUAAUCAAGUCUCAUGCUCUUAAGAAGAUGGCAGACCUAUUCAGGAGGUGGAAGAAUGAGCUGAAAACGUUUGUCGACAAACAAGAGACACCAGAAUUCAUCGGCCGGUAUGAGAAGAUCAGAGAUCACUGGCCCGCAUUUGUGGCCCACAAGACAUCGGAAAAGAGUAAGAAGAUGUCAGCGACAAACAAGAAGAAUGCUGCGAAGAAGAAGCUUCACCAUCGCACGGGGUCAGGUGGCUACCUCAAAGCCCGACCUAAGUGGGCAAAGGCUGAGAAUGAUCUGCUUGAAAAAGGGAUCGAACCACAGACAAUGAACUGGACAGACUGUUGCCGGACUUGGUUCUUCGGGGCUGGCGGAACCUUGGACCCUGUAUCAGGGAGGUGUGUUUGGACGAACGAGCUUUUGAGAAUACUAGUCAAGAAGAUUCGGCAAUAUAUCGAUGCAGCGCAGGAAGGGACGUUCGUUCCAGACAGAGAGAACAACGAGCUCACAAUGGCCCUCGGGAAUCCUGAGCACCCUAGACGGACACGAGGCAUGCCAGGCUCCGUUCCGUGGAAGGCUGGUUUUCCGGACGCAGGCGGUUACAAAAGCCAGGAGAGGAGGAAAAAAGUGGAGCAGAUCCAAAUUCAGAAGCUGCACGAAAGGGUUCAAGCGCUAGAGGAACGAGACGGCAAUCGACAUGCCGAAACUGCCCCCGAAGCUACACCGCCAUCUCAGCGGAGAAGCAGCAUGGCUUCCACCGAGCUGCUUCAGCUGGAGCAUGCGGCUCCUGCUAGCUACCCCGUGGAUGCUAUCACGGAGUCUCAACAUUGCCACCUUAUGGCGGAAUGGCAGAACUUCAAAGUCAAGGCAGCGGUUGGCUCUGUUUUACCUCCUGAACCCGGCGCAACCUACCACUGCCGGCCGAUUCCAGAAGGAUAUGCUAGGGUGAUGGUUGAUGAAAUAACGGAGGGAUUUGAGGAGCUCCAGCUUGACCACCCUACCGGUGAAGGGGAGACUUGGCUGGGUUCUGCUCUGAAGACUCCAUGCCUAUGGCGGAAGGAGCUCAUCAAGCUUCCGAACUCGACGGCUCCGGCGAGUAAGGGCACUCCGCCUCCUCCUCCGCCUCCUCCUCCGGCGAGUGAUCAGGGCACUCAGCCUCCUUCUCCGGCGCGUGACGGCACUCCGCCUCCUUCUCCGCCAGCGCCGGCGCCCCAGAGCAGCCAGCCUCCUCCUUCUCCGCCUCGUCAGCAAGGGCGGAAGAGACCCGCCACCGCUGCGGCUGCUCCGGCGCGUCGUAGUCCUUCUCCUCCGCCUCGUAAGCAAGGAAAGAAGACAGUCGCAGCCGCUCCGUCUGCUCUGUCGGCGUCUAGCAGUACAGCUGCCAGAGGCGGGAGGCAAUACAGAUUCGGUCCUUCUCUGAAGACUCCAGAGAAGUUACCAUACGAUAGGACCGAGGAGGAAACCAGGAAGAUCGUGCGAGCCGAAGUGACAAACUUCUUUGAAGGGGUGAAUGCAAAGAAACAUCCACCUCCGGAGGAGAAGGUAGAUCCGGUGAAAGUAAAGCGCACUCUGGCUGCCUUGACAAAACCACCAAAGUCUCCGCCGAGAGGCCACUAUGAGCGCAUUCUUGCAAAGACAUAUGCCGAAGCGGAGCGGUCGGGAAGUACUGUUAGUGAUAAAAGGUUAAAAGAACGACGAGCUGGCAAAAAAAUUGCCCAGCUCGGCGAACAAGCGAACCAAUCGUGCCCCCCGCUCAAGGUGUCAAAAGACAUCGUCGCUAAUGAUCCGAGUAUGGUGCCCGGUUAUAGCAAUCUUGGAGAUUACCUGCCCGACGAUGUACAUUAUGAAAUCAUGGAGGUGGACGAACACAAAUACCAUUACGGGAAGCCUCUCGUCAAAGAUGAAAGAUCUCUAACAACGAUGAUGCGAAGACUACAUGAUUGGUACAUGAAAACCUGCAGAGAGUCUGAUGGGAUGGAUAAUUUGACGCUGAGAGUUAAACCGGAGCAUGACCUCAUUGGAAUUGAUCUGCUGAAUGUUCCAUUUGAGGAUUUCUUCCAGUUUUACAAUCAAAAGGCCCUCAAUAAAACAACGAUCACUUGCUACUGUCUGUAAGUAGUACUACUUCUGUCAUUAAGUCUCUCUAUAUAGGUCAGCUCUUUCAUUGCAUGUAUUUAUACUUAUCCUCACUAUAUUAUGCAGAUUGAAGAUCGCCGAAUUGAAGAAAAGACAAAUCGGUGAUAUUGGGUUCAUUAACACAAAUCUCAUAUAUGCAUAUACGGUUGAAAAACAUCCAAAGAAGCCGAGGCCAACUUGCUACAAUCGUUGGUAUUAAAUCAAAACAAAGAUAUAAUACUCUUUCCUUACAACUUCAAGUGAGUGUUACUGUCUUGUGCAUAUUCGGUUUCCCUUAUUAGUCCAGGUUAUGGUAAUGUAAUUGAUGACUUAUGCAUGCAUGCGCAGCUUCCACUAUAUUCUCCUAGAGAUUAAGCUUGAGCAGGGAGUAGUAACCGUCUUAGACUCGAGACGAAAAGAUCCCUAGGACUAUGAGAACAUGACUCAAAUGCUCGAGAAGUAAGUUAAAUCGAUCAUUAUCCACCAUAUCAGCAACUUUGUUCAUUUCAUAAUAUCAAGUAAUUGUUUUCUUUGUCUGGCAGGGUUUGGAGAAAAUUCACCUCAAAAGCUCCGGGACUGCCGAAGAAGCUGCAAUUUAAUCACCCGAAAGUAAGUACUAUAGUAGCAUGUUCCGCGCAUCUCCUAGUGAUUCAAGCGCUAGUUUCUUCAAUACCAUUUAGCAUGCUUGCUUAUCAAUUUGAUUGACCUCUAUUUCUUGUAAAGUGGUUGUGGCAGGAAACCGGGAAUAAUUACUGUGGAUACUACGUUUGCGAGUCCAUCCGCUACACGACCUGUGAGCGGGGCUACACUGAAGAACAAUAUGAAGUGCGUAAGCAAUAAUAUUCACAAUUUUAUUUUAUUACCAUCAUUUGUGUUGAGUUUCAUUUAUUCAUAUAUAUAUAUAUAUAUAUAUAUAUGUAUUGACCCCCUUCUUCAAAUUAGAUGUUUCGGAAGCGGGAUGAACUCCUAGCACCAGAUCGUAUGCGAGGAAUUCAAGAGGAAUUGGCGGCAUUCUUCCUUGACCACGUGAUCGCUGAAAACGGAGAAUACUAUGUGGACCUUGUGUUCCUACAAUUUAAUUAGGAGAUUGUAUUGUAAGAGAUAAUUAUUGUAUAUAUGUAGCCGGUAGUGUCGGAUAGAUAUACGAGAACUUGUUGUUCGACCAAUAUCUCGGAGAAGGAGAGGUGGUCGAUAUCACUUCUCUCUGUAUGCAUAUGUUCAUGACGAUCUUCUGUUUCCUUCAUUUGAUUACUAGCUAGCGUGUCUACUCCUCUCCAUACGUAUAUAGUAUGUAGCGUCGACCAAGCACGGAGAUAAGAGAGGACACUUCUCUCUAUUAAUUAGCUAGCUAACACAAUAUAUGAAACACCUAAAUUAACCCCCCAAAACCCCUAAACCACCCCCUUUCAAAAAAAACAAAAACCUCAGCUCCUGCCAGCUGCUGACGCGUGGAUGCCUAUUGGUCCCGGUUGGUGACACCAACCGGGACAAAAGGCCCUGCCUAUUGGUCCCGGUUGGUGCCGGCCCCCUGCCUGGGCUGGCAGCAGCGGCCACGUGGAGGACCUUCUGUCCCGGUUCGUGUAAGAACCGGGACUAAAGGGGGGAGGCAUUAGUAACGACCCUUUAGUCCCGGUUCGAGAACCGGGACAAAAGGCCCUUACAAACCGGGGUAAAAGCCCCUUUUCCUACUAGUGUUCCGGUAUUCGUUCAAUAUUUUGAUGAUAUGUAUGUUGUGAUUCUCUUAGUGGUGUCAUGUGAACGUCGACUACAUGACACUUCACCAUUGAUGGGCCUAAGGGAACUCAUUGUGGAGUAGUAAUUAGAUGAUGGGUUGCUAGAGUGACAGAAGCUUAAACCCCAGUUUAUGCACUAUUCCGUAAGGGGCUGAUUUGGAUCCACUAGUUUAAUGCUAUGGUUAGACUUUGUCUUAAUUCUUUUUUCUUAGUUGCGGAUAUCGGUGUCAAAACCGACAGAUCUCGGGUAGGGGGUCCCAAGUUGUGGGUCUAGGAUCAAUAGGUAACGGUGACGAUGAACACGGUGUUUUACCCAGGUUCGGGCCCUCUUGAUGGACAAUUUUUUUUAAAAAAAAAAUUUAGAAAUAUUUUUUUCAAUUUUUUUUUCAUUUUUUCUUAAUCUCGGGUCACUAUGGCUUAAUCUCGAGUCAAUAUGAUUAAUCUCAAGUCAAAUCGCACUAAGUGGUCAAACUUCCCGGAAGGUCACCCAUCCUCACACUACUCCAGCCCGAGCACGCUUAACUUCACAGUUCUAUCCAACCCCAGCACCACCUCACUCAACAGGCACUUGUUGAUAUAUCUACCAUAUCAAUCCUAUUAAACCUUGUUGAUGUCUAGGACUUUGUUCAUGUUCAUGAGUAUGAUAAAAUUUUGAAAAAUAUUUCAAACUUCCCGGUCAUAUCACGUAUCAUUUUUUGAAAAAAAAUUCCAAGAAAAAAUUCAACACCAAUUUUUUUUCUGUUACUAGUGGCGCACCUAGCAAACGGUGCGCCACUAGUAAGUUUGAAAUUUUUUGAAUUUUUUUGCCUCUAGAUCUUGAAAGCCCCGUAACUUUUUUUCUGUUAGGUUUUUGAGGAUUUUGAAAAUGUUUAACGGGGUUCCCCCGAUUAAAUUCGGAUGUAACUUUUCGAGUAGAUGAUUUUUCAUACAAAAAACUUUUUAAUCCGAGUUCGUAUGCAAAAGUUAUGCCCAUUUUACAAAUUCCAGAGAGAUUUUGCAAAUAAAGUUGAAAUUCAUAUUUGUAAAUUUUCCCAACAACUAGACCACAUAUCACAUGGGAAACUUAUUUUCUUUUAUUUUUUUAACAUUUCCAUUAUUUUCUUUUAUUUUUUUAAAACUGAAAAGGCGGUCCAUGAGGGGGUGCAUUCGGUGGAAUUUUUGGGUCAAGUUAGUAAUGGCGCACCGUGGGAGUGGUGCGCCAUUACUAGUUCAACUAGUAAUGGCGCAACACUCCCAUGGUGCGCCAUUACUAGUUUUGAAAAAAAAUAAAAAAAAUUUGAAAAAAAAUUUGAAUUUUUUUUACUAGUGGCGCACCGUGGAUGUGGUGCGCCAUUACUAGUUUAACUAGUAAUGGCGCACUAUCCCCUGGUGCGCCAUUACUAGUUUUGGAAAAAAAAUAAAAAAAUUUGAAAAAAAAAUUACUAGUGGCGCACCGUGGAUGUGGUGCGCCAUUACUAGUUUAACUAGUAAUGGCGCACUAUCCCCUGGUGCGCCAUUACUAGUUUUGAAAAAAAAUAAAAAAAAUGUUACUAGUGGCGCACAGUGGAUGUGGUGCGCCAUUAGUAUUUGGACACUAAUGGUGCGCCAUUAGUAUAUAGUAGUGGUGCACCACAUGUCUGGUGCGCCAUUAGUGUCCAUAUGAUCUAUAGCCCUUUUCCUAGUAGUGUUAGGGGUAUGAUCAGUAAUGUCAUAAUGAUGAUAAUAAUCUAUCGACUAGCCUGGCCUCGGCUUAUAUAAUGUACCAGAGGCCUAUGAUAACAAGACUCCUAGUUGGCUAUGUUGGUGGAGAGGAGUCCUUGUCUUGAUCAUCAAGUCUUGUGGAAUCUUCCCUGUAUAUGUCAUCGGUUGUCCGAACUGGCCCAUUAGUGAGGUCCUCGGCCCGACCCACUGGUCGGGAGACAACGUGGUGAGUACCCCCUAGUUCAGGACACCGUCAGCGGAUGCUUGCGAGAGGGGGUAAUCAUAAGUGGGAGGCUUGUUCAAGUAAGAACAACACCCAAGCACCGGUCCACCCACAUAUCAAAUCAUCAAAGUAGCGAAAGCGAACCGAAUGAACAUGAUGAAAGUGACUAGAUGAAAUUCCCGUGUGUCCUCAAGAACGCUUUUCUCAUUAUAAGUACUAGUUCUGGCCUGUCCUUUGCACUAAAAAGGAUUGGGAUAUCUUGCUGCACUUUAUUUACAUUUGUCACUUGCUACUCGUUACCAAUUAUCUUGCUAUCAGACUACUCGCUACCGCUUGUUUCAGUGUUUGCAAAAAUAUCGUUAUUGAAAACCGCAAGUCAUUUCCUUCUGCUGCUCGUUGGGUUCGACACUCUUACUUAUCGAAAGGACUAUGAUUGAUCCCCUAUACUUGUGUGUCAUCACGGGGCCACCCACCUGGGGUGCUCCCUCCCUAGCUUAUCACUCCCUCGAGACUCCUCGGGUCUUCCCCGAAGCUUCCAGGGUCUCUUUUGGUCCAGAAAACUUAAUCCAAUGUUUUUCUGUGUUUGUACCUUUUUUAUAAUGAUAUUAUAAAAUGAUAAAAACAAGCAAAAAAAUAACAACUGGCACUAGGCACUACGUUAAUAGGUUAGUCCCAAAAAAUGAUACAAAAAUAGCACAAAGUUGCAUAUAAAACAUCAAAGAUUGCUAAUAUAAUAGCACGAAACAAUAAAACAUUACAGAUAGGAGGCGUAUCAAGCAUCCCCAAGCUUAAUUCUUGCUCUUCCUCGAGUAGGUAAAUGAUAAAAACAAAAAAUUUGAUGUGGAAUGCUACCUAACAUGUUUCAUCAUGUAAUCUCUCUUACGGUAUGAAUAAUAAGAUCCGAAUGAUUCAAAGCAAUAGUCUAUAAUUUGAUAUAAAGACAUCAAUACUCAGGCAUACUAACAAACAAUCAUGCCUUUCAAAAUAACGAUGCUAACCCAAGUUAUCCCUACAAAAUCAUAUAAUCCUAUCAUGCUCCAUCUUCUUAACACAAAGUAUUUAUGAUGCACUACCCCAAUGACAAUCCAGGCAAUUGGUUCAUACUUCUUAACGUGCUUCAGCUUUUUCAACCCCCACGCAAUACAUGACGGCAAGCCAAGGACAUAACACUAUGGAUGGAAUAGAACAUGAUGAUAGAGAUCAAUAAGGGGAAAUCAAAAAUAAGAAGAUGGUCUCACAUCAAUGCGGCUAACAAACGGGCUAUAGAGAUGCCCAUCAAUUGAUGUCAAUGCAAGGAGUAGGGAUUGCCAUGCAACGAAUGCACUAAGAAGGCACCCAAGGUAAUAUCCAAGGAGACUCAAGCGUCGAAGCCUGGGGAUGCCCCGGAAGGCAUCCCCUCUUUCUUCUAAUGACUAUCGGUAACGCACUUGAGGCUACAUUUUUAUUCAUCACAUGAUAUGAGUUUUUCUUGGAGCGUCUUGUAUGAUAUGAGUCUUUGCUUUGUUUAUUUUUAGUAUAUCACAAUCAUCACCUCUGAACGCAUUUGCUUGAGAUAGCUUCAUGUCAUCAUGAUUUGCUUGAAUUGCCCUUUGUGCUUCACUUAAAUUUGUUGAGCUAGGUGGUUGCUCUAGUGCUUCAUUUAUAUCUUUUUUUAACACGGUGGUGCUUUUGUUUUGAAGAAACUUGUUCUCAUGCUUCACUUAUAUCUUUUUGAGAAUGCUAGAAAUUUUAUAAAAAUAUUAGUCUCAUGCUUCACUUAUAUCUUUUUGAGAGUUUGAAAUUAGUUAUGGUAAAAUGUACAGCUAUAAGCUUGGUCUCCAUAUGAUGAAUAUUCAAGAAGGAUAAUGAUAACUAGUAUAAAAAAUUUAUGGGACUUCAAAAACUUGAUUCUUUGCAACAAUUUUGAGAUAUGUAGAUGAUAAUACGUGAGUUAUGUUCAUGAAUAAUUAUACUCUAGUAUGAAUAUUGAUGUUAAGGUUUAUGAUUCCCUAUGCAAGCACGUAAAGUCAAUAGUUAUGCAAUGAAGUUACAUCCUACUUGUGGUGCAUUAUUCGGUGUUGGUUAUGUUUUCUGUAUGCAUGUGCAUCAUUACAAUUUCUUAGUUGGUCGCUUCUCAACCAUUUUGCUAGCCUCCAUUCGUACUAAGCGGGAAUACUGCUUGUGCAUCCAUUACCUUAAACUUGUUUUGCCAAUUGUGUCCAUCAUACCUACAUAUAUACGGUAUUUCAUUGCCGUCCCAAGUAAAUUUGCAUGUGCCAUCUCUAAUAAUUUUCAAAAUAAACUUCUCUUUUGUGUGCCUGUAUUGCUCAUGAAGUGAUAAGGGGUGGACGAUGAAUUCCGUGUUGUAUAUGUCAUUUUCAUGAUGAGUGUUUAUUCACUUGUCAUUGCACGAGAGUGUGGCGGUAAUAAAAGGGAUGCCCAGUCCCAAAAAUAAAUUGAAUUUCCUGGAAUAUGUUGUUAUGGAGGGCACCCGUGAAUACGGCUAGACAUGGAUUGUGAAAGGAAAGGUGGAAAAACUAACUCCUUCGGAUGUGAAUGGAAAAAAGGGACAAAAGUCUCAAAACCAUGGAACGAUGACAGGGAGCAAAAAAUUUCUUUUCAGUUUGGGAGCCGCCUAUGAUGUAUAUAACGUGGAAGGUAAGGAAAGCCUUGAGUCGCUGUCGUUGACGAGAAAACCAGGCCUCCCAAAAUAAAUUUUUUAUCUCUUUUUAAAACUUGAGGUCUGGCACCACUGUAAAUCAAUGCUUCCCUCUGCGAAGGUCGUUCUAUUUAUUUUUAUGUUGAGUCUCAUCCUUCUCAUUAAAAACCAACUAGGGGGUCAUGUGAUCAUGUGUGUGCAUGGAGUAUGAUUGACACUCGACUGUGUUUCAUAAAUCGAUCAAUGGUUGAGCAUAAUGGGCUAGGGAUAAUUUUCUUUAGCAUUGUUAUUUUGAAAGGCAUGGUUGCGUGUUAGCAUUGGAGGGGGUAUAUAUAGCCACAUCAUUGGUCCCGGUUCGUGGCUGGAACCGGGACUAAAGGCCACCCUUCUGUCCUGGUUCUAGGCACGAACCGGGACCAAUGGCUGUGGGCUAGGAGCGAGGACCAUUGGUCCCAUUCGUGCCUAGAACCGGGACAAAUGGGUCCACACGAACCGGGACAAAUGCCUCCCGAGGCCCGGCCGGCCCCCUGGGCGCACGAACCGGGACGUAUGACCCCCAUGGGUCCCGGUUCGUGACUGAACCGGGACUAAUGGGCUGGCCAGGCCCCAACCAAAGCCCUGUUUUCUACUAGUGAGGGGCGAUGCUCUGCGGAGUUCUCCCUCUUGGGGGCGUUGUCGUGGAGCUUAGGUGUGCUAGGUCGUAGCGUGAGCAUGUUUUGUUCUUCUGGUACUUGUUGUUGGUAGCGUAGAAGCAUGCGUUUUGCAUGUGCCGGAUAUCUCAGGAUCGACUUUGUAAGGGCUACCAAACCAUAUUGUAUCAUUUGACCAUGUACAUCUUUGGAUAUUGCUUUGUUUAUAAAGCGGGGAAAAGCCUAUUUCGAGAACAACGAAAACAACAACAACAACAGCAAACAGAUCAACAACUUCAGAAUAGUUUUUCUUUUAAAAUUUCACUUGCUUAAUUAACUACAUGCAUAGGACUUUCUACAGUGUUUUAGAGAACAACAACUACGAUUUGCCUGCUAGCUAGCUAGUUAGGUAUUUCAACACAACAUCAACAGCAAGGAGAAGGAGAAGAACUGUUAACAACCAGGCAGGCAGGUGGAGAGUGAGUGUGUGAGAGUGAGGUCUCUCUGGCUCUUUCCUGUAUGGCUACUCCUACUUCCUUCGCUGACAAAGUCCUGUUCUGAAUCCGUAAUACUGAUUCACAGUAAUGAUGGUGGAUCGACUAUACCUUGACUAAUCCAUGUACAACAAAAAUUACUACGUACAUGAUUAAAAAUCCAAGGGUCAAAUCCUGAUCAAUCGAUCUGGCAAAUUCUGCAUGAAUCUAGCAUGACAUCAAGUGUGAUUAACAGGAGUUUCAAUUAUAAUUAGCCUCCGAGAAGCUACAUGGAGGAGGAUGUAGUCGUGUUUUGUGGCCUUGUCAGAAACUUCGCUUUCCUUCAAUCUGAAAACAAGUGGUAGAGGGUAAAAGAAUGAAAAAAAACAUGUGUAGAGGAUAAGCAACACAUAAAGGCCACACACACAAAAACAGGGGUAUGCUAGCUGGUCCAUGACAUUGACAAGUCAAUUGAUUUGCUGCAACCAUAUAUAUGAAGUGUAGUAUUAUGAACAUGUGUGUGAAACUUGGUUCAAAUUGAUGUACUAUUAACUCGGGAGUAAGGAUUAAUGACAAUUUAAUAUUUCAAUGGAGAGCCACAUGAGUUGUGCAACCUUCUUAUCUGACAUGGAUCUACAUCAAACUAGGUGUUAAUGUUCUCCACAAACUCCAUGUCAGAUUUCAUUGUUCAUUUAUAGUGAGAAUAAUUGAUUACUUAUGCACUUUUCGCCUUUGAUGUUCCACUCACAAAAUAAGUUUAACUACCAACUAUCUCCAAAAACAAUCUUAGCGGGACAAAAAGUAUCCUCUGACAAAUCACGACCCAUCAAACAAGGUUCAAAUUUGAAGGAAAAUGACCCCUUCAACUUGAGUCAAACAAAUAAUUUGCAUACAAUCAACCGAAAUCAUUAUGGGCUUCUUCAGCCCUCCACUCGAUACACACCUACGCAGGGAGUCCACCAUUGUCGCUACCGAACAACAUUUUUGGAGGCGCACAUUAUCACCCAUAAACACAAAAUAAAUCAAAACGCAAUACAAGCCUAAAAGCGGUCAGUUCCUAGGGCCAGAAAAAGCUUGUUGACCUGCAAUUGCACAUGGUUUAUUUUUCACCUAUUUAAGUAUGAGUAUAAAUCCCACAGGGAAUACAUGAAUUGGACUUUGUCCCUAAGAGACACUUAUGGUAAUGUGCCUGCAUAUUAGUUUUCGACACAAAGCAAAGUGAACGCCAAAGAUUAUAAUGACUUUUGAGUUUAGUGCGAACAAAAGUAAAUAAUGCAAAAGAAUUAAAAGAGUGCAGCGGAACGAAUAAAGCAGGGAAACCGGUGGAGGAUUGAAGCAUUCUCAAGGACUCCAUAAUUCCCAUUGCAGUGUGUCUAAGGUAACAUAUGCCACUUCAUAAUUCUAAGCUAGAUACUUGAGUCACUCUUGAAAUUUGUUAUUGGGCGUAUCUGGGUACAAAAUACGUUCUACUCGAGGUGUACUCCGUACCACGAAGGCCACCACGGAAGCUUCCCCACUCUGGUUCUCACUGCGGUAAUUAAGGGUUUCCCCGUGGAAGCGGCCUUAUCAAGGGUUCUCCGUUAUGCCCCUAUCAGUUGCAAAGGCGAGGUAGAGAGUCUUUUACACUCACCUUGAAUUACCUCAACAUCCUAACCUUUACAACCAUGGUAAUAUGCCUCGUGUCCUUGCGACAGAAAUGGUGAGUGGGGCACCUUCACAAAAUUCAUGAAGGCUAUUGAAAAAACAUUCAACAGAGAAUAUCACAUCCUUAUUAACAUUUCAGCCUCCUAUACAUACCAUGGUUCAUCCAUAUCCCUGAGAACUGAGGAAACUACUCACACGUUGAGACAUGGAUGAAACAUCGGAUAAUACAUGUAUGGAUCGUACGAAUAGUGGAUAUAGCGGUGGUAAACAUGGUUUAAACACACGGAUAAUACAUGUAUGGAUCCACAAGGUUUUGGUAUUACAAUGGGAAGGAGAUGGAUGAUGCUGACGUCCCCUUGCACGAGCUGGUGGUGAUAGUGAUCUCCUCCUUUCCUUAAAUCUGCAAGCACAUUUAAAACAACAUCUUGGAGAGAACAGGAAAAAAGAAUUGUGCAGACGCGGUAAAAGCUAGCAAAUUUUACUGUGUAGGCGGGCUUGUGAUGGCUGUGGCAGUGUGGAUCUGACUACCGAGUUGUGACAAGCUGUGUGGGGCGAUGGUGGCGGUCCUCCCUCUUCUGAGCGUGAUAGCUGGCGACGGUGGGUUUCGACAGUCCCUCUCACGGGUGUGGAGGCGGGUCAAGGGGCGGUGAGUGUUGGCCGUGGUUUAGGCUGGCACUGGCGGAUCUGGGCAGGGGGAUUCAAUGGAGAGGCGGGGCUGGCAUUGGUGCGACUUCUCAGCGAGUAGAGUUGCCGGCUGUUCGGAGCGCCCCCACACAAGUUUUAGUGCUUAGUCGCCUUGGAUUAGGGUUUUUUGACUCUGGGUCGUUGUCGGUCAAGCCAAGGUGAAUGCUUGCAGCUCGGUUGGGGGAGGCACCUCCACACAUUGUAGUGUCGGUGAUGAUUGGUAGAUGUGGUGGUCAGGGCUAUGAUAUGCCGGCUGGUGGACCAGUGCCACAGUUCGCAGACUUGGCAUCUACGCACUGAUGCCAGGCUUUACUUGCUGCGAUUUGUGCAUUGUGAAGCGAGCGGGUCUAGGUGGUGCUCAGUGGUGAUGGUUGUGUUAGCAUUGCAUUCGUGCGCGGAUCAGUGCCGGUGAUCGCAAACAUGGCGUGGUGCGAGCUCGCCUGGCCAAGGGCUCGGUGCUGGCUCGCCGGCGGUCCCCCUACUCCACCGACCAUUGGCUGGGGAUGCAGGUGUGGGUGCGUCCUACGGUGGAGGUGCCCAACCAAACUCUUGGACCGAGUCUGGGCUAGGAGUAGAUGGAGUGUUGUCGCUCUUCCUACCAUGGUUGGCUACGUUGUCAUGUGAGCGGCGUAUGGUAUUUCGCGACAAGGAUGCCGGGUUGGCGGCCCCUGAUGGCGGGCCGCAUGAUUGCUCUUUGGCAGGCAUUAUUUCGUUGGUGGUGGCUCCCCUCCUGGGUUGUGGGGGCAACGGGAGGUGUUGCGGUUAGUAGCUCAGACGUGCCCUCUCUCUAGGAGGGGCAGUGUCCUGAUCAAGAUCUGGGGAUCUAACAUCAACGCGCUAGUCCUGAGGACCUCGUGGUGGCACAGGUGAGUUCUCGAGCAAAAGCUCCGUGCCUUGGCGUCGCCGCCAACGACACUCAUGGGUGCCGCACUCUUCUUGAAGACGUCGUUGUGGUUCUUCUCUCCGUGUCAGGGCUCCGGGUGUAGACCUUUGUCUGGUGUGGACUCAGCAGGGGCGACGCUGUGCAGAGUUCUCCCUCUUGGGGCCGUUGUCGUGGAGCUUAGGUGUGCUAGGUCGUAGCGUGAGGAUGUUUUGUUCUUCCGGUGCUUGUUGCCGGUAGCGUAGAAGCGUGCGUUUUGCAUGUGCCGAACAACUCAGGACCGACUUUGUAAGGUCUACGUGACCAUAUUGUAUCAUUUGGCCGUGUGCAUCUUUGGAUGUUGCUUUGUUUAUAAAGCGGGGCAAAAGCCUAUUUCGACAACAACGAAAACAACAGCAACAACAAACAAAUCAACAACUUCAGAAUAGUUUAUCUUUUAAAAUUUCACUUGCUUAAUUAACAACAUGCAUAGGACUUUCUAAAGUGUUUUAGAGAAGGACAACUACGAUUUGCUAGCUAGCUAGUUAGGUAUUUCAACACACCAUUAACAGCAAGGAGAAGGAGAAGAACUGUUAACUGCCAGGCAGGCAGGUGGAGAGUGGGUGUGUGAGAGUAAGUCUCUCUGGCUUUUUCCUGUAUGGCUACUCCUACUUCCAUCGCUGACAAAGACCUGUUCUGAAUCUGUAAUACUGAUUCACAGUAAUGAUGGUGGAUCGACUAUAUCUUGACUAAUCCAUGUACAACGAAAAUUACUACGUACAUGAUUAAAAAUCCAAGGGUCAAAUCCUGCUCAAUCGAUCCGGCAAAUUCUGCACGAAUCUAGCAUGACAUCAUGUGUGAUUAACAGGAGUUUCAAUUAUAAUUAGCCUCCGAGAAGCUACAUGGAGGAGGAUGUUGUCGUGUUUUUGGCCUUGUCAGAAACUUCGCUUUCCAUCAAUCUGAAAACAAGUGGUAGAGGGCAAAAAAAAAUAAAAAAACAUGUGUAGAGGAUACCGCAACACAUAAAGCCACACACACAAAAACAGCAGUAUGCUAGCUGGUCCAUGACAUUGACAAAUCAAUUGAUUUGCUGCAACCAUAUGUACGAAUAAUAUCGCCAAGGAUAAGAGAAGGAGAAAAAAAUAUAAAUAUACCGAUAGGCUCUUCUUUUGUUCAUGGAUGCAUGUUGCAUGAGCCAAGUGUAUUGGCAGUAUGGCUUGUGUUUGCUGCAUGAUGGCGGCAGGUUCCCAUUCAGUUAGGCAUGCUAAGUCCUAAAUUCAUUUAUUCACGUAUCGGGUAGAAGGAGAACAAAUUUCAUUUCUUUUCUGUAGGUUCCUUGCUUAAAAGAAAAUAGAAAAAAAGACACUUCUAUAAUUACCAGAAAAAAUCAACUGUAUGUCGCUCAGUCUUCCCUUUUUGUUCGGUAUCAGUACCAACAAUCAUAGUACUAAUAGCUUUCUAUACUGGCGGUAGUAAAUUCAAUAAAAGAAACCUGGAGACUAUCUGAACAAUUUGAAACAAUAUGUACAAACUGAGAUCAACUAACGACAGAAAUCCAAAAGAAAUGUUCAUGUCUACGUGGAGUGAAUCGAUCAAGCCGUGCAAAGCCCUAACAAUUCGUUUUGUAUUAAUAACUCAUAUGACAAUACAACCGCUCCAUAUGAAAAGGUAAUAUGAUGAUUCAUGAAUGCUUAUCCAUCUUAUAAAUAUAUUGUGCAAAAAAUAUCGAGUUAGUUCAGAGAAAACGAUGUCUAGAACAAUCUUCACAUUAAUAGUGUGAUCUAUCUCAAUGACUCACACAAGAUUACAUAGUUUGUUCCCUUAAGUAUGGCAAUCUGGAUACGCCUAACAAUAUGUAGAACAUGACAAACUAAAUCAGAACAAGGGACAAAAUCCAGAUCAAUGUUUGAAGUGUAAAGUGAAUACGAUGAGUCAUUUGUCGUUAUCAAGCAUUCCAUACACCUAGAUGAUAUGUGCAAGAACAAUCAACUAUGACGAACAAUCCAAAAUCAUGAUAGUAAGUAGUACCAUAAAACACGACAUACCAAAUUAUUGUAAAUGAUAAGCUUAAGAGCACUUUUUCAAGAAGCACGUGUGAAGAUUACAAACUUAGUUCCCUUAAGUUAUGCCAAUCUGGAUACACCUAACAACAUGUAGAACAUGACAAACUAAAUCGGAAAGACGGACAAAAUCUAGAUCAAUGUUUGAAGUGUAAAGUGAAUACGAUGAGUCAUUCGUCAUGAUCAAGCAUUCGAUACAGCCAGAUGAUAUGUGCAAGAACAAUCAACUAUGAUGAACAAUCGAAAAUCAUGCUAGGAAGUAGUGCCACCAAACACAACAUACCAAAUUAUUAGGUCGAUAGUCUUAAGUGCACUUUUUCAAGAAAGGAGUGGGAAGAUGAAAACAAAAUAUGUCAUGCCUGCUAUAAUUACGACUACACCAUGUGGGUCUCUUCCAUCAUCUAACCUUCAAGAACCUAGAGCAAAAACACCAAAGCCAAGUGAGCAAUAGUAAACACAAAUCAAACAUGAAGACCUUCAUCAUAUUUGUCCUCCUUGCUAUGGUGAUGAGCAUCGCCAGUGCCACUAGGCAACUAAGCCCUAGAGGCAAGGAGUUGCAAACACCACAAGAACAAUUCCCCCAACAGCAAUUCCCUCAACCACAACAAAUCCUCCAACAACAAUUCCCCCAACAACAACAAAUCCCCCAGCAACCGCAACAAUUCCCCCAACAGCAAAUCCCACAACAGCAAAUCCCGCAACAACAAUUCCCCCAACCACNNNNNNNNNNNNNNNNNNNNNNNNNNNNNNNNNNNNNNNNNNNNNNNNNNNNNNNNNNNNNNNNNNNNNNNNNNNNNNNNNNNNNNNNNNNNNNNNNNNNNNNNNNNNNNNNNNNNNNNNNNNNNNNNNNNNNNNNNNNNNNNNNNNNNNNNNNNNNNNNNNNNNNNNNNNNNNNNNNNNNNNNNNNNNNNNNNNNNNNNNNNNNNNNNNNNNNNNNNNNNNNNNNNNNNNNNNNNNNNNNNNNNNNNNNNNNNNNNNNNNNNNNNNNNNNNNNNNNNNNNNNNNNNNNNNNNNNNNNNNNNNNNNNNNNNNNNNNNNNNNNNNNNNNNNNNNNNNNNNNNNNNNNNNNNNNNNNNNNNNNNNNNNNNNNNNNNNNNNNNNNNNNNNNNNNNNNNNNNNNNNNNNNNNNNNNNNNNNNNNNNNNNNNNNNNNNNNNNNNNNNNNNNNNNNNNNNNNNNNNNNNNNNNNNNNNNNNNNNNNNNNNNNNNNNNNNNNNNNNNNNNNNNNNNNNNNNNNNNNNNNNNNNNNNNNNNNNNNNNNNNNNNNNNNNNNNNNNNNNNNNNNNNNNNNNNNNNNNNNNNNNNNNNNNNNNNNNNNNNNNNNNNNNNNNNNNNNNNAACAACAAUUCCCCCAACAACAAUUCCCCCAGCAACCACAACAACAAUUCCCCCAACAACAAUUUCCCAUACCAUACCCACCCCAACAACAAUCACAAGAAGCUUCCCCAUACCAACAAUACCACAACAACACCUAUCUGGGAACGACGUUAUAAGUAUCAGUGGCCGAUGAAAUAAAGAGAUGUACUACUAGACAGGUGAAUCAUCGUUGUUAGUCAAUGGAGCAUAAUGUAACGGGUAUAAAUAAAAUGAUGUGCACCAUCAUGUGUAACCCCGACAUGUACUAGUUCAAACAUGGGAAUAAAAGACAAAUAAGUUCUUUUCUGAAGCACAUUGCUGGCAAUCGUUAUAUUCAUGCCAUAUUUCGAUUUCCAUCGGUAACUCCAAUCUCAAUGUUAUGGUCUAUCUACUUAUUUAUGAAGUGUAGUAUUAUGAACAUAACAUAAUUAACAUGUCUGAAAAUUGGCUCAAAUUGAAGUACUACUAAUUCAAGAGUAAGGAGUAAUUACAAUUUAACAUUUCAAUGGAGAGCUCUAAUUGUAGACUGCGUUGUUAAUUCCCCGAAGAGGAAAGGAUGAUGUAGUAUAGUAGAGAUAAGUGUUUCCCUCAGCUAAGAACCAAGGUUAUCAAUCCAGUAGGAGAACCGCACAAAACCUCGUUAGCAGCACCUGCACACACAAAAGCAAACACUUGCACCGAACGCAAAUAAGAGGGUUGUCAAUCCUCUUAGCGAUUAUUUGCAAGGAUUAGUUCUGACAGUGAUACAUAGAUAAAAUAAAUUACUAAAUAAAAUAAAAAUAAAUAAAUUGCAGCAAUGUAUUUUUGUGCUUUUAUAUAUGAUAAAAGUAGACCCGGGGGGGGCAUAGUUUUCACUAGAGGAUUCUCUCUUGAUCAUAAAACAUAUGGUGGGUAAACACAUUACUGUUGGGCAAGCUAUUAUAUACUAAAAGGAAAAUACUGGUCCAAAAUAGAGAAUAGGCUAGAAAAUCUGGCGUUAAUUAGAAAAUAUGAACCCUUGAUCCGUUUAAUUUUAAAAAUUAUAAAUCUAUGACCGUUCAAUAUACGUAACAAGGUCGGGCGUGGAUAACUUCCCGCGUAACGUGACACAUGUAAGAAACACAAACAUGAGUCCAGUUAAGGCAAACACGUAGAUGUGUUGAAGUGGGAAUGAAUAGAAUUGCUACGUCCGAAUAUGCAAGAGAUAGAAAAGAUGAAGAAAACUAAAGAACAUGUCGUGUUCAGAUUGGACUAAACGUAUGUGCGUAUACAACCACAACCACAAUCCGAAAGAUCCAGCCAUUAAUCCCGUGGGUCCAUCCAAAACAAAAGGUGGAUAUCCAUCUAAUUGCCCCACGUCCAUGGAACAUACUUAUUAGAGUCCACAAACAGUAGCCGCUGGUCUCUUUUACGUGAUCCUCCUUGCACUGUUAGGACUUUGCCGUCGGACAUCCUUAAGUUCUUGUGAAGUUCACAUCUAAAAAUACUAUCAUAGUAAAAAAAUCCAUUUCAUACUCCAAGAAAGAUAUCACCAUCCCAAAGUUUCAAUUGCAAUCUAAGUUUUGCCACAACUGGGUAUUUAAAACUUAUUUUACCACAGCUCGGCAAUUUCAGCCACUAAGGUUUUUGUGGCAGAUGAAGCAUCUUCCCAUUGGAAACUCCCAACUGUAAAAAGACUAGCAAAUUAGCAAUCAUUGGCAAAUCAGCAAUCUUAUAGCGGCAGCAGCUCCCAUCAAUCAGGUAACUCAUCUUCCAAAAAUCAGAGACAAUAAGCAACCAUACACAUCAUGCACAUAUGAUAUUAACAUAAUUACAUAUGUGAUUUCUGUGUUGAAUUUCGUACAACAUUACCAUGAAGAGAAGCGCAUCCACAUGGCAAGUAAUUUCCAAAAGCCGCCAAAAAGGUGAAAAGCAAUCAAAUAUGCAAUCCAACAAGUUAAUUAUUAAGCUAUAGACCAUGCAUGUUUCAGUGGUGCAUACAAGAUCAGUAGAACAAAUUCCUAGCCGUUACGACAUUCAUCAGGGAGGCGAGGACUAUGAAGCGACGGGUUGCGAGCUGGAGGGAAUGGCGGCGCACCCCGUGUCUCAGCCGAGAGAGGAGAGGCCGGGGAUAGAAUUAAGAGAGACACGAGUGAUGUCAGAUGAUAGGCUAGGGAUCGUUGGGCGUUCUCACAUAUUGCGUGGAGGAGGUUAGCUAAAUGGGCCAGCACAAAGGCCCAGUCAACCGCAGGUGGCAGAGUUUUCUCCCAGUGCAGCAGCCCUUUAGGACAGUUGAGCCAAGAAAUAUAGUUACAAAAUUAGGAAUUCAUCCAACAGUCAGAAAUGAUCUAUACAAGUGAUCUGAUAGUUACAAAUGUUGAAUGCUUGAGAGAGCUGGGAUAAGGCUAAGUUUUACUGUCCUAAAUGUAUUAGAUAUGUAGAAUCUGACAGUUAUUAAAGUUUAAUUGUCCUUCAGAAAAAACUAUGGCUAAUCACCACUACGCUAAUUACUUUUUACAAUUGUUGUACAUGAAUGGGGGUUAGGCAAGCGUAACACUGCUGAUGAGGGUCCCAAACCCGAUAAAGGUGGAGGGUGCAUAAUCAAAUUAACAUCUAACACUAACAUGCAAUACCUUUUAAGUUCAUAUAUUGAUUCAAUCGCAAAAGGGAAAAAUGAAACAAAAGUAGGCAGCGGGACCUGGAAGUCAACAGAGGAAACAGAAGGGUAUGCUCAUCGUGUGGAAUCGUUUGUGGGGGGCGAGCUGAGUAAACAGAGGAAGGUGAUCGAACGACGUCUCAGGUUUAUUUGUUUACUGAACAGACAGACAUGUGUAAGUUUUUUUUCCCUUUGAGGGGAAAGACGUGUGUAACUAGGGAGGGAUGAUUUUGCACGUUCUGUAUUUUUUUCCACCAGAAAACAGAUACUACUUUAACAAAUAAAUCCUACACUAAAUAUUUUAUAUGCUGCAAAUUAUAGGCCACAUACGCAUGAGCCUAAAUUAUAGGCGACUAUUUCAUAGGGUGAAAGUAAACAAAAUAGAAAAUCUUAUAGGCGACAUGAGCAUGAACCUAAAUUAUAUAUUUUAUAUGCUGCAAAUUAUUUUAAAAACAUGUGAAAAUAUAGUGCAUGAUCAUCAGACCAAAAACUCUAGCCUGUACAAAACACUCAUAUUUAGACGUAUAUUUCAUAUGGAGCUGCCAAUUCAUAUCAAUCCGGCACUACAACAGUAACACUAUCGUGCAGCCGCUUAAGUCAAAUCUAAAGUUAAAGCUAAUCAACACAAAAUAUCCAAUGUAAAAGGAAUUACUUAUACUAAAAAUAUAAAAUAUACCUAAGAGUGCGAAAGAUGACGAAUAUUUACUAUAAGAGUGCUAGCCCUCGCAUUUGCGAGGGCCACCUUGCUAGUUGAUAAAAAACAAAUAAUUAUGAUGGAUUCAUGGCAAUGAUCAUGUAUAUAGGCAUCACGUUCGAGACAAGUAGACCGACUCCCGUCUGCAUCUACUACUAUUACUCCACCCAUCGACCGCUAUCCAGCAUGCAUCCAGAGUAUUAGGUAUAAAACAGAGUGACGCCUUAAGUACGAUGACAUGAUAUAGAUAAAGUAAAUUCAAGAAAUAUGAUUAAACCCCAUCUUUUUAUCCUUAAUUGUCAGCCCAUUGGCUGUUAUUUUCCCCGAUCUGACCAUCCGUGACGCUCCUGUUGUUCGCAACGCUACCGCUACGACUGCGGGAGCAUGUCAUUUUCGUUAUACAUGUAACCCAAAAAUAUCUCUAACAUUAAUGACAACAAUACAAAUACGUGUUAUGUCCCUUUUUGUCACUGGGAUUGAGCAAUGCAAGAUUGAAUCCAUCACAAAGCACCUCUCCCCAUUGCAAGAUAAACCAAUCUAGUUGGCCAAACCAAAUCGAUAGAUCAGGGAGAAAUAUAAAGCUAAAAUAAUCACGCAUAAAAGAGCUCAGAGAAGACUCAAAUAUUUCUCAUGAAUCAUAUGAUCAUAAACUCACGAUUCAUUGGAUCCCAACAAACACACCGGAAAAGAAGAUUACAUCGGAUAGAAAUCCAAGAACAUCGGGGAUAACUUUGUAUUGAAUAUCAAAGAGAGAGAAGAAGCCAUUUAGCUACUGGCUAUGGACCCAUAGGUGUGUGGUAAAAUACUCACACAUCAUCGGAAGGGCAGCAUGGUUUAUGUGGAAGCCCUUCGUGAUCGAUUCCCCCUCCGGCAGAGUACUGGAAAAGGCCUCCCGACGGGAUCGCGGAAAAACAGAGGCUUGCGGCGGAGAAAAAGUUUUCUCAUCUAUCUCUCUGGUGGUUAUGGAAUAUUUGUGAUUUAUAGUGGAAGAAUUAGGUCAGGAGGUGCCACGAGGGGGCCAUAAGCCUAGGGGCGCGGUGAUACGUCCAUUUUGCAUCAUGUUUUAUUACAGUUAUUUAUUAAGUUUUGAGCUAAUAUAACACUUCAUGGAGUAUUUCUAAUGCAUUUUCUCUCUUAAUAUGCAAGGUUUACACAAAGAGGGAGAAUACCGGCAGCUGGAUUUCAGGGCCUGAAAAAGCUACAUCAGAGAUCCCUAUUCUGCACAUCUCCAAAUGGGCUGAAAAUUCACGAAGAUUUAUUUUAGAAUAUAAAAAAAUACUGGGCCAAAGAUCCACGGGAGGAGGCCACCCAGGUGCCCACACAGCAAUAGGGCGCGCCCCACCCCUAGGGCGCGCCCUGAUGCUGUAUGAGGCCCCUGGCCCAAUUCAGGCCCCCUCCUUCUGGUAUAUAAGUCAUUUUACCAUAAAAUAUUUAUGGGGAGACUUUCAGGACGAGGCGCCGCUGCCACGAGGCGGAACUAGAGCAGGAGAAAUUUGGCUCUCCGGCGUGCAGAUUCCGCCGGGGAUACUUCCCUCCGGGUGGUGGAAAUCGAAGCUUACGUCAUCACUAACAACCCUCUCAUCGUGGGAGGACCAAUCUUCAUCAUCAUAAACCACAACACCAUCUCAUCUCUAUCCCUAGUUCAUAUCUUGUAUUCGAUCUCUGUGUCAAAACAUUAGAUUGGUACUUGUGUUUGACUAGUAGUGUUGAUUACUUAUCGUAGUUGAUGCUAGUGGAUUUGUUUGGUGAAUUACCAAAUGUUCUGAUCGUGCAUCCAAAUUAUAUUCUCUCUGAUCAUGAACAUGAUGAUGAUGUGUGAGUAGUUACUUUUAUUCUUGAGGACAUGGGAGAAGUCUUGUCAUUAGUAAUCAUGUGAUUCCGGUAUUCGUUCAAUAUUUUGAUGAUAUGUAUGUUGUGAUUCUCUUAGUGGUGUCAUAUGAACGUCGACUACAUGACACUUCACCAUUGAUGGGCCUAAGGGAACUCAUUGUGGAGUAGUAAUUAGAUGAUGGGUUGCUAGAGUGACAGAAGCUUAAACCCCAGUUUAUGCACUAUUCCGUAAGGGGCUGAUUUGGAUCCACUAGUUUAAUGCUAUGGUUAGACUUUGUCUUAAUUCUUUUUUCUUAGUUGCGGAUGUCGGUGUCAAAACCGACAGAUCUCGGGUAGGGGGUCCCAAGCUGUGGGUCUAGGAUCAAUAGGUAACAGUGACGAUGAACACGGUGUUUUACCCAGGUUCGGGCCCUCUGGAUGGAGGUAAAACCCUAUGUCCUGCUCUUGUUUGUAUUGAUGAAGUAUCAAGGUACAGAGUUGAUCUACCUCGAGAUCAUAUGUUCUGGUCUAAACCCUAGGGGUAUGAUCAGUAAUGUCAUAAUGAUGAUAAUAAUCUAUCGACUAGCCUGGCCUCGGCUUAUAUAAUGUACCAGAGGCCUAGGAUAACAAGACACCUAGUUAGCUAUGUUGGUGGAGAGGAGUCCUUGUCUUGGUCACCAAGUCUUGUGGAAUCUUUCCUGUAUAUGUCAUCGGUUGUCCGAACUGGCCCAUUAGUGAGGUCCUCGGUCCGACCCACUGGUCGGGAGACAACGUGGUGAGUACCCCCUAGUCCAGGACACCGUCAGCGGAUGCUUGCGAGAGGGGGUAAUCAUAAGUGGGAGGCUUGUUCAAGUAAGAACAGCACCCAAGCACCGGUCCACCCACAUAUCAAAUCAUCAAAGUAGCGAAAGCGAAUCGAAUGAACAUGAUGAAAGUGACUAGAUGAAAUUCCCGUGUGUCCUCAAGAACGCUUUUCUCAUUAUAAGUACUAGUUCUGGCCUGUCCUUUGCACUAAAAAGGAUUGGGAUAUCUUGCUGCACUUUAUUUACAUUUGUCACUUGCUACUCGUUACCAAUUAUCUUGCUAUCAGACUACUCGCUACCGCUUGUUUCAGUGUUUGCAAAAAUAUCGUUAUUGAAAACCGCAAGUCAUUUCCUUUUUCUUCUCGUUGGGUUCGACACUCUUACUUAUCGAAAGGACUAUGAUUGAUCCCCUAUACUUGUGGGUCAUCACGCGGCCACCCACCUGGGGCGCUCCGUCCCUAGCUUAUCACUCCCUCGAGACUCCUCGGGUCUUCCCCGAAGCUUCCAGGGUCUCUUUUGGUCCAGAAAACUUAAUCCAAUGUUUUUCUGUGUUUGUACCUUUUUUAUAAUGAUAUUAUAAAAUGAUAAAAACAAGCAAAAAAUAACAACUGGCACUAGGCACUACGUUAAUAGGUUAGUCCCAAAAAAUGAUACAAAAAUAGCAAAAAGUUGCAUAUAAAACAUCCAAGAAUGAUAAUAUAAUGGCACGAAACAAUAAAACAUUACAGAUAGGAGGCGUAUCAAGCAUCCCCAAGCUUAUUUCUUGCUCGUCCUCGAGUAGGUAAAUGAUAAAAACAAAAUUUUUGAUGUGGAAUGCUACCUAACAUGUUUCAUCAUGUAAUCUCUCUUACGGUAUGAAUAAUAAGAUCCGAAUGAUUCAAAGCAAUAGUCUAUAAUUUGAUAUAAAGACAUCAAUACUCAGGCAUACUAACAAACAAUCAUGCCUUUCAAAAUAACGAUGCUAACCCAAGUUAUCCCUACAAAAUCAUAUAAUCCUAUCAUGCUCCAUCUUCUUAACACAAAGUAUUUAUGAUGCACUACCCCAAUGACAAUCCAGGCAAUUGGUUCAUACUUCUUAACGUGCUUCAGCUUCAACCCCCGCGCAAUACAUGAUGGCAAGCCAAGGACAUAACACUAUGGAUGGAAUAGAACAUGAUGAUAGAGAUCAAUAAGGGGAAAUCCAAAAUAAGAAGAUAGUCUCACAUCAAUGCGGCUAACAAACGGGCUAUAGAGAUGCCCAAAAAUUGAUGUCAAUGCAAGGAGUAGGGAUUCCCAUGCAACGGAUGCACUAAGAAGGCACCCAAGGUAAUAUCCAAGGAGACUCCAGCGUCGAAGCUUGGGGAUGCCCCGGAAGGCAUCCCCUCUUAAUUCUAAUGACUAUCAGUAACGCACUUGAGGCAACAUUUUUACUCAUCACAUGAUAUGAGUUUUUCUUGGAGCGUCUUGUAUGAUAUGAGUCUUUGCUUUGUUUAUUUUUAGUUUAUCACAAUCAUCACCUCUGAACGCAUUUGCUUGAGAUAGCUUCACGUCAUCAUGAUUUACUUGAAUUGCCCUUUGUGCUUCACUUAAAUUUGUUGAGCUAGGUGGUUGCUCUAGUGCUUCAUUUAUAUCUUUUUUAACACGGUGGUGCUUUUGUUUUGAAGAAACUUGUUCUCAUGCUUCACUUAUAUCUUUUUGAGAAUGCUAGAAAUUUUAUAAAAAUAUUAGUCUCAUGCUUCACUUAUAUCUUUUUGAGAGUUCGAAAUUAGUUAUGGUAAAAUGUACAAGCUAUAAGCUUGGUCUCCAUAUGAUGAAUAUUCAAGAAGGAUAAUGAUAACUAGUAUAAAAAAUUUAUGGGACAUGAAUAACUUGAUUCUUUGCAACAAUUUUGAGAUAUGUAGAUGAUAAUACGUGAGUUAUGUUCAUGAAUAAUUAUACUCUAGUAUGAAUAUUGAUGUUAAGGUUUAUGAUUCCCUAUGCAAGCACGUAAAGUCAAUAGUUAUGCAAUGAAGUUACAUCCUACUUGUGGUGCAUUAUUCGGUGUUGGUUAUGUUUUAUGUAUGCAUGUGCAUCAUUACAGUUUCUUAGUUGGUCGCUUCUCAACCAUUUUGCUAGCCUCCAUUCGUACUAAGCGGGAAUACUGCUUGUGCAUCCAUUACCUUAAACUUGUUUUGCCAAUUGUGUCCAUCAUACCUACAUAUAUACGGUAUUUCAUUGCCGUCCCAAGUAAAUUUGCAUGUGCCAUCUCUAAUAAUUUUCAAAAUAAACUUCUCUUUUGUGUGCCUGUGUUGCUCAUGAAGUGAUAAGGGGUGGACGAUGAAUUUCGUGUUGUAUAUGUCAUUUUCAUGAUGAGUGUUUAUUCACUUGUCAUUGCACGAGAGUGUGGCGGUAAUAAAAGGGAUGCCCAGUCCCAAAAAUAAAUUGAAUUUCCUGGAAUGUGUUGUUAUGGAGGGCACCCGUGAAUACGGCUAGACAUGGAUUGUGAAAGGAAAGGUGGAAAAACUAACUCCUUCGGAUGUGAAUGGAAAAAAGGGACAAAAGUCUCAAAACCAUGGAACGAUGACAGGGAGCAAACAAUUUCUUUUCAGUUUGGGAGCCGCCUUUGAUGUAUAUAACUUGGAUGGUAUCGAAAGCCUUGAGUCGUUGUCGUUGACGAGAAAAGCAGGCCUCCCAAAAUAAUUUUUUAUCUCUUUUUAAAACUUGAGGUCUGGCACCACUGUAAAUCAAUGCUUCCCUCUGCGAAGGUCGUUCUAUUUAUUUUUAUGUUGAGUCUCAUCCUUCUCAUUAAAAAACCAACUAGGGGGUCAUGUGAUCAUGUGUGCGCAUGGAGUAUGAUUGACAUUCGACUGUGUUUCAUAAAUGGAUCAAUGGUUGAGCAUAAUGGGCUAGGGAUAAUUUUCUUUAGCAUUGUUAUUUUGAAAGGCAUGGUUGCGUGUUAGCAUUGGAGGGGGUAUAUAUAGCCACCUCAUCGGUCCCGGUUUGUGGCUGGAACCGGGACUAAAGGCCACCCUUCUGUCCUGGUUCUAGGCACGAACCGGGACCAAUGGCUGUGGGCUAGGAACGAGGACCAUUGGUCCCAUUCGUGCCUAGAACCGGGACAAAUGGGUACACACGAACCGGGACAAAUGCCUGCCGAGGACCGGCCGGCCCCCUGGGCGCACGAACCGGGACGUAUGACCCCCAUGGGUCCCGGUUCGUGACUGAACCGGGACUAAUGGGCUGGCCAGGCCCCAACCAAAGCCCUGUUUUCUACUAGUGAGGGGCGACGCUCUGCGGAGUUCUCCCUCUUGGGGGCGUUGUCGUGGAGCUUAGGUGUGCUAGGUCGUAGCGUGAGCAUGUUUUGUUCUUCUGGUACUUGUUGCUGGUAGCAUAGAAGCAUGCGUUUUGCAUGUGCCGGAUAUCUCAGGAUCGACUUUGUAAGGGCUACCAAACCAUAUUGUAUCGUUUGACCAUGUACAGCUUUGGAUGUUGCUUUGUUUAUAAAGCAGGGCAAAAUCCUAUUUCGAGAAUAAAGAAAACAACAGCAACAGCAAACAGGUCAACAACUUCAGAAUAGUUUUUCUUUUAAAAUUUCACUUGCUUAAUUAACUACAUGCAUAGGACUUUCUACAGUGUUUUAGAGAAGGACAACUAUGAUUUGCUAGCUAGUUAGGUAUUUCAACAGAACAUUAACAGCAAGGAGAAGGAGAAGAACUGUUAACAACCAGGCAGGCAGGUGGAGAGUGAGUGUGUGAGAGUGAGGUCUCUCUGGCUUUUUCCUGUAUGGCUACUCCUACUUCCUUCGCUGACAAAGACCUGUUCUGAAUCCGUAAUACUGAUUCAUAGUAAUGAUGGUGGAUCGACUAUACCUUGACUUAUCCAUGUACAACAAAAAUUACUACGUACAUGAUUAAAAAUCCAAGGGUCAAAUCCUGAUCAAUUGAUCCAGCAAAUUCUUCAUGAAUCUAGCAUGACAUCAAGUGUGAUUAAUAGGAGUUUCAAUUAUAAUUAGCCUCCGAGAAGCUACAUGGAGGAGGAUGUAGUCGUGUUUUGUGGCCUUGUCAGAAACUUCGCUUUCCAUCAAUCUGAAAACAAGUGGUAGAGGGCAAAAGAAUGAAAAAAAACAUGUGUAGAGGAUACGCAACACAUAAAGGCCACACACACAAAAACAGCGGUAUGGUAGCUGGUCCAUGACAUUGACAAGUCAAUUGAUUUGCUGCAACCAUAUAUAUGUACGAAUAAUAUCGCCAAGGAUAAGAGAAGGAAAAAAUAUAAAUAUACCGAUAGGCUCUUAUUUAGUUCCUGGAUGCAUGUUGCAUGAGCCAAGUGUAUCGGCAGUAUGGCUUGUGUUUGCUGCAUGAUGGCGGCAGGUUCCCAUUCAGUUAGGCAUGCUAAGUCCUAAAUUCAUUUAUUCACGUAUCGGGUAGAAGGAGAACAAAUUUCAUUUCUUUUCUGUAGGUUCCUUGCUUAAAAGAAAAUAGAAAAUAUACACUUAUAUAAUUACGAGAAAAAAUCAACUGUAUGUCGCUCAGUCUUCCCUUUUUGUUCCGUAUCAGUAUCAACAAUCAUAGUACUAAUAGCUUUCUAUACUGGCGCUAGUAAAUUCAAUAAAAGAAACAUGGAGACUAUCUGAACAAUUUGAAACAAUAUAGACAAACUGAGAUCAACUAACAACAGAAAUCCAAAAGAAAUGUUCAUGUCUACGUGGAGUGAAUCGAUCAAGCCGUGCAAAGCCCUAACAAUUUGUUUUGUAUUAAUAACUCAUAUGAUAAUACAACUCCUCCAUAUGAAAAGGUAAUAUGAUGAUUCAUGAAUGCUUAUCCAUCUUAUAAAUAUAUUGUGCACAAAAUAUCGAGUUAGUUCAGAGAAAACGGUGUCUAGAACAAUCUUCACAUUAAUAGUGUGAUCUAUCUCAAUGACUCACACAAGAUUACAAAGUUUGUUCCCUUAAGUAUGCCAAUCUGGAUACGCCUAACAAUAUGUAGAACAUGACAAACUAAAUCAGAACAAGGGACAAAAUCUAGAUCAAUGUUUGAAGUGUAAAGUGAAUACGAUGAGUCAUUUGUCGUUAUCAAGCAUUCCAUACACCUAGAUGAUAUGUGCAAGAACAAUCAACUAUGACGAACAAUCCAAAAUCACGAUAGUAAGUAGUACCAUAAUACACAACAUACCAAAUUAUUGUAAAUGAUAAGCUUAAGAGCACUUUUUCAAGAAGCAAGUGUGAAGAUUACAAACUUAGUUCCCUUAAGUUAUGCCAAUCUGGAUACACCUAACAACAUGUAGAACAUCACAAACUAAAUCGAAAGACGGACAAAAUCUAGAUCAAUGUUUGAAGUGUAAAGUGAAUACGAUGAGUCAUUAGUCGUGAUCAAGCAUUCGAUACAGCCAGAUGAUAUUUGCAAGAACACAACAUACCAAAUUAUUAGGUCGAUAAUCUUAAGUGCACUUUUUCAAGAAAAGAGUGGGAAGAUGAAAACAAAAUAUGUCAUGCCUGCUAUAAAUACGACUACACCAUGUGGGUCUCUUCCAUCAUCUAACCUUCAAGCACCUAGAGUAAAAACACCAAAGCCAAGUGAGCAAUAGUAAACACAAAUCAAACAUGAAGACCUUCAUCAUAUUUGUCCUCCUUGCUAUGGUGAUGAGCAUCGCCAGUGCCACUAGGCAACUAAGCCCUAGAGGCAAGGAGUUGCAAACACCACAAGAACAAUUCCCCCAACAGCAAUUCCCUCAACCACAACAAAUCCUCCAACAACAAUUCCCCCAACGACAACAAAUCCCCCAGCAACCGCAACAAUUCCCCCAACAGCAAUUCCCGCAACAGCAAAUCCCACAACAGCAAAUCCCGCAACAACAAUUCCCCCAACCACANNNNNNNNNNNNNNNNNNNNNNNNNNNNNNNNNNNNNNNNNNNNNNNNNNNNNNNNNNNNNNNNNNNNNNNNNNNNNNNNNNNNNNNNNNNNNNNNNNNNNNNNNNNNNNNNNNNNNNNNNNNNNNNNNNNNNNNNNNNNNNNNNNNNNNNNNNNNNNNNNNNNNNNNNNNNNNNNNNNNNNNNNNNNNNNNNNNNNNNNNNNNNNNNNNNNNNNNNNNNNNNNNNNNNNNNNNNNNNNNNNNNNNNNNNNNNNNNNNNNNNNNNNNNNNNNNNNNNNNNNNNNNNNNNNNNNNNNNNNNNNNNNNNNNNNNNNNNNNNNNNNNNNNNNNNNNNNNNNNNNNNNNNNNNNNNNNNNNNNNNNNNNNNNNNNNNNNNNNNNNNNNNNNNNNNNNNNNNNNNNNNNNNNNNNNNNNNNNNNNNNNNNNNNNNNNNNNNNNNNNNNNNNNNNNNNNNNNNNNNNNNNNNNNNNNNNNNNNNNNNNUUCCCCCAACAACAACAAUUCCCGCAACAACAAUUCCCCCAGCAACCACAACAACAAUUCCCAAAACAACAAUUUCCCAUACCAUACCCACCCCAACAACAAUCGCAAGAAGCUUCCCCAUACCAACAAUACCACAACAACAACUAUCUGGGAGCGACAUUAUAAGUAUCAGUGGCCGAUGAAAUGAAGAGAUGUAAUACUAGACAGGUGAAUCAUCGUUGUUAGUCAAUGGAGCAUAAUGUAACGGGUAUAAAUAAAAUGAUGUGCACCAUCAUGUGUAACCCAGACCUGUACUAGUUCAAACAUGGGAAUAAAAGACAAAUAAAUUCUUUUCUGAAGCACAUUGCUGGCAAUUGUUAUAUUCAUGCCAUAUUUCGAUUUCCAUCGCUAACUACAAUCUCAAUGUUAUGGUCUAUCUACUUAUUUAUGAAGUGUAGUAUUAUGAACAUAACAUAAUUAACAUGUCUGAAAAUUGGCUCAAAUUGAAGUACUAUUAAUUCAGGAGUAAGGAGUAAUUACAAUUUAACAUUUCAAUGGAGAGCUCUAAUUGUAGACUGUGUUGUUAAUUCUCCGAAGAGGAGAGGAUGAUGUAGUAUAGUAGAGAUAAGUAUUUCCAUCAGCUAAGAACCAAGGUUAUCAAUCCAGUAGGAGAACCACACAAAACCUCGUUAGCAGCACCUGCACACACAAAAGCAAACACUUGCACCCAACGCAAAUAAGAGGGUUGUCAAUCCUCUUAGCGAUUAUUUGCAAGGAUUAGUUCUGACAGUGAUACAUAGAUAAAAUAAAAUACUAAAUAAAAUAAAAAUAAAUAAAUUGCAGCAAUGUAUUUUUGUGCUUUUAUAUAUGAUAAAAGUAGACCGGGGGGGCAUAGUUUUCACUGGAGGAUUCUCUCUUGAUCAUAGAACAUAUGGUGGGUAAACACAUUACUGUUGGGCAAGCUAUUAUAUACUAAAAGGAAAAUACUGGUCCAAAAUAGAGAAUAGGCUAGAAAAUCCGGCAUUAAUUGGAAAAUAUGAACCCUUGAUCCGUUUAAUUUUAAAAAAUAUAAAUGUAUGACCGUUCAAUAUAGUUAACAAGGUAGGGCGUGGAUAACUUCCCGCGUAACGUGACACAUGUAAGAAACACAAACAUGGGUCCAGUUAAGGGAAACACAUAGAUGUGUUGAAGUGGGAAUGAAUAGAAUUGCUACGUCCGAAUAUGCAAGAGAUAGAAAAGAAGAAGAAAACUAAAGAACAUGUCGUGUUCAGAUUGGACUAAACGUAUGUGCGUAUACAACCACAACCACAAUCGGAAAGAUCCAGCCAUUAAUCCCGUGGGUCCAUCCAAAACAAAAGGAGGAUAUGCAUGUAAUUGCCCCACGUCCAUGGAACAUACUUAUUAGAGUCCACAAACAGCAGCCGCUUGUCUCUUUUACGUGAUCCUCCUUGCACUGUUAGGACUUUGCCGUCGGACAUCCCAAAGUUCUGGUGAAGUUCACAUCUAAAUAUACUAUCGUAGUAAAAAAAUCCAUUUCAUACUCCAGGAAAGAUAUCACCGUCCCAAAGUUUCAAUUGCAAUCUAAGUUUUGCCACAACUGGGUAUUUAAAACUUAUUUUGCCACAGCUCGGCAGUUUCAGCCACUAAGGUUUUUGUGGCAGAUCAAGCAUCUUCCCAUUGGAAACUCCCAACUGUAAAAAGACAAGCAAAAUAGCAAUCAUUGGCAAAUCAGCAAUCUUAUAGCGGCAGCAGCUCCCAUCAAUCAGGUAACUCAUCUUUCAAAAAUCAGAGACAAUAAGCAACCAUACACAUCAUGCACAUAUGAUAUUAACGAUAAUUACAUAUGUGAUUUCUGUGUCGAAUUUCGUACAACAUUACCAUGAAGAGAAGUGCAUCCACAUGGCAAGUAAUUUCCAAAAGCCGCCAAGAAGGUGAAAAGCAAUCAAAUAAGCAAUCCAACAAGUUAAUCAUUAAGCUAUAGACCAUGCAUGUUUCAGUGGUGCAUACAAGAUCAGUAGCACAAAUUCCUAGCCGUUACGACAUUCAUCAGGGAGGCGAGGACUGUGAAGCAAGGGGUUGCGAGCUGGAGGGAUUGGCGGCGCACCCCGUGUCUCAGCCGAGAGAGGAGAGGCCGGGGAUAGAAUUAAGAGAGACAGGAGAGAUGACGACAGAUGAUAGGCUAGGGAUCGUUGGGCGUUCUCACAUAUUGCGUGGAGGAGGUUAGCUAAAUGGGCCAGCACAAAGGCCCAGUCAACCGCAGGUGGCAGAGUUUUCUCCCAGUGCAGCAGCCCUUUAGGACAGUAGAGCCAAGAAAUAUAAUUACAAAAUUAGGGAUUCAUCCAACAGUCAGAAAUGAUCUAUACAAGUGAUCUGAUAGUUACAAAUGUUGAAUGCUUGAGAGAGCUGGGAUAAGUCUAGGUUUUACUGUCCUAAAUGUAUUAGAUAUGUGGAAUCUGACAGUUAUUAAAGUUUAAUUGUCCUUCAGAAAAAACUAUGGCUAAUCACCACUACGCUAAUUACUUUUUACAAUUGUUGUACAUGAAUGGGGGUUAGGGAGGCAUAACACUAAUCAAAUUAACAUCUAACACUAACAUGCAAUACCUUUUAAGUUCUUAUAUUGAUUCAAUCGCAAAAGGGAAAAAUGAAACAAAAGUAGGCAGCGGGACCUGGAAGUCAACAGAGGAAACAUAAGGGUAUGCUCAUCGUGUGGAAUCGUUUGUGGGGGGCGAGCUGAGUAAACAGAGGAAGGUGAUCGAACGACGUCUCGUGUUUAUUUGUUUACUGAACAGACAGACAUGUGUAAGUUUUUUUCCCUUUGAGGGGAAAGACGUGUGUAACUAGGGAGAGAUGAUUUUGCACGUUCUGUAUUUUUUUCCACCAGAAAACAGAUACUACUUUAACAAAUAAAUCCUACACUAAAUAUUUUAUAUGCUUUAAAUUAUAGGCCACAUACGCAUGAGCCUAAAUUAUAGGCGACUAUUUCAUAGGGUGAAAGUAAACAAAAUAGAAAAUCUUAUAGGCGACAUAAGCAUGAACCUAAAUUAUAUAUUUUAUAUGCUGGAAACUAUUUUAAAAACAUCUGAAAAUAUAGUGCAUGAUCAUCAGACCAAAAACUCUAGCCUGUACAAAACACUCAUAUUUAGACCGUAUAUUUCAUAUGGAGCUGCCAAUUCAUAUCAAUCCGGCACUACAACAGUAACACUAUCGUGCAGCCGCUUAAGUCAAAUCUAAGGUUAAAGCUAAUCAACACAAAAUAUCCAAUGUAAAAGGAAUUACUUAUACUAAAAAAUAUAAAAUAUAUCUAAGAGUGCGAACAAUGACAAAUAUUUACUAUAGGAGUGCCAGCCCUCGCAUUUGCGAGGGCCACCUUGCUAGUUGAUAAAAAACAAAUAAUUAUGACGGAUUCAUGGCAAUGAUCAUGUAUAUAGGCAUCACGUUCGAGACAAGUAGACCGACUCCCGUCUACAUCUACUACUAUUACUCCACCCAUCGACCGCUAUCCAACAUGCAUCCAGAGUAUUAGGUAGAAAACAGAGUAACGCCUUAAGUACGAUGACAUGAUGUAGAUAAAGUAAAUUCAAGCAAAAUCUGAUUAAACUCAUUAAUUGUCAGCCCAUCGGCUGUUAUUUUCCCCGGUCUGACCGUCCGCGACGCUCCUAUUGUUCGCAACGCUACCGCUACGACUGCGGGAGCAUGUUAGAGAUAUAUUUUCAUUAUACAUGUAACCCAAAAAUAUUUCUAACGUUAAUGACAACAAUACAAAUACGUGUGAUGUCCCUUUUUGUCACUGGGAUUGAGCAACGUAAGAUUGAGUCCAUCAUAAAGCACUUCUCCCCAUUGCAAGAUAAACCAAUCUCGUUGGCCAAACCAAAUCGAUAGAUCAGGGAGAAAUAUAAAGCUAAAAUAAUCACGCAUAAAAGAGCUCAGAGAAGACUCAAAUAUUUCUCAUGAAUCAUAUGAUCAUAAACUCAUGAUUCAUUGGAUCCCAACAAACACACCGGAAAAGAUGAUUACAUCGGAUAGAACUCCAAGAACAUCGGGGAUAACAUUGUAUUGAAUAUCAAAGAGAGAGAAGAAGCCAUUAAACUACCGUUUAUGGACCCAUUGGUCUGUGGUAAAAUACUCACACAUCAUCGGAAGGCAGCAUGGUUUAUGUGGAAGCCCUUCGUGAUUGAUUCCCCCUCCGGCAGAGUAAUGGAAAAGGCCUCCAGAUGGGAUCGCGGAAGAACAGAGGCUUGCGGCUGCGGAAAAGUUUUGUCAUCUAUCUCUCUGGUGGUUAUGGAAUAUUUGUGAAUUUAUAGUGGAAGAAUUAGGUCAGGAGGUGCCACGAGGGGGCCAUAAGCCUAGGGGCGCAGUGAUACGUCCAUUUUGCAUCAUGUUUUAUUACUGUUAUUUAUUAAGUUUUGAGCCAAUAUAACACUUCAUGAAGUAUUUCUAAUGCCUUUUCUCUCUUAAUAUGCAAGGUUUACACAAAGAGGGAGAAUACCGGCAGCUGGAUUUCAGGGCCUGAAAAAGCUACAUCAGAGAUCCCUAUUCUGCACAUCUCCAAACGGGCUGAAAAUUCACGAAGAUUUAUUUUAGAAUAUAAAAAAAAUACUGGGCCAAAGAUCCACGGGAGGAGGCCACCCAGGUGCCCACAUAGCAAUAGGGCGCGCCCUGAUGCUGUAUGAGGCCCCUGGCCCACUUCAGGCCCCCUCCUUCUGGUAUAUAAGUCAUUUUACCAUAAAAUAUUUAUGGGGAGACUUUAAGGACGAGGCGCCGCCGCCACGAGGCGGAACUAGAGCAGGAGCAAUUUGGCUCUCCGGCGGGCAGAUUCCGCCGGGGACACUUCCCUCCGGGAGGUGGAAAUCGAAGCUUACGUCAUCACCAACAACCCUCUCAUCGUGGGAGGACCAAUCUUCAUCAUCAUAAACCACAACACCAUCUCAUCUCUAUCCCUAGUUCAUAUCUUGUAUUCGAUCUCUGUGUCAAAACAUUAGAUUGGUACUUGUGUUUGACUAGUAGUGUUGAUUACUUAUCGUAGUUGAUGCUAGUGGAUUUGUUUGGUGAAUUACCAAAUGUUCUGAUCGUGCGUCCAAAUUAUAUCCUCUCUGAUCAUGAACAUGAUGAUGAUGUGUGAGUAGUUACUUUUAUUCUUGAGGACAUGGGAGAAGUCUUAUCAUUAGUAAUCAUGUGAUUCCGGUAUUCGUUCGAUAUUUUGAUGAUAUGUAUGUUGUGAUUCUCUUAGUGGUGUCAUGUGAACGUCGACUACAUGACACUUCACCAUUGAUGGGCCUAAGGGAACUCAUUGUGGAGUAGUAAUUAGAUGAUGGGUUGCUAGAGUGACAGAAGCUUAAACCCUAGUUUAUGCGCUAUUCCGUAAGGGGCUGAUUUGGAUCCACUAGUUUAAUGCUAUGGUUAGACUUUGUCUUAAUUCUUUUUUCUUAGGUGCGGAUGUCGGUGUCAAAACCGGCAGAUCUCGGGUAGGGGGUCCCAAGCUGUGGGUGUAGGAUCAAUAGGUAACAGUGACGAUGAACACGGUGUUUUACCCAGGUUCGGGCCCUCUUGAUGGAGGUAAAACCCUACGUCAUGCUCUUGUUUAUAUUGAUGAAGUAUCAAGGUACAGAGUUGAUCUACCUCGAGAUCAUAUGUUGUGGUCUAAACCCUAGGGGUAUGAUCAGUAAUGUCAUAAUGAUGAUAAUAAUCUAUCGACUAGCCUGGCCUCGGCUUAUAUAAUGUACUAGAGGCCUAGGAUAACAAGAGUCCUAGUUGGCUAUGUUGGUGGAGAGGAGUCCUUGUCUUGAUCACCAAGUCUUGUGGAAUCUUCCCUUUAUAUGUCAUCGGUUGGCCGAACUGGCCCAUUAGUGAGUUCCUCGGCCCGACCCACUGGUCGGGAGACAACGUGGUGAGUACCCCCUAGUCCAGGACACCGUCAGCGGAUGCUUGCGAGAGGGGGUAAUCAUAAGUGGGAGGCUUGUUCAAGUAAGAACAGCACCCAAGCACCGGUCCACCCACAUAUCAAAUCUUCAAAGUAGCGAAAGCAAAUCGAAUGAACAUGAUGAAAGUGACUAGAUGAAAUUCCCGUGUGUCCUCAAGAACGCUUUUCUCAUUAUAAGUACUAGUUCUGGCCUGUCCUUUGCACUAAAAAGGAUUGGGCUAUCUUGCUGCACUUUAUUUACAUUUUUCACUUGCUACUCGUUACCAAUUAUCUUGCUAUCAAACUACUCGCUACCGCUUGUUUCACUGUUUGCAAAAAUAUCGUUAUUGAAAACCGCAAGUCAUUUCCUUCUGCUCCUCGUUGGGUUCGACACUCUUACUUAUCAAAAGGACUACGAUUGAUCCCCUAUACUUGUGGGUCAUCACGCGGCCACCCACUUGGGGCGCUCCUUCAGUAGCUUAUCACUCCCUCGAGACUCCUCGGGUCUUCCCCGAAGCUUCCAGGGUCUCUUUUGGUCCAGAAAACUUAAUCCAAUGUUUUUCUGUGUUUGUACCUUUUUUAUAAUGAUUUUCUAAAAUGAUAAAAACAAGCAAAAAUAACAACUGGCACUAGGCACUACGUUAAUAGGUUAGUCCCAAAAAAGAUACAAAAAUAGCACAAAGUUGCAUAUAAAACAUCCAAGAUUGACAAUAUAAUAGCACGAAACAAUAAAACAUUACAGAUAGGAGGCGUAUCAAGCAUUCCCAAGCUUAAUUCUUGCUCGUCCUCGAGUAGGUAAAUGAUAAAAACAAAUAUUUUGAUGUGGAAUGCUACCUAACAUGUUUCAUCAUGUAAUCUCUCUUACGGUAUGAAUAAUAAGAUCCGAAUGAUUCAAAGCAAUAGUCUAUAAUUUGCUAUAAAGACAUCAAUACUCAGGCAUACUAACAAACAAUCAUGCCUUUCAAAAUAACGAUGCUAACCCAAGUUAUCCCUACAAAAUCAUAUAAUCCUAUCAUGCUCCAUCUUCUUAACACAAAAGUAUUUAUGAUGCACUACCCCAAUGACAAUCCAGGCAAUUGGUUCAUACUUCUUAACGUGCUUCAACUUUUUCAACCCCCACGCAAUACAUGACGGUAAGCCAAGGACAUAACACUAUGGAUGGAAUAGAACAUGAUGAUAGAGAUCAAUAAGGGGAAAUCAAAAAUAAGAAGAUAGUCUCACAUCAAUGCGGCUAACCAACGGGCUAUAGAGAUGCCCAUCAAUUGAUGUCAAUGCAAGGAGUAGGGAUUGCCAUGCAACGGUGUUGGGAAUCGUAGCAUAAUUUAAAAAAUUUCCUACGCUCACCAAGAUCCAUCUAUGGAGUAUACUAGCAACGAGGGGAAAGGAGUGCAUCUACAUACCCUUGUAGAUCGCGAGCAGAAGCGUUCCAAUGAACGUGGAUGACGGAGUCGUACUCGCCGUGAUUCAAAUCACCGAUGACCGAGUGCCGAACGGACGGCACCUCCGCGUUCAACACACGUACGGUGCAGCAACGUCUCCUCCUUCUUGAUCCAGCAAGGGGAAGGAGAGGUUGAUGGAGAUCCAGCAGCACGACGGCGUGGUGGUGGACGUAGCGGGUCUCGGCAGGGCUUCGCCGAGCUUCUGCGAGAGGGAGAGCUGUAGCAGGGGAGCAGGGAGGCGCCCAAGGCUGUAAUACUACUGCCCUCCCUCCCCCCCCCCUUUUAUAUAGGCCCCCUGGGAGGGGGGCGCCGGCCAGGAUCCCAUCUGGAUGGGGGGGCGGCGGCCAGGGGGGAUACUUGCCCCCCAAGGCAAGUGGGGCGCCCCCCCCCCCACCCUAGGGUUUCCAACCCUAGGCGCAGGGGGGAGGCCCAUGGGGGGCCUCCCAGCCCCAUAAGGGCUGGUUGCCCUCCCACUUCAGCCCAUGGGGCCUCCGGGAUAGGUGGCCCCACCCGGUGGACCCCCGGGACCCUUCCGGUGGUCCCGGUACAAUACCGAUAACCCCCGAAACUUUCCCGGUGGCCGAAACUUGACUUCCUAUAUAUAAUUCUUCACCUCCGGACCAUUCCGGAACCUCUUGUGAUGUCCGGGAUCUCAUCCAGGACUCUGAACAACUUUCGGGUUUCCGCAUACUCAUAUCUCUACAACCCUAGCGUCACCGAACCUUAAGUGUGUAGACCCUACGGGUUCGGGAGACAUGCAGACAUGACCGAGACACCUCUCCGGUCAAUAACCAACAGCGGGAUCUGGAUACCCAUGUUGGCUCCCACAUGUUCCACGAUGAUCUCAUCGGAUGAACCACGAUGUCGAGGAUUCAAUCAAUCCCGUAUACAAUUCCCUUUGUCAAUCGGUAUGUUACUUGCCCGAGAUUCGAUCGUCGGUAUCCCAAUACCUUGUUCAAUCUCGUUACCGGCAAGUCUCUUUACUCGUACCGCAAUGCAUGAUCCUGUGACUAACGCCUUAGUCACAUUGAGCUCAUUAUGAUGAUGCAUUACCGAGUGGGCCCAGAGAUACCUCUCUGUCACACGGAGUGACAAAUCCCAGUCUCGAUCCGUGCCAACCCAACAGACACUUUUGGAGAUACCCGUAGUGCACCUUUAUAGUCACCCAGUUACGUUGUGACGUUUGGCACACCCAAAGCACUCCUACGGUAUCCGGGAGUUGCACGAUCUCAUGGUCUAAGGAAAAGAUACUUGACAUUGGAAAAGCUCUAGCAAACGAAACUACACGAUCUUUUAUGCUAUGCUUAGGAUUGGGUCUUGUCCAUCACAUCAUUCUCCUAAUGAUGUGAUCCCGUUAUCAACGACAUCCAAUGUCCAUAGUCAGGAAACCAUGACUAUCUGUUGAUCAACGAGCUAGUCAACUAGAGGCUUACUAGGGACACGUUGUGGUCUAUGUAUUCACACAUGUAUUACGAUUUCCGGAUAACACAAUUAUAGCAUGAACAAUAGACAAUUAUCAUGAACAAAGAAAUAUAAUAAUAACCAUUUAUUAUUGCCUCUAGGGCAUAUUUCCAACAGUCUCCCACUUGCACUAGAGUCAAUAAUCUAGUUACAUUGUGAUGAAUCGAACACCCAUUGCGUCCUGGUGUUGAUCAUGUUUUGCCCUAGGGAGAGGUUUAGUCAAUGGAUCUGCUACAUUCAGGUCCGUAUGUACUUUACAAAUAUCUAUGUCUCCAUUUUGAACACUUUCACGAAUGGAGUUGAAGCGACGCUUGAUAUGCCUGGUCUUCCUGUGAAACCUAGGCUCCUUCGCAAGGGCAAUAGCUCCAGUGUUGUCACAGAAGAGAGUCAUCGGGCCCGACGCAUUGGGAAUCACCCCUAGGUCGGUAAUGAACUGCUUCAUCCAGACUGCUUCCUGUGCUGCCUCCGAGGCUGCCAUGUACUCCGCUUCACAUGUAGAUCCCGCCACGACGCUUUGCUUGCAACUGCACCAGCUUACUGCUCCUCCAUUCAAAAUAUACACGUAUCCGGUUUGUGACUUCGAGUCAUCUAGAUCUGUGUCGAAGCUAGAGUCGACGUAACCCUUUACGACGAGCUCUUCGUCACCUCCAUAAAGGAGAAACAUAUCCUUAGUCCUCUUCAGGUACUUCAGGAUAUUCUUGACCGCUGUCCAGUGUUCCAUGCCGGGAUUACUUUGGUACCUUCCUACCAAACUUACGGCAAGGUUUACAUCAGGUCUGGUACACAGCAUGGCAUACAUAAUAGACCCUAUGGCCGAGGCAUAGGGGAUGACACUCAUCUUUUCUCUAUCUUCUGCCGUGGUCGGCAUUGAGCCGUGCUCAACUGCACACCUUGCAAUACAGGCAAGAACCCCUUCUUGGACUGAUCCAUAUUGAACUUCUUCAAUAUCUUGUCAAGGUAUGUACUCUGUGAAAGACCAAUGAGGCGUCUUGAUCUAUCUCUAUAGAUCUUGAUGCCUAAUAUAUAAGCAGCUUCUCCAAGGUCCUUCAUUGAAAAACACUUAUUCAAAUAGGCCUUUAUACUUUCCAAGAAUUCUAUAUCAUUUCCCAUCAAAAGUAUGUCAUCCACAUAUAAUAUGAGAAAUGCUACAGAGCUCCCACUCACUUUCUUGUAAACACAGGCUUCUCCAUAAGUCUGUGUAAACCCAAACGCUUUGAUCAUCUCAUCAAAGCGAAUGUUCCAACUCCGAGAUGCUUGCACCAGCCCAUAGAUUGAGCGUUGGAGCUUGCAUACUUUGUUAGCAUUCUUAGGAUCGACAAAACCUUCCGGCUGCAUCAUAUACAACUCUUCCUUAAGGAAGCCGUUAAGGAAUGCCGUUUUGACGUCCAUCUGCCAUAUCUCAUAAUCAUAGUAUGCGGCAAUUGCUAACAUGAUUCGGACGGACUUCAGCUUCGCUACGGGUGAUAAAGUCUCAUCGUAGUCAACCCCUUGAACUUGUCGAUAACCCUUAGCGACAAGUCGAGCCUUAUAGAUGGUCACAUUACCAUCCGCGUCUGUCUUCUUCUUAAAGAUCCAUUUGUUUUCUAUGGCUCGCCGAUCAUCGGGCAAGUCAGUCAAAGUCCAUACUUCGUUUUCAUACAUGGAUCCUAUCUCGGAUUUCAUGGCUUCUAGCCAUUUGUCGGAAUCCGGGCCCGCCAUCGCUUCUUCAUAGUUCGAAGGUUCACCGUUGUCUAAUAACAUGAUUUCCAAGACAGGGUUGCCGUACCACUCUGGUGCGGAACGUGUCCUUCUGGACCUACGAAGUUCAGUGGCAACUUGAUCCGAAGCUUCAUGAUCAUCAUCAUUAACUUCUUCCCCAGUCGGUGUAGGCACCACAGGAACAUCUUCCCGCGCUGCGCUACUUCCCGGUGCGGAAGGGGUGACUAUCACCUCAUCAAGUUCCACUUUCCUCCCACUCAAUUCUUUCGAGAGAAACUCCUUCUCCAGAAAGAACCCGUUCUUGGCAACGAAUAUCUUGCCUUCGGAUCUGAGGUAGAAGGUACCCAAUGGUUUCCUUAGGGUAUCCUAUGAAGACGCAUUUCUCCGACUUGGGUUCGAGCUUUUCAGGUUGAAGUUUCUUGACAUAAGCAUCGCAUCCCCAAACUUUUAGAAAUGACAGCUUAGGUUUCUUCCCAAACCAUAAUUCAUACGGUGUCGUCUCAACGGAUUUCGACGGAGCCCUAUUUAAAGUGAAUGCGGCAGUCUCUAAAGCAUAGCCCCAAAAUGAGAGCCGUAAAUCGGUAAGAGACAUCAUAGAUCGCACCAUAUCCAAUAGAGUGCGAUCACGACGUUCGGACACACCGUUUCGCUGAGGUGUUCCAGGCGGCGUGAGUUUGAAACUAUUCCACAUUUCCUUAAGUGUGCACCAAACUCAUGACUUAAAUAUUCUCCACCACGAUCUGAUCGUAAGAAUUUUAUUUUUCUGUCACGUUGAUUCUCAACCUCACUCUGAAAUUCCUUGAACUUUUCAAAGGUUUCAGACUUGUGUUUCAUUAGGUAGACAUACCCAUAUCUACUUAAGUCAUCAGUGAGAGUGAGAACAUAACGAUAUCCUCCGCGAGCCUCAACACUCAUUGGACCGCACACAUCGGUAUGUAUGAUUUCCAAUAAGUUGGUUGCUCGCUCCAUUGUUCCGGAGAACGGAGUCUUGGUCAUCUUACCCAUGAGGCAUGGUUCGCACGUGUCAAAUGAUUCGUAAUCAAGAGACUCCAAAAGUCCAUCUGCAUGGAGCUUCUUCAUGCGCUUGACACCAAUGUGACCAAGGUGGCAGUGCCACAAGUAUGUGGGACUAUCGUUAUCAACUUUACAUCUUUUGGUAUUCACACUAUGAAUAUGUGUAACAUCACGUUCGAGAUUCAUCAAGAAUAAACCAUUAACCAGCGGGGCAUGACCAUAAAACAUAUCUCUCAUAUAAAUAGAACAACCAUUAUUCUCGGAUUUAAAUGAGUAGCCAUCUCGAAUUAAACAAGAUCCAGAUACAAUGUUCAUGCUCAAAGCUGGCACUAAAUAACAAUUAUUGAGGUUUAAAACUAAUCCCGUAGGUAGAUGCAGAGGUAGCGUGCCGACGGCGAUCACAUCGACCUUGGAACCAUUCCCGACGCGCAUCGUCACCUCGUCCUUCGCCAGUCUCCGUUUGUUCCGUAGUUCCUGUUUUGAGUUACAAAUAUGAGCAACCGCACUGGUAUCAAAUACCCAGGAGCUACUACGAGUACUGGUAAGGUACACAUCAAUUACAUGUAUAUCACAUAUACCUUUGGCAUUGCCGGCCUUCUUGUCCGCUAAGUAUUUGGGGCAGUUCCGCUUCCAGUGACCACUUCCCUUGCAAUAAAAGCACUCAGUUUCAGGCUUGGGUCCAUUCUUUGACUUCUUCCCAGUAACUGGCUUACCGGGCGCGGCAACUCCCUUGCCGUCCUUCUUGAAGUUCUUCUUACCCUUGCCCUUCUUGAACUUAGUGGUUUUAUUCACCAUCAACACUUGAUGUUCUUUUCUGAUCUCCACCUCCGCUGAUUUCAGCAUUGAAUAUACCUUAGGAAUGGUCUUUUCCAUCCCUUGCAUAUUGAAGUUCAUCACAAAGCUCUUGUAGCUUGGUGGAAGCGACUGGAGGAUUCUGUCAAUGACCGCGUCAUCUGGGAGAUUGACUCCCAGCUGAGACAAGCGGUUAUGCAACCCAGACAUUCUGAGUAUGUGCUCACUAACAGAACUAUUCUCCUCCAUUUUACAGCUGAAGAACUUGUCGGAGACUUCAUAUCUCUCGACCCGGGCAUGAGCUUGGAAAACCAUUUUCAGCUCCUCGAACAUCUCAUAUGCUCCAUGUUUCUCAAAACGCUUUUGGAGCCCCGGUUCUAAACUGUAAAGCAUGCCGCACUGAACGAGGGAGUAAUCAUCAGCACGUGAUUGCCAAGCGUUCAUAACGUCUUGGUUCUCUGGGAUUGGUGCUUCACCUAGCGGUGCUUCUAAGACAUAAUCUUUCUUGGCUGCUAUGAGGAUGAUCCUCAGGUUCCGGACCCAGUCCGUAUAGUUGCUGCCAUCAUCUUUUAGCUUGGUUUUCUCUAGGAACGCGUUGAAAUUGAGGACAACGUGGGCCAUUUGAUCUACAAGACAUAGUGUAAAGCUUUUAGACUAAGUUCAUGAUAAUUAAGUUCAUAUAAUCAAAUUAUUCAAUGAACUCCCACUCAGAUAGACAUCCCUCUAGUCAUCUAAGUGAAAACAUGAUCCGAGUUAACUAGGCCGUGUCCGAUCAUCACGUGAGACGGACUAGUCAAGAUCGGUGAACAUCUCCAUGUUGAUCGUAUCUUCUAUACGACUCAUGCUCGACCUUUCGGUCCUCCGUGUUCCGAGGCCAUGUCUGUACAUGCUAGGCUCGUCAAGUCAACCUAAGUGUAUUGCGUGUGUUCCGAGGCCAUGUCUGUACAUGCUAGGCUCGUCAACACCCGUUGUAUGCGAACGUUAGAAUCUAUCACGCCCGAUCAUAACGUGGUGCUUCGAAACAACGAACCUUCGCAACGGUGCACAGUUAGGGGGAACACUUUCUUGAAAUUAUCAUAAGGGAUCAUCUUACUUACUACCGUCGUUCUAAGCAAAUAAGAUGCAAAAACAUGAUAAACAUCACAUGCAAUCAAAUAGUGACAUGAUAUGGCCAAUAUCAUUAUGCUCCUUUGAUCUCCAUCUUCGGGGCACCAUGAUCAUCUUCGUCACCAGCAUGACACCAUGAUCUCCAUCAUCAUGAUCUCCAUCACUGUGUCUUCAUGAAGUCGUCCCGCCAACGAUUACUUCUACUUCUAUGGCUAACGCGUUUAGCAACAAAGUAAAGUAAUUUACAUGGCGUUAUUCAAUGACACGCAGGUCAUACAAAAUAAUAAAGACAACUCCUAUGGCUCCUGCCGGUUGUCAUACUCAUCGACAUGCAAGUCGUGAUUCCUAUUACAAGAAUAUGAUCAAUCUCAUACAUCACAUAUAUCAUUCAUCACAUCUUCUGGCCAUAUCACAUCACAUAGCACUUGCUGCAAAAACAAGUUAGACGUCCUUUAAUUGUUGUUGCAAGUUUUUACGUGGUUUGUAGGUUUCUAGCAAGAACGUUUCUUACCUACGUAUGACCACAACGUGAUUUGCCAAUUUCUAUUUACCCUUCAUAAGGACCCUUCUCAUCGAAUCCGUUCCGACUAAAGUAGGAGAGACAGACACCCGCUAGCCACCUUAUGCAACUAGUGCAUGUCAGUCGGUGGAACCUGUCUCACGUAAGCGUACGUGUAAGGUCGGUCCGGACCGCUUCAUCCUACAAUACCGCAGAAACAAGAUACGACUAGUAGCGGCAAGAAGAAUUGGCAACAUCAACGCCCACAACUGCUUUGUGUUCUACUCGUGCAUAGUAACUACACGCAUAGGCCUGGCUCAUGAUGCCACUGUUGGGAAUCGUAGCAUAAUUUAAAAAUUUUCCUACGCUCACCAAGAUCCAUCUAUGGAGUAUACUAGCAACGAGGGGAAAGGAGUGCAUCUGCAUACCCUUGUAGAUCGCGAGCGGAAGCGUUCCAAUGAACGUGGAUGACGGAGUCGUACUCGCCGUGAUUCAAAUCACCGAUGACCGAGUGCCGAACGGACGGCACCUCCGCGUUCAACACACGUACGGUGCAGCGACGUCUCCUCCUUCUUGAUCCAGCAAGGGGAAGGAGAGGUUGAUGGAGAUCCAGCAGCACGACGGCGUGGUGGUGGACGUAGCGGGUCUCGGCAGGGCUUCGCCGAGCUUCUGCGAGAGGGAGAGGUGUAGCAGGGGAGCAGGGAGGCGCCCAAGGCUGUAAUACUACUGCCCUCCCUCCCCCCCCCUUUUAUAUAGGCCCCCUGGGAGGGGGGCGCCGGCCAGGAUCCCAUCUGGAUGGGGGGGUGGCGGCCAGGGGGGAUACUUGCCCCCCAAGGCAAGUGGGGCGCCCCCCCCCCCACCCUAGGGUUUCCAACCCUAGGCGCAGGGGGGAGGCCCAUGGGGGGCCUCCCAGCCCCAUAAGGGCUGGUUGCCCUCCCACUUCAGCCCAUGGGGCCUCCGGGAUAGGUGGCCCCACCCGGUGGACCCCCGGGACCCUUCCGGUGGUCCCGGUACAAUACCGAUAACCCCCGAAACUUUCCCGGUGGCCGAAACUUGACUUCCUAUAUAUAAUUCUUCACCUCCGGACCAUUCCGGAACCUCUCGUGACGUCCGGGAUCUGAUCCGGGACUCCGAACAACUUUCGGGUUUCUGCAUACUCAUAUCUCUACAACCCUAGCGUCACCGAACCUUAAGUGUGUAGACCCUACGGGUUCGGGAGACAUGCAGACAUGACCGAGACGCCUCUCCGGUCAAUAACCAACAACGGGAUCUGGAUACCCAUGUUGGCUCCCACAUGUUCCACGAUGAUCUCAUCGGAUGAACCACGAUGUCGAGGAUUCAAUCAAUCCCGUAUACAAUUCCCUUUGUCAGUCGGUAUGUUACUUGCCCGAGAUUCGAUCGUCGGUAUCCCAAUACCUUGUUCAAUCUCGUUACCGGCAAGUCUCUUUACUUGUACCGCAAUGCAUGAUCCCGUGACUAACGCCUUAGUCACAUUGAGCUCAUUAUGAUGAUGCAUUACCGAGUGGGCCCAGAGAUACCUCUCCGUCACACGGAGUGACAAAUCCCAGUCUCGAUCCGUGCCAACCCAACAGACACUUUCGGAGAUACCCGUAGUGCACCUUUAUAGUCACCCAGUUACGUUGUGACGUUUGGCACACCCAAAGCACUCCUACGGUAUCCGGGAGUUGCACGAUCUCAUGGUCUAAGGAAAAGAUACUUGACAUUGGAAAAGCUCUAGCAAACGAAACUACACGAUCUUUUAUGCUAUGCUUAGGAUUGGGUCUUGUCCAUCACAUCAUUCUCCUAAUGAUGUGAUCCCGUUAUCAACGACAUCCAAUGUCCAUAGUUAGGAAACCAUGACUAUCUGUUGAUCAACGAGCUAGUCAACUAGAGGCUUACUAGGGACACGUUGUGGUCUAUGUAUUCACACAUGUAUUACGAUUUCCGGAUAACACAAUUAUAGCAUGAACAAUAGACAAUUAUCAUGAACAAAGAAAUAUAAUAAUAACCAUUUAUUAUUGCCUCUAGGGCAUAUUUCCAACAAACGGAUGCACUAAGAAGGCACCCCAAGGUAAUAUCCAAGGAGACUCAAGCGUCGAAGCUUGGGGAUGCCCCGGAAGGCAUCCCCUCUUUCUUCUAAUGACUAUUGGUAACGCACUUGAGGCUGUAUUUUUAUUCAUCACAUGAUAUGAGUUUUGCUUGGAGCGUCUUGUAUGAUAUGUGUCUUUGCUUUGUUUAUUUUUAGUUUAUCAAAAUCAUCACCUCUGAACACAUUUGCUUGAGAUAGCUUCACGUCAUCAUGAUUUGCUUGAAUUGCCCUUUGUGCUUCACUUAAAUUUGUUGAGCUAGGUGGUUGCUCUAGUGCUUCAUUUAUAUCUUUUUUAACACGGUGGUGCUUUUUUUUUGAAGAAACUUGUUCUCAUGCUUCACUUAUAUCUUUUUGAGAAUGCUAGAAAUUUUAUAGAAAUAUUAGUCUCAUGCUUCACUUAUAUCUUUUUGAGAGUUUGAAAAUACUUAUGGUAAAAUGUACAAGCUAUAAGCUUGGUCUCCAUAUGAUGAAUAUUCAAGAAGCAUAAUGAUAACUAGUAUAAAAAUUUAUGGGACAUGAAAAAUUUGAUUCUUUGCAACAAUUUUGAGAUAUGUAGAUGAUGAUAUGUGAGUUAUGUUCAUGAAUAAUUAUGCUCUAGUAUGAAUAUUGAUGUUAAGGUUUAUGAUUCCCUAUGAAAGCACGUAAAGUCAAUAGUUAUGCAAUGAAGUACAUCCUACUUGUGGUGCAUUAUUCGGUGUUAGUUAUGUUUAAUGUAUGCAUGUGCAUCAUUACAGUUUCUUAGUUGGUCGCUUCUCAACCAUUUUGCUAGCCUCCAUUUGUACUAAGCGGGAAUACUACUUGUGCAUCCAUUACCUUAAACUUGUUUUGUCAAUUGUGUCCAUCAUACCUACCUAUAUACGGUAUUUCAUUGCCGUCCCAAGUAAAUAUGCAUGUGCCAUCUCUAAUAAUUUUUAAAAUAAACUUCUCUUUUGUGUGCCUGUAUUGCUCAUGAAGUGAUAAGGGGUGGACGAUGAAUUCCGUGUUGUAUAUGUCAUUCUCAUGAUGAGUGUUUAUUCACUUGUCAUUGCACGAGAGUGUGGCGGUAAUAAAAGGGAUGCCCAGUCCCAAAAAUAAAUUGAAUUUCCUAGAAUGUGUUGUUAUGGAGGGCACCCGUGAAUACGGCUAGACAUGGAUUGUGAAAGGAAAGGUGGGAAAACAAACUCCUUCGAAUGUGAAUGGAAAAAAGGGACAAAAGUCUCAAAACCAUGGAACGAUGACGGGGAGCAAAAAAUUUCUUUUCAGUUUGGGAACCGCCUAUGAUGUAUAUAACAUGGAAGGUAUCGAAAGCCUUGAGUCGUUGUCGUUGACAAGAAAAGCAGGCCUCCCAAAAUAAAAUUUUUAUCUCUUUUUAAAACUUGAGGUUUGGCACCACUGUAAAUCAAUGCUUCCCUCUGUGAAGGUCGUUCUAUUUAUUUUUAUGUUGAGUCUCAUCCUUCUCAUUAAAACACCAACUAGAGGGUCAUGUGAUCAUGUGUGUGAAUGGAGUAUGAUUGACAUUCGACUGUGUUUUAUAAAUGGAUCAAUGAUUGAGCAUAAUGGGCUAGGGAUAAUUUUCUUUAGCAUUGUUAUUUUAAAAGGCAUGGUUGCGUGUUAGCAUUACUUGAGUAUUUAUGUCUUCAUGUCAAACUAUAGAUUACUAGUCAUCAACCCGUGCAUCUCCAUGGCCUAGCUACUAUAGGGAUCCAUAAUUAUUAUGAAAAGUGUAUUAGCUUGUGAAAUAUUGUAGUUUAAAUUUGAAAUAUCGCACAAUGCUAAGUUUUUCAUAUUAAUAAGAAAAUCAAUUAUAUUCCUUCAACUAAUGUUUAUUAAUAGGUUUAUGUUCCUCUAUGGUGUUCCAAUGCACGACAAUUUAUGCAUACUUUUCUACUUGUCUUGCAAUUGCGUGAUUUCACAUAUAAAAUUAAUGACCAUGUUAACGGUGAUAUAUGUGAUCCACCGGGGGAAUUUAAUAGGCUUAUUUUCCUUAACAUGUGGCUUGAGGACUCCUUAUUUGUACGUUUCUAUUUUCUUACUUAAAGCAGACGGGUACAUAGUUUAUGUUUUUGUGCGAAUUGGGAUGUGUAAUCCUUUUUUAUAUGGAAAUUCAGAAUGUAUCUAUCGAGCAUGAAAUCAAACGAUGUAGUAUCUCAUAAUACUCGGGAAAAAUGUUUAGCUGUAAACAUUUAAAUUUAAUGGAUCUGGUUGUGAAAUGCCACUAUUUUGAAAUACUCGACGCUCUGCUUUUCGAACCCUAGUGAAAAAACCAUUAAUAUUCCAACCCCUAAAAAAGCAAUCAUAUUCCUUUAAUUAUAUUUCAUAACUGGAUUAAGUUUAUUUUGUUAUGUGUGACCAUUUAUGCAGAUUUCUUUCUUCUUUAAAAAUUAGGUGGUUUCAUGUAAUAAAUCAAUGACCUUUCUUUUGUGAUAAUAUUUGGGAGCCACAUGGAGAGAUUCAUGUAUGCUUGUGUUUGAAUUAUUUUAUUUUGACUGGAUCUUGUUUUUGUAUGUGAGUAUUCAAAUUGAUUUUUCAAUUAUUAGGCGUGUCCGUAUUUGUACGUGUCAUUUUUUUUCCAUGUGACGCCGCCCUUUAAUAAUUUCUAGACUCCUUAUUUCGUCGUAAUUUUUGGACUCCUUAUUUGUACGUGUCCGUUUUUUCUUUCCUCAAGAGUACAUGCACAUGGUGUUUGUUUUUUGGGAAUUAGGAUAUACACACUUUUGUAGUGUGAGGAGAAUAUAUUUUAUUUUGUACGUGUAUUUUUUUUUCUUUUUUUAGGAAGGAGGAGGCACGUGCUUUUUAAAGUUGGACCAUAGCUCUCUUUUAUAGCAUAAGGAGUUCUUUUUUUGCACGUGACGCAGCCCUUUAAUAAUAAGAAAUGUCUCAUUUUUGUACGUGUGGGUUUAGAUGAUUUUUCUUAAUCGCGGUGGCUCUAUUUGAUAGCGUGAGGACUCCUUUUUUUCACGUGAUGUCUUCUAUUUAUAAUAGGAAGUGUCUCUUAUCUUUGUAAGUGUGGGUUUAAUUCUUUACGCCGUGUUUUUUUAUAAGGAAAGUCUUCUAACAGAUCUUGACCAUUAAAUUUUCAAUCUAAUGGCUAAAUUAAGCUUGAUGAUGUGGAUUAACGUGGAAGCUCGUAUGGUGCCUCCAAUUAAUAAAUAUAAGAUUGCUUUGAAUCAUACAAGUCCUCUUGUCUAUGCUAUAAAAAUAAAUUGAGUAUGUUGGGUAGCAUUCCACAAUCAAAAAUAUGUUUUAUCACUUUCCUACUCGAGGACAAGCAGGAGUUAAGCUUGGGAUGCUUGAUACGUCUCCAACGUAUUUAUUAUUUUUGCUUGUUCCAUGCUAUGAUAUUAUUAUUCUUGUAUGUUUUUAUAUCAUUUCAUACAUUUUUAUAUCAUUUUUGGAGACUAACCUAUUAACUUAGUGCCUAAUGCCAGUUUCUGUUUUCUGCCCUGUUUUUGUUUUACAGAAAAUCACUAUCAGAUAAGAUCAAAUCGUCCCAAAACUUUUUAAAGAUUUUUUUCUGGAGAUAAGGAUCAGCUUCAACUUGAAAACCAAGGAAGAAGCUUCUGGAGGGCCCCACAUGGGGGGCGCGCCCUGAUGCCAUGUGGGCCCACUCUGUGUCCUUUUGCCCUACUUCCACCUCUAUAAAUUCAGAAGAAUUACCAAAACCCUAAGACACCAGAUGAAACACUUUUUUCGCCGCCGCAAGUCUCUGUUCUCGCAAGAUCCCAUCUGGAGGCCUUUUCCGGUAUUCCGCCGGAGGGAGAACUACUCACGGAAGGGCUCUACAUCAUCCUUGCCACCUCUCUGAUGAUGCGUGAGUAGUUCACCAUAGACCUACGGGUCCGUAGGUAAUAGCUAGAUGGCUCUCUCUCUCUCUCUCUCUCUCUCUCUCUCUCUCUCUCUCUCCCUCUAUGUUCCUCAAUACAAUGGUCUCCAUGGUCUUCAUGGAGGUCCAUCCGAUGUAAUGACUUUGUGCGGUGUGUUUGUUAGGAUCCGAUGUAUUGUGAGUUUAUGAUCAGAUCUAUCCUUGUUUUAUUUGAGUUCUUUGAUGAUCUCUUUUAUGCAUGAUCUAGAAUAGCCUUGUAUUUCUUCUCCGAAGUUUUGGUUUGGUUUGGACAGCUAGAUUGGAUCCUCUUGCAACGGGGAGAGGUGCUCGGUAAUGGGUUCGAUCUUGCGGUGCUCGGUCCUAGUGACAGAAGGGGAGUUGACACGCAUGUAUUGUUGCCAUUAAGGAUAACAAGUACGGAUGAAUUCUUAUUUGUGUUUGUCUUGACUACAUCAUGCCAUUGAUCUUUAUGCAUUACUUCGUUCCUAUGAACUUAAUACACUAGAUGCAUGUUGGCUAGUAGUCGAUGUGUGAAGUAAUAGUAGUGGAUGCAGAAUCGUUUUGGUCUACUUGUUUUGGAUGUGAUGCCUAUGUUAUGAUCAUUACCUUCGAUAGCGUCAUAAUUAUUUGCUCUUCUGUCAGUUGCCCAACAGUAAUUUAUUUACCCACGGUAUGCUAUUUUCUUGAGAGAUGCCUCUAGUGAACUCUACGGCCUGCGGGUCUACAUUUAUCAUAAGAUCUAUCUUGUUUUACUUAUACACAAAUACCAAAAAUAUUUGUUGCAUAUUUUUAUCUUUUAUUUAUUUAUCAAUCUAUCAAUCUAUCAUAUACCAUUUAAUCUCGUUACUUGACCACCGAGAGAUUGACAACCUCUCGUUUGCGUUUGGUGCGAGGGUUUGCGUUUUGUGUGUAGGUGUUGUUUAUGUGGUGUUGCUUCGUUCUUCUACUGGACUGAUAACCUUGGUUUCUUAACUGAGGAAAAUACUUACUCUACUGUGCUGCAUCAUCCUCUCCUCUUCGGGGAUAAAAAUCCAACGCAAUCUACAAGUAGCACCUUGCGACAACCGAUGUGGCGAUGGAGAUCGGCCUGACACCCACACUAACCGAAAUUACUUGGUUAAGAAGGUCAUGUAGAUCGUAAGCGGCAAUGCGGACAAGACGAACCCUUGUAACAACAACGAUAAGGACAUGCUACAACCCGGUAAAGGGGAACGGCAGGCAGAAGCAGUACCCACUACAAACAAAGGAUGUAAAUAAGAUUUAUCCAUCUCACACCUCCAAGAAAGAUCGAAAGCGUGCUGUCCACGAGGUAUAUUCCGUGGAGUCCUUUGAGCCAAAAUACAAUCCUUGGUUGAAAAUCCUGAUCACAUGUAUUUGUCAUGACCACCAGACUAUCGUCCACCAUGGCGGUUUGCCCGCACUUGUCUUGGACCCGAUAUUCAACAGUUUCCACCUCAUCGAGCUUGAACCUCAGCUACGUCGAUACACUGAGAAAGAUGCACUUCGACAAGUCAUGUAUCGAGCUGGUGAAAACCAAGUUCAAGGGUAUUAUAUAUCACGGGCAUGAGGCGCACUAGAAGGGUCACACCAGACGGGGUGUUCGGUACCUCAUACGUCUACUGUUUGGAUCCUCUAAGCUUUGACGUAGUCCCUUUCAAGUGUGGUUAUCACUCCCUCCUCGUGUCAGACCGCGUUCGCGCGCUUUGGCAUCGUCACACAUUAUGCUUACAAGAAGCUCAAGAUGUCAGGCCCGAAUGUCGUCAUCAUCUUGGGGAACAUUGAGCGAUCUCAUAAGACUCAGAAGACCACGUUGGUUCUAGCGGUCGAGGCCGAGGCAAUGGCCUUAGCAAAGAAGGAGAUUGCUGACAUGAGGACCAAGGUCAACAAAGACUAAAUAAUCUUCACCAAUUGCACAAAGUCAACGUCAUUCCAGCCUGGCCAUGACAUCGUAAAGUUCCAGGUGCACACCAAGGAUCCGGCCAAUAGAUCUACAAAAAAGUAAGAACAUCACUAAUCAAAGAACAAACUAGAGCAGCAAACAACAACAACAGGAGGUCAGCUGUUGAAUCCACAGAGGGAGCAAAGCAAAAAUCAGCAAGCACGAAUGCAGCGGAAGCUCGAACUCAAAGUAGCCGUGGGAGCUGCAACAUAAAUCGCCAGAGAAGAACCCACUCCCCCUAACCAUCUUUCUCUCCCGGUUGAAGAGUGGCUACUCGACACCAUGUGAAGCAUCCAGAAAUUAAACUUGGAAAAUAAAGGCAACAAAGACACCCGCGACUUAACGGGCGGUAGCGGUUACUGGGAAAAGAAGCUGGCCCGAUAAGAAAAACUGAUAUCCUCCAUCGGGAAUCACAAAGCAAGAUCGAAUGACUAGAAAAUUUGACAGAAGCCGAAUUGUAAUCAGUCGAAUGAAAAAUAGCAAAACCUCUGUCGGGGGUUGAGACGCUUCAUCAAUAACUUACAAGGGGGAGGGGGGCUCCGACAAGAGCGAGUCCUGAUGCCUGUCACCCUCCAUUUUUUUUCCUCACAAAGAGAUAAAGACCUUUCUGAAUUGUUCCACAUUGAUUUAAUCAAUGGAAACAUUUCUUAGGUAUGAAGAUGAUUGCCAAAUCCUGAACCAAUCCCAGCAUAUUCUACCUCAAGCUCCAUGCUUCGCUUUCCAUUGGAAAAAAAGAUAGUGGUAGAGGAUAAAGAAAACAAAUUAUGUAGAUGACACACAACACCUAAAAGAAACAAAUUUUGUGCUGGUCAAGGACAUGACCCCGCCUGGACCUGUUUUCUCUACCACAAAUAUUUGAAUGAUUUGAUGCCUGAAUUUGCAGCAACCAUAUAUACUCCAACGACACAUAUACUCCAGCGAAUAUAUGUGAGAACCAAUUAAGCUGGAUAAAGUUUCCAGCCCAAAUCAAUGUACGUCCUUUUUUAUUGCUGCGUGAUUUCAAGUGUUUAUAUUUGACUUGUGUUGCUGCUUGAUAUGGACAGACCUCCACAUUGUUAUGUAUGCACAUUUCCUGUAAUACGCAAACUUCUGUUAGGAUGAUCUUUAGAUUUCUUACUUUGAGCCAUUCUUGCGACUAAAUUGAGUUGUUAUCAUAUCAGCGACAGCAAUUAAUAUAACUCUUCUAACAUAAUUAAUUGUGUCUGUAAACAGAAUAACAUAAUUAUAUAUUGUUUGGAUGCGUUUCGAAACCUAACUGCUCCUGCUCUGCUUAUAGGAUGGAUGGUCAAAACUUGCUUGUACUGUAUACAUGAUGUUUUGGAUUUCUUGUUCCAUUUCCAUGUCCAUCACAAUGCAUAUGUCAACAGUGACAUAAGAAGAAAGAAAAAUCGAAAAGAGCAUAAAACUUCCGGUCUCCGCAUAAUAGCAACAUAACAAAGAGAUAGACAACAAAAUAAAGUGAUUAUUCACUACAUGCAACAAAGGAAGUAAUUCUUUGCCGUAUAACUUUGAUGUCUAGCCCAAUUUAUCUAUUUGUAACAGCUUGAUACACUAAUAAAAAAAUCCAUUAACGAAAAAGUAUGAUCCCUGACAUAUACAGUAACGCUGUUGUUAAAUCUCAAUAAUACAAAACUCACAUGAUUCCACCAUGUAACAUAUGCGGGUAUUUUACCAUGUAACAUAUCCCAGUGAGCACAGGCAAACUAAUUAACAAGCAGCAAGAACCAAACGAGACAGAGAAAGAGAAAAAUAAACAGGUAGAACAGGGUGAAGCGGGGUACUCUACUACUCAUGAUGAGGAGCCGAACUCGAUGCGGACGCCAACGACAAUGAGGAAGAAGGCAUUGAGCGCGCAGAAGAUGAUGGUGUGGAUGAGGAUGGAGACUACGCUCGUGUGGAAUUUGCCGCACUCGAUCGUCCGUGAUUUGCCGGGGAUCUGGAAGAGGAGCCCCGGGGAUAGAAGGAUGAAGAGCAUGAAGGAGAUGAGCACCGGACCCCAGUCUUGCAUCUUCUUCUUCCUCCUCUUCUUCUUUGGGAUGAUGAUGAUGAUGGCUACUCAAGCCAGCUACAGCUAUGCUUCUAGAGGUAGAUAGAAGAUGGCCUUUUCUUUAUUUAUGGAUGGCUUUCCAUUCUUUGUGUGGAUUAUCACUUAUAUAUGUACUGCCAGGACAGCAGGGCAAAUGGAGUGGUCUCUAGAAAGUUUUGUUUCUGAAAGAACUUGUGGUUUCCAUAAGAUGCAAAACGAGACUAGCUUCUUUAUUCUGUGAAAGAGGAGGGCGGAAGCAACCAAUCAGAGUGGCUUGCUUCCUUUGUCUGUUUGAGUUUUUUCUGCACAAACUUAAUUAAUGAACGCAUUUUCUGGACAGCAAAAUUUCCUCCAGGAUAUGGACAGAAAUGAGAAAUUGCCCGCUCUCUAAAGUCUAAACCAACAGUAAAAUCUUACAUGGACCAUACUGAUACCAAUGCCAUAUACUCCCUCCGUAAAGAAAGUACUAUUUAGAAGUACACUCCUAUAUUUCUUUAUAGAGGGAGUACUAUUUAGAACUAGUUGUGAAUCAUCUCAAGAAGGUCAAAAUUCAGAAAGCUCACCAUUAAAGUGUAGGUUUGCGGUUAGACCUUACUCCUUACCUUAAUAGGGAUCUAGCUCAGUCUGACUUCCACAACCAUUUGGUUAUUUUUUUAAGGUUAUUUUGCUACAUACAAAGCUAGUUAAUGCAUAAUAUUGUGGUUAGGAAUGAACAUCUCCACGUGUGCCCGAAUGGAAACACCGACGGAUAACGCUAUAUGCAGAAAAUAACUUAGUUUGCCUUUUAUUCCCAAGUUUGAACUAGUGCCAGUCUAGUCCACACAUGAUAAUGCAUGGCACUUUAUUUUUCACCGCUACAUGGAUCGGACCAUUGACUAAACAUUGGUGGUCCAUUUUUCGGAUACUAGAACUCUCGUCUUCUCAGUAGCCGCCCAUGUCGGUAGUGACGUCACUGGAUGGUGAUAUGGUGGUGUAGCAGUAUGGUGGAACAUGCACGUCGCACAUUGCCGGGAUGGUCUGAAUCACCCAUGUCCCUAUCACCGCAAUCCAACCCUGAUCCAGUUGUGUUUGUUGUUGUGGCUGGCUAGAACCCAGACCCUGUUGUUGUUGUUGACCUUGUUGUUGCUGCUGCUGAGGUUGGGUGGAAGUAGCUUGUACCAAUUGUUGUUGUUGUUGCAAAAUAAUGGCGUGCACGACGUUGUGGAUGGCCUCGCAUCUUGACUGCUUGGGGAUCGCUUUUAGUUGCUGACAGCACUGCUCCCACAUUACCAAGCAGCUGCUAUGUUGCACCACCUGUGACCGGAGGAAUGACAUAUCAGCAACUGGGCUACACUGUUGUAGGAGGGCAUCCCUGCAUGGGUUCAACUUUUGAUGUGGAACUGGAUGUUCUUGUGGCUGCGGAGUUGGUUGAUGCUCCGGAGAUGAUGGAUGUUGCGGCUCCCAAGCACUACGGAAUGCAGUAAAGGGUUCGGCGGCCGUGGUGGUCGCCGCGACAACAAUGAGGGCAAGGACGAGGAAUUUCUUCAUGGUUGAUUUGUGUUAGAUAAUGUUUGUUCUCCAGUUGAGUGAAUGGUGGGUGCUGGAGGAGUGUCUUGAUUGUUUAGGCCUAUUUAUAACCGACAUGGCAUCGCCUUUUUUCAUCUUUGCAUUUCCUUUCCUUAAAAGUGCAUGGAUGCUUCUCGGACUCUAUCAUUUGGUAUGCUGCGUUAGGUGCAACUACUUACAAGCAUAUUCCUGCACUGAUCAUCAAAGUUCUUUGUUGUUGCAUGUAUCAUUCCGCUAUCAACAAAUCUUGAUAAUUGACAUAACUCAUCUUACUUACUUUACAUGUCAAACAUCGAUCCGGAUUGCAACAUUUUCUAAAACUGGGUUUGUUAUAUUCUACAAGUUGUUACGCAUAAACUAGAUUAGCUUGCCUUGUGCCGAACUAAAGUUUGUAAUUUUGUGUGGCCUGUAAAGAUACAAUAGACUAGUAUUGUAACUUGCAAAAGUAGAUGAUGACAUGAUUCGUCAAAGUCCCUUUACAUGCCAAGGAUUGUAAUGUCGUACAGGAUUAGUAUAAGGAUUUACACUCAAGUACAGGCGAAGAUUUGUUCAAGAUUCCAUCUAUUUGUCGAAUUAAACCUGUACUGUUGUGCAAAUCGUUAAGAUAAUCAAGUAUUGUUUGCUGAAUAAGUUCGGGAUUGUUCAUGACUAGUGUUAGCACCGGGGAUUCCUAAGAAUGAUACAGAGCAUGUACAUAUAAGUAUGAAUAGAUAUGCAUCCAGGCGUUUCAUCAAUCUGCAAGAGAAAUCACAAGCCAUCUGUUAAUUAAGCUACAAACCUACAAAACAAAUAUGCGUCCAGAAAAUGUACCGGAUUUCAAAACGUUCAUGUUUGCAAAAAAUGUUCUCAUUACACAAAAAAGUUCAAAACUUUCUAAAUUCAGAAAAUGUACCGGAUUUCAAAAUUUUGUUCACGUAUUCAAAACAAAGUUCACGCUUCCAAAUUUUUUCGGGAUUUUUCAAAAUUGUUCUCCGUUUAAAAAUUUGUUCUCAAAACUAAAAAAUGUCGGUGCUUUAAAAAGUUGUUCGCGCUUCAAAAUUUGUGCUCAAGAUUCAAAAAAUAUUCGUGCUUUAAAAAGUUGUUCACAAAUUCCAAAACCAUCAUGUUUUAAAAAAUGUUUGGGAAAUUCAAAAUGUGUUCGUUUUCAUAAAUUUCGUUUGCGUUUGUGAAAAGAUCAUACGAUCAAAAAAUUUGGAAAAAAAGGGAUUUUGCCAAACAGUGUUAAGUCCGCAACUGUACUUCGUUUCUUUUAGAUUUCCGCUGUAUUUCGGUCGACAUGCCAGUUCGUGCAAGCAGGAAGUGCCAUGUUCCAUUCCUUGCCACCGCGCGCUACCCUGUUUUGUGUUUUUCACGCUCGUAUUCGAAGUGCACUGAAUGGGCAGGCCUACUCGGCACCCCCUGUGCGACAAGGCGUAUAUUUGCCGCAGAACGCGGCAAAUAGGAGCUCCCGCCAUGCGAAGCGCUGAAUCGCGGACGCCCCGCUCCCCCGCGCGAUGUUUUGGGCCGGCCCAUGUGCGGCGCAGGGGGUCCUUUUUUGUUGUUCUCUUCCAUUUUUUUUCUUUUUCGUUGGUAGUUUUUUUUUCUUCUUCUUCUUUUUACCUUUUUAAACAAUAUUCAAGAUUUUCAUAAAAUUUUCAUGAUUUUUUUAAAUCAGCAAAUUGAAAAAUAUUAAUAGCUAUCAAUAAAAUGUUCGUGCAUUUAAAAACAAAUUUAAAAAUGAAAAAAAUGUUCCAAUUCAAGUAAAUGUUAGUGCAUUUCAUAAAAUCUUCACUCAUUCAAAAAACGUUCUUGCAUAUCUAAAAAAUGAAAAAUAAAUUGUAUCUGAUGAACAAUUUUUGAAUUCGAUGAAUUUGAUGAGGAAAUUCUGAAUUGGAUGAACAAUUUUUGAAAUCGAAGAACUUUUUUUAUAUAUUCAAGAACAAUUAAAAAAUGAUGAACAUUUUUUGUUUUUGACAGAAAUAUUUUGAAUUUGAUGAACAAAAUUGGGUUCGAUGAACAUUUUUUAACUCGGUGAAUUUUUUUGAAUUUGAUGACAGAAAAUGUUCAGGAUUUAAAAAACUGUUUGUGAAUUUGAAACAUUUGCAAAUAAAAAGGGAAAUAAAAAUAAAAAAAGAAAACGAAGACAAAAAAUAAAAAAAAUGUCUGUGAACGUUCUAGAACUUCUACUACUACUUCAUAACAAAAGAAUAAAGAGAAAGAAACAAUAGCCCAUACGUCCCACAGUGAUAUUCCGUUAUUAGCUAGCUAAUUAUACAAACAUUGAUGAUCAAUAAUACUACCUCCGUUCAAAAAUAACUGACGUGGUUUUAGUUCAAAUUUGAACUAAAACCACGUCAAUUAUUUCUGAAGGAGGGAAUAUAUACUAGUGUGGCUCCGCUCCUCAUCACUCACAGUCUAUCUGUCUCCAAUCAAGAGUUGGCCACCACAUCGUUUCUCCCUCCCUUAAUAAACUAGCUACUCCACAAAAUUUAAUUAGCUUAAUCAACUCAUCANNNNNNNNNNNNNNNNNNNNNNNNNNNNNNNNNNNNNNNNNNNNNNNNNNNNNNNNNNNNNNNNNNNNNNNNNNNNNNNNNNNNNNNNNNNNNNNNNNNNNNNNNNNNNNNNNNNNNNNNNNNNNNNNNNNNNNNNNNNNNNNNNNNNNNNNNNNNNNNNNNNNNNNNNNNNNNNNNNNNNNNNNNNNNNNNNNNNNNNNNNNNNNNNNNNNNNNNNNNNNNNNNNNNNNNNNNNNNNNNNNNNNNNNNNNNNNNNNNNNNNNNNNNNNNNNNNNNNNNNNNNNNNNNNNNNNNNNNNNNNNNNNNNNNNNNNNNNNNNNNNNNNNNNNNNNNNNNNNNNNNNNNNNCUAGUUGGUGCCUUGCUAUUUGCCGGUCCACUGUGUGUUCCCGGGGCUCCACUUAGGGCACUUGGGGCUCAGGUACUUGCCCUCCACCAUGUCAUCGAGGAGCUCCACCACCGGGCCCUACCACACACACUCUGACACGUUGCACUGGUUGAUCGAUGCAUCGCGACCGAGCGCGUAGUCCAUGAUCUUGCCAAAGGUGCCCUUGGGAGACGAUGUGGAUCUCGAGGGGUCUGACGGAGCAGUCAGCUGCACGACAUUGCCGGUACACAUUGUUGGAGCUCUCACAGUCACAAGGACCGACUAGGCGGCAUGAUUGAUCUUCUUUUGCCGAUCCGCCUUUUAGGUUCACCUCUUAGCCAUUGAUUGUUGGCUCUCUGGAGUAUGUACCCUUUUUAUUUUCCUUUUUGCACUUGGGCUUGUUUGUGCGGUAGUCCUAGCUGACCUUUAUUUUUCGUUCAUGCAUUUGAACUAUCUGUAUUGAUGGGGUGGUUGAUUUAUAUAUAAAGCGGGGUUGUCUCAAAAUAUAUAUAUAUAAAGCGGGGUAAAACUCUAGUUCAAGAUAAACUUAAGGAGGUUGCCUGCAAGAUUAAAUUUGUGCCCUCUAUUUCUUUUCAGAUGUUGUUUAUGAGAAGAUACACCUCUAACAUUAACGGAAGGAGUAUAUACUUUUACAGACGACAGCCCAUGACAAUCUUGCAUCAAAAGUUUUUCACACCAUGUAAUUGUACACUCUGUGUUGUAAAUGAAGGGGUAGGUACGGUGAAAGGGGGAGGAUGAAGUAGUCCAAUCCUUUGAGAGUCGAUCCACCGCUCAUCAAGUUCUUAGUGAAGUCGAACAUGGAGGGGAAGGGGCUCCUUGAGCACCUAAAAUAGGUAAAUAAGCAAUCGAUGAAGAACAUCAUGAAAACAAGAGGGCAUGUUUGACUCGCAAGAUUCUAAAUAGAAAAACGGAAAGGUAGGAACAUGAUAUAAGAAUACAUGCAGAAAGUACAUGACUGACAAACAUAUAAAUGAGGAAUAUCAAAACACAAGAAUUAAUCCUAAUAAACAAUGUCAAACCAUAGUCAAACCACAUGGGAAAGUAUAAUUGGAACUAUACCGUUAAGGAUCUGAGCCUCGUUCUUCGUUUGUAGAAAUUUGAAAAAGAGGACCUAACGAAUUGCACAGUUCCUCGUUUUUCCUUUCAGAUCGAAGGGAAAUCCUUCUCCAUUUCCCCUUUGCUCCAUUCAUUUGAACCAAGUGUAUGAAUAGUGCACCAGAUGGAAAUUUUGUCGGGUUGGUCGCGACGGCUUGCGUGACAUCACCGUGGGAGCAACAAAGGCACCCUUAACAUGCAAGGUGUGUCAGGCGAGCUAUGUUAGCCAACCUCGCAUGACUGAAGUGGCAUAUGUCUGCUCUAUCAGACGAAGUGUUCCUCUUCGAUGUCACUGAGCUUCGUGGAUAUCCUUGUGCCUGCCCGGAUUGAUACAACGUUUUCGGUGUGCACUCUAGUAGCGGCGAAGGCGCUAGAGUUUCAUGAUGUUGUGUGGUGUUGGUCUUCUCGCGUGUUGUAUGUUUUGUGGUGCUUUAGGUCUAGUCUAGCUAGGCGUUGUUUAGGUUUCUGCCUGGAUUUCCUUGAUAUUUUGAGCAGUCCUUUUUCAUUCCUUCUUUUUUUGGCACUUGGCUUUAUGCGGUGCAUUUCUCCUUUGGGGUGUUACUGGUAAUACCCUUUUCUAAUCAAUGAGUUUGGCAUCUCUCCUGCCAACAUUAAAAAUAAUCUUACAUGGACCACAUUGAAGGUCAAAAUCCAGAAGGCUCACCAUUAAAGAGUUUACCUUAAUAGAGAUUCAGCUUGCUCCAAUUUUUAAAAAUGCGCUACAUACAAAGCUAAGUAAUGCAUAACAUUGUUUUUCGUAUGAACAACUCAACAUGUGCAUGAACGGAACACUGACAAAUAGUAUAUAUGCAACAAAAAAUAAAUAUCUUGUAUUUUAUUAAUUUGUCGCCGCUACAUGGAUCGGACCAUCGACUAAACAAUGGCAGUCCAUCUAUCGAGUACUAGAUCUCUUUUCUCAUUAGCCACUCAUGUUAGUAUAGCGAUGUUACUACGGUGAUGUGGUGGGGGAGCAGUAUGAUGGUACGCGGAGGUCGCACAUUGUCGGUAGGGUCUGGAGCACCCAUGUCCUUAUUGCAUCGAUCCAACCCUGAUUCAACUGAUGUUGUUGACGUUGGAUGGAACCUUGACCUAGUAGUAGUUGUUGUGGUUGGGCCAAAGUACCUUCUACCAAUUGUUGUUGUCGUUGUUGCAAAAUAAUGGCGCGCACAACGUUGUGGAUGGCAUGGCAUUGUGCUCGCUUGGGGGUAUGUGAUAGUUCCUGACAGCACUGCUGCCUCAACACCUGGCAUCUGCUUUGUUGUACCAUCUGUGACCGGAGAAAUGACACAACUGCCACUGGACGACACUGUUGUAGGAGGACAUCCCUACAUGGGUUCGGUUGUUGUUGUACAAAUGGUUGUUGUUCCUGAACUAGGUGUUCAUGUUGAUGUGGAAAUGGAUGUUGCGGUUGGGGGUAGGAUGGCUGUUGCGGUUGGGGAUAUGGUGGUUGUUGUGGAAAUUGUUGUUGCCUAAAUGGUAUCUGUUGUGCUGGAAAUGGCUGUUGUUGCGGAGUUGAUUGCUCCUCUUGAAAUGGUUGUUGUUGCGGUUGUGGAAAGGGUUGUUGUGGUUGUUGUGAAAAUGAUUUUUGUGGUUGCAAUUGGGGACUAUGGCGAUGGUAGCGAUGGAGGCAAGAAAGGCAAGCGUGAGGAAGAUCUUCAUAGUUUAUUCGUGUUGGAUAAUGUUUGCUUGCCUUUGAUGUGUUGUUCUCUAAUGUGAAUGGUGGAUGAUGGAGGAUCUUGAUGGUGUAUGCCUAUUUAUAGCUACCAUGGCAUUGUUUGUUUUCACCCUUGCAUUUACUUUUCUUGGGAAGUGCAUGCACGCUUCUCAACUCAUUAUUUCGUAUGUUGUGUCUGUUGGCACUACUUAUAAGUGUAUUGUUGGAUUGCUCAUCAAAGUUCUUUGUUGUUGCACAUAUCACUCCACUGUCACCAAAGCUUUAUAAAUUGAGAUAACUAAUGUUAUUCACUUUACAUGUCAAACAUCAAUCUAGAUUGCAUCGGAAGUUUCUGAAACUACUCCCUCUGUAAACUAAUAUAAGAACGUUUAGAUCACUAAAGUAGUUAUCUAAACACUUUUAUAUUAGUUUACGGAGGGAGUAGUUUGUAAUGUUCUACAGGUUGUUACACAUAAACCAGAUUAGCAUGCCUUACACUGAACUAAGUUUGUAAUCCUGUGUGGCCUGUAAAGAUACACAAGACUUUACAGUACAAUGUGACUUGCAAAAGUAGAGCAUGACAUGAUUCAAUAUUCUGUUGGUUUGCCAAACUAAGUUUGUAUUGCUGUGCGGAUCAUUCAGAUAAUCAACAGGUUUUGCUUGCUAAAUCUGCUCAUGACAAGUGUUGGAACUGGGAUUGCUAGGAAUGAUACCGAGCCUUUACAUGGCAUAAUUUUUCUGCAGCUCGAGGGAAAUUUAUUUAGCAGGUAAAAACAAAUAGAUAAGAGAUAUCCAGGCAUUUCAUGGAUCUGCCAGAAAAUUCACAAGGCAUUAUCUAUCAUGAACAAUGCUACAAAACAGGUUGAGGAAAGCAAUCACAUUCUUAUUCCAGCCGAACAGUAGUUGAAUGCCGUAUGCUCAGAUUAGAAAUAUUGGCUUCAACUCAGCAGUCUCUAACUAGUAGGAGAAAGACCUGUAACAAGUCCAGAACAAAAUCCAGAUGUGCAGAUCGAAGAUGAUAAGCCAUCUAAAACUCAGACCACUGGAAGCUCCCCGCACUCACUAAUGACCACCUUCUUCUUCGGACGGUCACCUCUGUCAGUCUCCGACGACUCUAUCGUCCUUACGAUGUCCAUGCCUUCAAGAACCUGGCCAAAGACAACGUGUCUCCCAUCCAGCCACGGUGUCUGCAAGCAAGGCAGCAGAAACCUCAAUAUGGAAUUAUGAACUUCAAACUCAGCAACAGAAAAAGGGUACUAUUAUUCAAAUUGACUGACUGGUAGCAGGAAGUACACAAUUAAUUACCUUCAUUGUGCAGAUGAAGAAUUGGCUGCCGUUGGUGUUCGGUCCAGCAUUAGCCAUGCUGAGCACUCCAGGUCCAGUAUGAACCACUAAGAACAUUAAAUAACAUAUAAUCAGUUAGCAUAUAAUCUGAAGCAAAGCUGUGCGACACAGGUUCAUUGCAACACAUACAUUGGAAGUUCUCAUCCUUAAAGGUGCGGCCAUAUAUGCUUUUCCCUCCAGUACCCUGAAAUUAUCAGUUUCUAGUUAUUUAAUGCCAUUGUUGGAAGCUGUAUGUUUCAUUUUAGGCAAUCUGAAGUCUCAAAGUACUUCAAAUGCAGAUGAAACACAAAAUCAGGUAUGGGCUCAAUAUAGGAAAGGAUGGCGCAAUGACAAUCACCUUGAAUUCUUACCACGAGGCCACUGACCAAAAAAACAGAGUAGGAUGCACUUGUGCAAGUGAUUAAUGACAAUCAAACAUGGAUAAGAUCCAGGGUCAAAAUGCAGCACCAUAACAAAUUGAAUGCAGGUACACGAGCAAAGCUAGUAGUAAAGGUUCUAAACUCCCUUUCCUUCUCCCCCAGUCCCUCUGGUCCGUAAAAUAAUGCUUAAACAGCUAGCAUAACUAUCAACAAACUGAAACAGGUACAUUCGUGCAAAAAACAAAUAAGCACAUGUAUCUGUUCAAUCUUGUAAGCAAAGGUAUUUGCAUGGUAACAACUGAUAGUCUUUAGCUUUUCUUAAUGCAAUCUGUAAUACGGCAUAAGGAUGCACAUGCAACAAACAAGAAUAGACGAAGGUAGGAAACACAUACGUUGCCCUUGUCAAAGUCUCCUCCCUGAAUCAUGAAGUCCUUAAUGACACGGUGGAAACUUGAUCCCUUGUAUCCGAACCCUUUCUCCCCUGGACAAAAGAAAAAAAGAAAAAUUGCUCAUACACCUCAUCAGAAUUAAUUCUUGAAGAUGGGAUAACAGAACAUGGCUCCAGCAGUCCCUCCUACCAGCGCAGAGUGCACGGAAGUUCUCAACGGUUUGUGGAACGUCAUCCCCAUAGAGCCCGAUGACAAUCCUUCCAACAUUCUUCCCGACAGGGUUGCCAAUGCUUAUGUCAAAGUACACCUUGUUUGUAACUUUGGACUGAAGCUCAGGUGCCUGCAAUGCAUGACGAAAGAACAGCUUCAAACACCAUGAAAUGCAUGACAUCUAUAAUAAGGUAAAAGACAUACAACAGUGCAAGCACAAAAGCGGCAUAUUGUUUAAACCAUACAGUGGCACAUUUGUUCCCUUAGACAGCCGGCGACUAAAACUAACUGGGCCAUAUAAUGUACUAAACACUAACACAUGCCAUACCAAUGUAUGGUAAUAUCUGCAUCUAACACUGGCAUAACCCGACGGUUAUCAUAAGUGAUGAUAAAACCUCAACUUGCAAAUUUGUUCACACAAAAAAAAAAUUAUCAGUUAGUGACCAGAUUUUUCUCAUGAAAAUUACAGCUACCAAAUAACAUACAGAAUAGUGUGGAUGUUCACAAACAAACGCAAACUACAUAUCUAUUAGAUUGCAACUCAGCUUCCUGACAGAACAGGGAGCGGUGCCAGAUAUGCAGGCUUUACACAGGUAGCGGCCACAGCGCCCAGAUAGAAACAGCGGCGCAUUUGAUUCCUCAGACUGCGGGGGACUAACACUACCUGAACCUAUAAUGGACUAACACAAAAACAUGGCAUGAAUAAUACUGCGACGUCGAGUCGGAGUUCGCCUCCAAAGGCACAUACGCCAUGUCUACCAGAUUGCAAUUCGGUAUUAGAUAUGCAGGCUUCACAUAGGUUGCGGCCCCAGCGCCCGGAUAUAUAGAUAAAAAUAGAUAAAUGGGGAAUCUUUACAUAGGGUUCGGCGCUGGCGGAGGCGACGAAGCGCGCGCGGCUCUGCUGGGAGACGGAGAGGGCCGGGGACGCGACGCGGCCGCCGCGGAGGGAGAGGGCCGACGAGGGGACCUUCGAGGCGAGGAGCGCCCUCUGCGCCGCCGCCCCCGACGCCGCCGGGCGGGCGAUGGCCUGCAAGAAAGAACAGCACGCACAGCACAAGAUUCAGGCGGAGGAGGAGGAGAGCAGGCGGGUCCGACAAGAAGUGGUGAGGAGGAGGAGGAGGGGAGGGAGCUCACGAGCGUGGCGAAGGAGGAGGUCGCGGCCGCCAUUGGAGGUCGACGAGGUUUCGGGAUGGGAUUUGUUGGAGGGGACGGACGGAGUCUCUGGAGAUAACCAAAAGGAUGAGCUUUUUAUUCUGCUUCCUCACUCCCCUGAUGCCCGUGGAGCUGUUGAUUUGAGCCCUUUGCGUUCAUCCUAUUUGCGCACCCAAGUCCCUGGGUUAAACCUUCUACUAUGAAGUUUGGAUGUCGACGGCUUGUGGAUAUUCAGAUCCGGCGCGGAUCUGAGGUGCCGGUGCCCUCAUUGGCCGUCCAUCUGAGCCGACGGGUGAUGUAUUACCCGUUUAUCAUGGAGAUAUCCCACUCUCUCCGAAUUGCGGACGCAAUUGCAUAUAGUAAGAGCAUCUCCAGCCGUUCGGUUCCCAGGGCGCCGAAAAAGAGCCGCCUGGAGCCGAACCGGCACUUGCUUGGCGCAUGGGGGCGACUGCAUUCUCACUCGACGCCCCCAGGUCGACGUUCCCACUCGACGAAAGGGGGAAUAAAAAGCUCGUGUUUAUUGGGGAGAUAUAAUUAAUGAGCUCGUUUUGCGGAAGGGGGAAUGAGAAGAGAGGAAAAUAAUAAGAGGCGGAAAGGGGGAAUGAGGCUCAUCUUUAGUAUUUAACAUAUAAACAUAGCAAUAUCUAGUGGAAUCAUCUAUUAAUGUCAUGAAGUAUUUUCUUUCCACCUUUAGUCAACACACCAUUCAUCUCACAAAGAUCAGAAUGUAUGAGUUCUAAUGGUGCCAAGUGUCUCUCCUCCGCGGCCUUACGAGGCUUGCGAGGUUGCUUAGCUUGCACACAUGAAAGACACUUAGAACCUUUGGCUAAAGUGAAACUCGGGAUUAAAUCCAACUUAGCUAGCCACGUCAUAACACCAAAACUAAUGUGACAAAGACGUGAAUGCCAAACUUCAGAUUUAUUAACAUUCGAAUGAAUAUGGUUCACGGCUGUAUUACAAAAAUUUGCGAGGGAAAGGCGGAACAUCCCUCCGCUCUCAUAACCUUUUUCAACAAAGAGUCCAUAUUUCGUAACAACUAAUUUAUUAGACUCGAAAACCAACUUAAACCCUUCUCUACAUAGAAGGGGCCACUAACGAGGUUCUUCUUGAUGGCGGGGACAUGUUGCAUGUUCUUCAGCUGCACGAUCCUUCCCGAAGUAAACUUCAGAUCGACCAUGCCAACACCAUGAACAGAAGCACUCGCGCCAUUCCCCAUCAAUACGGACCCGUGACCUGUGACCUGGUAAGAAGUGAACAAUGAAAUGUCAGCACACACAUGAACACCUGCACCUGUGUCCACCCACCAAUCGGUAGGCUGAAGCACUGAAAAAACAGUAAAUAAAUUACCGUUCCCAGAUGCACCAUUCUCAUUGUUGCCCACAAUCAUGUUGACAGACUUGGAGUCCUAUCCUGACUUCUUGUACUUGUUUGGGCACUUGUUGGCCUAAUGUUCAACCGAACCACAAGUAAAGCAGCCCUCGUCCUUCUUGUUCUUCUUGAAGGUCUUCUUACCCUUCUUCUUAAAGUCGGUAUUGUGUUGGACACCGUUCUUUCCCUUGGGCUUGUGGGAGUUGAAGUUCUCUGGUUCACCAUGUUGGCGACAGAAGUCCCUUCGGCCCCUUUUCCGUGCGAGUCUUUUGCCCUCGAAUUCUGCUCAACACUCAGAUGUCCAAUGACAUCCUCCACAGAGAAUUCACGCCUCUGAUGUUUCAGAGUGGUGGCAAACUUCCUCCUGGAAUUAGGGACCUUAGCGAUUAUGCAGCCCGCGACAAACUUGUCCGGUAACUCGCACUUAAGAAGCUCAAGUUCCUUAACAAUGCAUAUUAUCUCAUGAGCCUGCUCCAAUACAGGACAGUUUUGAACCAUCUUGUAAUCAUGGAACUGCUCUAUAAUAUACAUCUCGCUCCCUGCAUCGGUGGCCCCAAAUUUAGAUUCGAGCGCCUCCCACAAGUCCUUGGCGACAUGCACAUGUAAAUAUGCGUCGACCAGUUUAUCUCUGGUCACGCUAAGAACUGCUUCGAGAAACACAACGGUAGCCUCCUUGAACACCUUCUCCUGUUCAGGAGCAAUCGUUCCCGUGGAGACACCGGUGACCUAGAACACGUUCAUAGCCGUGAGCCAUAACGUGGUCUUAGUCUGCCAACGCUUAAAGUAUGUACCGGUAAACUUAUCCGGUUUCAGUGCAGCGGCAAAGCCACUUGCCGAGAAAUUCCUACACAUAAUAGGUUUUUGGAUUGUUUAGUAAAUAGGCAAUUUCUCCAUUAAAUUAAUCCACGAGUAAAUCACUAGCAUGGCAUUGACACAAAUAAACGCAUACUGAUAUUCAGUCAAGCUAGCACAUACUACGCUAAUUGCAGAAAGAUCUACGUAUAACGCUAGCAUGGCUAAAACAGAAAACAAUAGGAGCGGGAUAAACGAGUUAUACCUCCAGUAGGCCAUGCAGAGGCCGCGGCUUUGGUGGCAGCAGCGGCGUCCUCGGCGGCCUUCUUGUCGGCUCCAGCUUUCUCGGCGGUGGCACAUUCGGCGUCGGUGGACAUGGUGAUGAUGAAGACGACGCGGACGUAGAGGAAGUAGACGAUCGGAAGUGAGCAGUCGCGUAAUCGCUGCCCAAAAACCUAUUCGCCCCUCACCCCGUACAGGAACCAGAAGGGCGUGGUUUCGGAGACCUGCUCUCCCGUCGACCGUGUACGCGGCGGACGGGAUGGAGUCACCGGCGGUAGCAGCAGCAAGGGAACGACGGUGGGCGUGCGCGUGGAGUAGAUGUGAUCUGUUCGUGGCGGCUAGGGUUAGGAGACACCGCACACUUAUAUAGGCGCAGCCGCGUGGAGAGACGUGGGCUCGACCCACAAAAAUAAGCGCGUAGAUAUGAGCUCGGCUCGGCGCAAUCACGCAACCCGCGGCGCGUCGUGACGAGGCGUGGCGAGGCGGGUGGCGGAGGAGGAGUGCGCGAGGGCCUCUUCUCUUCUCAAGCUCCAAUAGCAUGUAGAAGAGAAAACCCUUAUAAGGAGGUCCAACUCCUCUUCCACUUCCGGGGUGGGACUAAACUUCCCACUACACCUAGUGCCAUAUAACCCACAUGGGCCCUUAGAGAUUUUUCAGAAAUUGCUAUAUGGGCCUAGAGCCCAUCUCAAAUUUCAGCAAUCCCCCACCAGAUCUCGAGGGCCCAUUGUGUCCUCUGUUCCAAUUACUGUUUUGAUAUACCAGUGUUUUAGUGAAGACCUGUUAAGGUUGAACUUCACCUAGAGCAAGUAGCUACACUCCUUCACAACUGAACAAUGGACUAUGCCUUGAAUUGUCAGUUUGGUGUAAAGAAGUUUCACCACAUGUCUUACUAGUACUAGGCUGCCGAAGGCUGACCCCUCGGGUGGAGCAUAUAAGUCACACUCCUGGCCUAUUCAUGAGCUUACUAGAGAUCACCCCAAUCUCAUACACUGUGACCAGCAGUCGGGCUCAUAUAGGUGUGUUCCUCCAAAGAUUGCUCUGUAGGAUAGCAUCUUGCUUUCAUAAGCUUUGGAACACAUUAAGAUAGUAGUCAUCCUACCAUAUAGUAUCGAGAGUAUUGCAUCUUCAACGGAGUGGGUUAGUAUAAUUACUCUCCUUAGUUCACCACUGGCUUGUUUUCCCAGGUCCUACUUCACGGGAUCUCCGAUCACAUAGGUUGGGUUACCACCAUGGCAACUCAUGUGGGUCUCAUACCCAUCUCCCUCGAUGCAUUAUCUAUCACAACACGUGAUAGCCCUUUCGUAAAGGGAUCUGCCAGAUUCUUAGCCGUAUGGACAUAGUCCAACGCUAUCACUCCGGAGUUUCUUAAUUUUCUGACAGCUUUUAAUCUUAUUCUUAUGUGUUUGUUGGACUUCAUGUUGUCCUUUGAACUCUUCACCUUGGUGAUGACAGUCUGAUUGUCACAGUUCAUAAGGAUAGCCGGAACUGGUUUAUCAACCAAUGGCAAGUACAUCAAUAGAUCUCGAAGCCAUCCUGCUUCAACACCAGAUGUGUCUAGUGCUGUUAAUUCUGCUUUCAUUGUCGAUCUCGUUAAGAUCGUUUGCUUGCAAGACUUCCAGGAAACAGCGCCACCUCCAAGAGUAAACAUAUGCCCAGUUGUGGCCUUCAUCUCAUCAGCAUCAGAGAUCCAAUUCGCAUCACUAUACCCUUCAAGUACCGACGGGUCUCCGGUAUAGUGAAGUCCAUAGUUCAUAGUACCUUUCAGAUAGCGCAUAACUCUUUCAAUAGCAUGCCAAUGUACAUCACCCGGUUUGGAAACAAACCGGCUUAAUUUGCUCACAGCAAACGCGAUGUCAGGCCUCGUUGCGCUCGCUAGGUACAUCAGUGAACCAAUGAUUUGAGAGUAUCUCAAUUGAUCUUUAGUCGUGCCUUUGGACUUUCGAAUCAACACGCUAGGAUCAUAUGGUGUUUGAGAUGGUGCAUAGUCCGAAUAUCCAAAACGACUCAACACCUUCUCAACAUAGUGGAAUUGCAGAAGUGUAAUCCCACCCUCAUUAUCUCUCAGUAGCUUGAUGUUCAAGAUAACAUCAUCCACACCAAGGUCUUUCAUCUCAAAGUUCUGAGAUGGAAACGAUUUGACCUCCUCAAUGACUUUGAGGUUUGUUCCAAAUAUCAGUAUGUCAUCAACAUACAAGCACAGUAUAACUCCUUCGCCCCCACCAUGGCGAUAGUAUACACAUUUGUCAGCCUCAUUAACAACAAAACCAACAGAUGUCAAAGUUGUAUUAAACUUAUCAUGCCAUUGCUUAGGUGCUUGCUUCAGGCCAUAUAAAGAUUUCAGCAACCUACACACCUUUCUUUCCUGACCAUCUAUCACAAAGCCAUUUGGCUGUUGCAUGUAGAUUUCCUCGUUUAGCUCUCCAUUCAGAAAAGCUGUCUUAACAUCCAUUUGAUGGACAAGAAGACCAUGUGAGGCCACCAACGAGAGUAAUACUCGAAUGGUGGUCAGUCUAGCCACAGGUGAGUAAGUAUCGAAGAAAUCUUCCUCUUCUUUCUGGUCAUAGCCCUUGGCCACAAGCCUAGCCUUGUACUUUUCAAUCGUACCAUCGGGCCUAAGCUUCUUCUUGAACACCCACUUACAUCCUAAUGGUUUGCAACCAUAGGAACGGUCAGUGAUCUCCCAUGUCCCGUUAGCCAUGAUGGAGUCCAUCUCGCUACGGACCGCAUCCUUCCAGUAAUCAGCUUCUGGAGAGGCAUACGCUCCGGAAAUAGAAGUGAGAGUAUCAUCCACGAGGUACAUGAAGAAAUCAUCACCAAAGGUCUUUGCUGUCCUUUGUCUCUUGCCCCUACCAAGGGUUUCCUCGUCAUCCUCCUUAGGAUUUUUAUUAUGUGUUUGUUCAUAAUAAUCCAUAGGAACGGCAGGCUCAGGAGUCUCAGUUAAACACAUGGUUUAGGGUUUUGCGUUGGUGGUUGACAUCCAGCCUCACGUCUCAAUAUAUAGAUGAUCACAAUUACAAUUACAUACGUAUACGAAUACGUGUACAAGGACAAUACACUAGACCCUACUUUACAUGCCCCCUCAAUCUGAACUACACACAAGAUUCAGAUUGGUUCUAAAACGGUCUAGCAUCUGUCUAGUAGCGGGUUUAGUAAAUACAUCCGCUAACUGAUCAUCUGUAGAAAUAAACCUGACUUCCAGUUCACAAGAACCUACUCGUUCCCUCACAAAAUGGAAAUCAAUCUCAAUGUGUUUGGUCCGAGCAUGAAACACUGGAUUCACCGUCAGGUAAGUUGCCCCUAAGUUAUCACACCACAAUAUAGGAGUGCGCUGCCGUGGGACUCCAAGUUCUGUGAGAACUGAGUCUAUCCAAAUGGCUUCAGCCGCGCCAUUGGCCAAUUCCUUAUACUCUGCCUCGGUGCUUGAUCUCGAGACUGUGGGUUGCUUCUUCGAGCUCCAAGAUACAAGGUUAGGUCCAACAAAUAUAGCAAAACCACCAGUGGAGUGCCUAUCAUCAACACAGCCUGCCUAGUCUGCAUCGGUGAAUAUACUCACUCCAGUAAAUCUGGACUUACGAAUCCGUAGUCCCAUGUCUAGCGUACCUUUGACAUAUCUCAGAAUACGCUUGACUGCUUCCCAAUGAUCCUCCGUUGGCUGAGACAGGAACUGACACACUCUGUUCACUGCGAAGGAGAUAUCAGGACGAGUGAGGGUCAAAUACUGAAGUGCUCCAACCACACUGCGAUACCAAAAGGAGUCAUCUCUACCCAGUAGUGCACCACUAUGACGUGAGAGACUCUCGGAAGUAGCAAGCGGAGUAGAAGUGGCCUUGCAGUUCUCCAUGUUGACGCGAUGAAGAAGAUCCAAAGCAUACUUUUUCUGCGUCAAAGCUAGCAGACAACGACUGCACAAGACGAUCCACCACGCGGGGGUAGAGCCAGCAAUCACAAUAUCAUCAACGUACACCAGCAUGUAUAUCUGUAUUUUACCCUGGGAGAAGAUGAACAGAGAUGCAUCUGAUCUGGAGGCAACAAAACCGAGCUGUGAAAGGCGCUGACUCAAACGAGCAUACCAGGCACGAGGCGACUGCUUUAGACCAUAAAUAGACCGCUGAAGUUUGCAGACAUGAGAGGGAUAAGUGGCAUCCUCGAACCCAGGUGGCUGCUGCAUGUACACAUCUUCAGCCAAGAACCCAUGUAAAAAGGCAUUGCUCACAUCAAUCUGUCGGAGGCUCCAACCACGAGACACAGCAAGAGACAGAACCAAGCAAACCGUGGCAGGCUUCACCACUGGGCUAAAAGUAUCUCCGUAGUCAAUCCCAUGCUGUUGAGUGAAACCGCGAGAAACAAGACGAGCUUUGUGCUUAUCAACAGACCCAUCCGGACGAUGCUUGGUUUUGAAAAUCCACUUGCAGCUCACAAUAUUAACACCAGGUGGCCGAGGCACCAACACCCAGGUGUUAGUGUGACGGAGAGCAGCAAACUCCUCGGACAUGGCGGCACGCCAGGCAGGUUCACCCAAAGCAUCACGAUGGGAAACUGGCGCGGCGAAGAAGGCACGGCGGCGAGAGUCAUACCGAACCGUGCCAUCAGUGUAAGACUUCUCCUUGCGCGUAUGAUCAGGAUGGCGUGUAACCAUAGCAUGCGCCGGAGCUGCAUCGCCGGUAGGAGAAGACGACGGCGAUGAGGGCUCGGCCGAGGGUGUCGCGGCUGAGGAGACCUCAGCAAGGGGCAACACGGGCCGAGAGACGAUGGUGUGCUGGACCGACCCAGGUGAGGGUGGCGGCCCGGGCGAGGGUGGCGACCCAGCCGCGUCCGCGGUCGCGCCAUCGGGCGCCGCGCCUGCCUCGGGCGACGGGACAUGCAUGUCGGGCGCAUCAGGAGGCGUCGGAGCAGCAACAUGUACCUGGGGGGACUCAAAGCAAUAUCACCUGCAAAAGACAAGUUAGGUGCCAAAUAGGACAUGUCAUAUUUACGCAAAUGGACAUCCGGAACCGGUUCAUCGGAGGGAAAAGUGAGUGCAUGUUCAAGAGAAGCAGGAUCAACCGAGACGCCGGGUUGAGAGUAAGGGAACACAGUCUCGUCAAAAACAACAUCACGAGAGAUGUAUAUCCGACCAGAGGUACGGUCAAGACACUUAUAGCCCUUAUGCAAAGGACUAUAGCCAAGGAAAACACACAUCUUGGACUGAAACUCAAGCUUGUGAGCAUUGUACUUGCGGAGCCUAGGCCAGCAAGCACACCCAAAAAUCCGAAGGGAGGAGUAGUUGGGCUGAACAUGAAACCGACGGAACAGAGGUGUGUCCUUGUUGAGAACCGGAGUGGGCAUACGGUUGAUGAGGUAACAUUCCGUAAGAAAAGCCUCAUCCCAAAACCGAAGUGGAAGAGAGGAGUGCGCUAGCAAGGCAAGACCGGUCUCGACCAAAUGUCGGUGUUUGCGCUCGACAAUACCGUUCUGCUGAGAGGUAUGUGGACAUGACACUCGGUGAGAGAUGCCCGUGCGUUGAAAGUAGCGAUGGAGUUUGUGGUAUUCACCACCCCAGUCGGACUGAACGGCCUUGAUUUUAUAAUCCAGAAGGCGUUCGACAUGAGCCUGAAAGUUGUAGAGAACUUGCUCAACAUCAGACUUGUGUUUAAGCAAAUAAAUCCAGGUGAAGCGCGUGUAGUCAUCAAUAAAGCUAACAUAAUACUUGUACCCUCCCGACGAAGCAAGAGCGGGACCCCAAACAUCUGAAUGUAUUAAUUCAGGAGGUACAGUAGUGAUAUGAAACGAAGUAGAAUAAGGGAGUUGAUGACUCUUAGCACGCUGACAAGCAUCACAAACUAACGAUGAAUUAUUUGAACUAGAACACGGAAGGUCAUGACUCCGAACAAUGGAAGUGACCACAUUAUUUGUAGGAUGACCAAGACGUUGAUGCCAUUGCAACGACCAAACUCAAACACCGGAGGAGGCACGGCGAGACGAUGAAGAUGACGCACGAGCGAAGGGGACCGGAUAGACCCCCCGUAACUUCUACCGUGAAGGAUGACGUGCCUGGUUGCUUUGUCCUUAACAAGGAAAAAACGACGGUGAAAUUCAACAAAGACGUCAUUAUCACAAAGAAGACGAUAAACAAAGAGAAGAUGCUGGCUGAUGUGUGGAACAUGAAGGAUGUUACGCAGUUGAAGAGAUGAACCGGGUAAACGCGAAUGACCAAUGUGCGAAAUAGACAAACCUGCACUAUUGGACACCUGAACCUGAUCCUUGCCGUCAUAGCGCUUGUGAACCUGGAGGCGCUCAAGAUCAUUGGUCAAGUGAUCUGUAGCCCCGGUAUCCAGCACCCAAGGGAAGUCGACGGUGUUGGUGGAGGCCGAGUUUGCGGUGCGGGAGUUGUGAUCCUGAUCAUAGCGCUUGCGGCAGUCGUCGGUUUCAUGGCCCCAGUUCUUGCAAAUUUGGCACCGGGGACGCCAGUGGUUGCGACGCCCACCUCCUCCAUCGUUGUUGUUGCCGGCGUUGCCCCCUCCACCUUGCCGGCCAUUGCCAGCAUAACCAGCGUUGCGGUCACGGCCGCCGGUGUUGCCGCCAUUACCGCCCUGGCGGUUCUGCCCUGGCUGGCCAUGUCCAUCAGCCGGGCGCCCCCCACCAUGGGAGGGAUAGGGAUCGGAGUAGGGCGCGCGUUCGCCCGCGCCGUACGAACCCGAACGGGUCACGGCGUUCGCGGAGGGAGACCACCCCUCCACCGCACUCUGUUGUGCCUACAACGCCUCGAAGGACAGAACCAAUGAGUAAAAACUGGAGUAGGGCAUGGGUGCAUUACUCACGCCCAAGGAGGCGGCGAUGGAGUUGUAGGCGGAGCCGAGGCCGGUGAGGAUGUGAUCGAUAAGCUCAUCAUCGCGGAUCGGAGAGCCGGCGGCGGCCAUAGUGUUGGCCAAGGCCUUCAUCUUGUGCAUGUAUUCCGCGGUAGACAUAUCGUCCUUCCUCAGCGACUGAAGUUGCCGCCGGAUGUGGCGGACAUUGGCGCGACUCUGGGCGCCGAACAUGGCGGCGACGGCUGUCCAUACCGCAUGCGCCAACUCGCAGCCAAUGAGUUGGCAUGCAAUAUCCUCAUCCAUGGAGGUGAGAAGAAGCUCCUUGACGCGCUGAUCUUGAACCCACCAUUGGUGGUACUCCGGGUUGGUGACAGUGGUAGCAGCGUCGCCGGUGCCGACAACGAGUGUUUUGGCCGGUGCCGCCUUGGUGCCAUCGAGGUGUCCGUGGAGGUUGGCACCGGCAAGAAUGGUGCUAGUGAUGCCCCCCUAGAGCAUGAAGUUGUGACGACCGAGGCGGACGGAGAUCGUCGGGACGGCGAGCGCGGCGGGGAUCGAGGCGACGGGGGAAGAGACGAUGGCGCCGGCGGUUUGGGCGUCGUACAUAGGGGCAGACGACAUCGCAGCGGCGGCGCGGAUGGGACAGCGCGGCGGCAGCGAAAGAUGGCUCGCGCGGCGGCAGCGAACGGAAGCAGUGGCAGCGAUCGGAAGCGGCGACCGCGUACGGGCAAAGCUAGCUAGCUAGCUAGCAGAUGGAUGGUUCCUGCGUAUGAGCGUAGCUAGCUAGCGGCAGCGGCGACGCGGAAGCUAGCUAGCAAGCAGCGGCGGCGACGCGGAAGAUGGGAUCGGGCGGCGGCGGCCCGACCUGGCUGAUAUCAAGUUAAACACAUGGUUUAGGGUUUUGCGUGGGUGGUUGACAUCCAGCCUCACGUCUCAAUAUAUAGAUGAUCACAAUUACAAUUACAUAAUUACAUACGUAUACGAAUACGUGUACAAGGACAAUACACUAGACCCUACUUUAUAGUCUCCUUAGAUUCCUGUCUAGAAGUGCUUUGCAUAUCUCUCAUAGGAAAAAUAUCCUCGAAGAAUGUAGCAUCCUUAGACUCCAUAAUCGUACCGACCUUCUGGUCAGGUACCUCAGAUUUCACUACUAGAAAUUUAUAGCCAACGCUGUUCUUAGUAUAGCCCAAAUUAACACAGUCCACAGUCUUGGGUCCAAGCUUACGCUUUUUGGGGAUCGGCAUAUUGACUUCCGCCAAACAGCCCCAAGUGCGCAAGUACGAGAGUGUUGUCCUUCUCUUUGCCCAUUUCUCAUAGGGAGUGAUCUCAUUAUCCUUUGUCGGAACUUUAUUCAGGACAUGACAUGUCGUUAAUAUAGCCUCCCCCCACCAUGCCUUGGAUAAACCCGAUGUAUCUAACAUGGCGUUAACCAAAUCAGUUAGAGUACGAUUUUUCCGCUCGGCAACCCCGUUUGACUGGGGUGAAUAGGGAGGCGUCCUCUCAUGAAUAAUGCCGUGUUCCGCACAAAAGGAAUCAAACUCACUCGAGAAGUACUCUCCACCACAAUCUGAUCGGACUCAUUUAAUUUUCUUUUCAAGUUGACUCUCAACUUCUGCCUUAUAGAUUUUAAAGUAGUGUAGAGCCUCAUCUUUAGUAUUUAACAGAUAAAUAUAGCAAUAUCUAGUGGAAUCAUCUAUCAAUGUCAUGAAGUAUUUCUUUCCACCUUUAGUCAACACAACAUUCAUCUCACAAAGAUCAGAAUGUAUGAGUUCUAAUGGUGCCAAGUGUCUCUCCUCCGCGGCCUUACGAGGCUUGCGAGAUGCUUAGCUUGCACACAUGAAAGGCACUUAGAAUCUUUGGCUAAAGUGGAUUAAAUCCAACUUAGCUAGCCGUGUCAUAACACCAAAACUAAUGUGACAAAGACGUGAAUGCCAAACUUCAGAUUCAUUAACAUUCAAAUGAAUAUGGUUCACGAUUGUAUUACAAAAAUCUGUGAGGGAAAGGCGGAACAUCCCUCCGCUCUCAUAACCUUUUCCAACAAAGAGUCCAUAUUUCGUAACAACUAAUUUAUUAGACUCAAAAACUAACUUAAACCCUUCUCUACAUAGAAGGGAGCCACUAACGAGGUUCUUCUUGAUGGCGGGGACAUGCUGCACGUUCUUCAGCUGCACGAUCCUUCCCGAAGUAAACUUCAGAUCGACCGUGCCAACACCAUGAACAGAAGCACUCGCGCCAUUCCCCAUCAAUACGGACCCGUGACCUGUGACCUGGUAAGAAGUGAACAAUGAAAUGUCAGCACACACAUGAACACCUGCACCUGUGUCCACCCACCAAUCGGUAGGCUGAAACACUGAAAAAACAGUAAAUAAAUUACCGUACCCAGAUGCACCAUUCUCAUUGUUGCCCACAAUCAUGUUGACAGACUUGGAGUCCUGUCCUGAUUUCUUGUACUUGUUUGGGCACUUUGUUGGCCUAAUGUUCAACCGAACCACAAGUAGAGCAGCCCUCUUCCUUCUUGUUCUUCUUGAAGGUCUUCUUACCCUUCUUCUUAAAGUCGGUAUUGUGUUGGACACCGUUCUUUCCCUUGGGCUUGUGGGAAUUGAAGUUCUUCUGGUUCACCAUGUUGGCGACAGAAGUCCCUUCGGCCCCUUUUCCGUGCGAGUCUUUUGCCCUCGAAUUCUGCUCAACACUCAGAUGGCCAAUGACAUCCUCCACAGAGAAUUCACGCCUCUGAUGUUUCAGAGUGGUGGCAAAGUUCCUCCAGGAAUUAGGGAGCUUAGCGAUUAUGCAGCCCGCGACAAACUUGCCCGGUAACUCGCACUUAAGAAGCUCAUGUUCCUUAACAAUGCAUAUUGUCUCAUGAGCCUGCUCCAAUACAGGAUGGUUUUCAACCAUCUUGUAAUCGUGGAACUACUCUAUAAUAUACAUCUCGCUCCCUGCAUCGGCAGCCCCGAAUUUAGAUUCGGGCGCCUCCCACAAGUCCUUGGCGACAUGCACAUGUAAAUAUGCGUCGACCAGUUUAUCUCCGAUCACGCUAAGAUCUGCUCCGAGAAACACAACGGUAGCCUCCUUGAACGCCUUCUCCUAUUCAGGAGCAAUCGUUCCCGUGGAGACACCGGUGAUCCAGAACACGUUCAUAGCCGUGAGCCAUAACAUGGUCUUAGUCUGCCAACGCUUAAAGUAUGUAUCGGUAAACUUAUCCGGUUUCAGUGCAGCGGCAAAGCCACUUGCCGAGAAAUUCCUACACAUAAUAGGUUUUUGGAUUGUUUAGGAGCGGGAUAAACGAGUUAUACCUCCAGUAGGCCAUGCAGAGGCCGCGGCUUUGGUGGCAGCAGCGGCGUCCUCGGCGGCCUUCUUGUCGGCUUCAGCUUUCUCGGCGGCGGCACGUUCGGUGUCGGUGGACAUGGUGAUGAUGAAGGCGAUGCGGACGUAGAGGAAGUAGACGGUCGGAAGUGAGCAGUCACGUAAUCGCUGCCCAAAAUCCUAUUCGCCCCUCACCCCGUACAGGAACCAGAAGGGCGUGGUUUCGGAGACCUGCUCUCCCGUCGACCGUGUACGCGGCGGGCGGGAUGGAGUCAGGCACAGCCGCGUGGAGAGACGUGGGCUCGACCAGAAGGGCGUGGUUUCGGAGACCUGCUCUCCCGUCGACCGUGUACGAGGCGGGCGGGAUGGAGUUAGGCGGAGCUGCGUGAAGAGACGUGGGCUCGACCCACAAAAAUAAGCGCGUAGAUGUGAGCUCGGCUCGGCUCAAUCACGCAACCCGCGGCGCGGCGGAGGAGUGCGCGAGGGCCUCUUUUCUUCUCAAGCUCCAAUAGCAUGUAGAAGAGAAACCCUUAUAAGGAGGUCCAACUCCUUUUCCACUUCCGGGGUGGGACUAAACUUCCCACUACACCUAGUGCCAUAUAACCCACAUGGACCCUUAGAGAUUUUUCAGAAAUUGCUAUAUGGGCCUAGAGCCAUCUCAAAUUUCAGCAUUAACCAGUAGUAUGGGUCGAGGGUCAUACAUGACGGUACAUUUCAAUGCGUUUAUUCAUAUCAGCUCUAGUGGAUUGAUCCAUCGGCUUGAUCGGUAAAGCAUAUAUAUAUAUAGUGUACCGCCACCUUUGCCUUCUUAUCACUCAACGAUGUCGCCGGCUGGCGGGAUGGUGGUGCUGCUGGCCACGAUGCAACAUGGCAUCACGUGCACGUCGCACAUUGUAGGCAGGGUCUGCAGCGCAGUGCUCAUCGUCUCCUCAAACUGGCCUAGUUGUUCUUGCUGACGCUGGCGGGAACCGUGUCUUGGUUGUGGCUGUUGUUGCCGUUGCUCUUGUUGCUUCACGAUGAUGAUGGUGUGCACUAGAGCACAUAUGGCUUGGCAUAGGGAUGGCAUAGGGAUCUGGUUGAGUUGUUGGCAGCAUUGCUGCCGUCUCAGUUGGCAGUUGAUUUGUGGCAACAUCUGUGAUUCAAGGAAUGGUGGUGUUGCCACAGGGGUGCACAACUGUUGUAUGAACACUUUGCACAUGUCCAACUGUUGAUGACGUAAUGGAUGGAAUGUUUCUUGCGGCUGUUUCAGAAACGAUUCUUGUGGCUGCUUCGACACUAGUUGUGGUUGCUGUGGACCUGGCUGUGGAAAUGGGUUGUUGGCCAAUGCCGAUGCGGCAGCCAGUCUCCAACUGCGCAACAACAUUGAUCACCGGUACACCAAGGAAGACGAGGAUGAGCAAUGUCGUCAUGGUGGACCGGCGUGUGGCUAGCUUUUGUUCGACUUUGAUGUAAGUGUGAAGGACGAUGGAGGAGGAUGUCGACGGUGAAGGCCUAUUUAGCAAAGAUGGUUCUGUCUCCUGGCUCGCUUCUCUUCAGAGUGUUUGGAUGCUUCCAAAACCGAUCAUUUUGGUAUUGCUGUCACGUGAAGCACUACAUACAAGCAUAACCCCAUGUGGAUCGCCAAAGUGACUUUCUAAUGCCCAUAUAUAUCAUGUGGAGUGGCCGUAUGCAUCCACCUGAUGCAGAGGCCGGGAAUCACCCCUUUUCAAAAAAAAUAAAUAUAUAUCAUGUGGCCAUUGUAGAAACAGAUAACUGAUAAUCAAAAUGACUCAUCAUGUUCACUUUACACCUCAACACUCGUCAGGAUUACCUCCCACCACCCCAAACUGAAUUUAUAAUCUUGUACAAGUUGAUAUCACGCAUAAAACCAGAUUUGCAAUGUCUUUUGUGGAAUAAUAAUUUUGUAAUCUUGCAUGCCCGAGGGCUUUUUAUUCUUGGAAAUGUUUGCAAGUAAUCUGGUAAGUACCCACAACCGGUUUCUCUCAUCAUGUGUUUCCGGGCGGAGCAAACGAUGGCGUAGUGAUCCUCCUCCUCGUUGUAGGGGACGCGUCGUUCGUGGUGGCGCACAAGAAGGUGAAGUUGUCCCGCCCCGGCCCCGUCGUCAAGCGCCUUGCCGUCACCCUCGACCUCUACAACCAGGGCUCCGCCUGAGUCAACUAGAUCUCGCUUCUUAGCUCACCUAUCUGUAGGAGGACGCCACGAGCAAUCACGGCGAGUUUCACUACAUCUUGGAUAAAUUGCUAUGUCCUGCUCUACUUGUAGUUAGAAGCUUGAGCGAAAUGAAGACUAGGGGUGUUAUUAUUCUAAACAUCAUCGUGUUUUGUGUUAUGUUAUAAUGUUGUGUUCAAGGAGCUUAAAAGCUUAUUUUCACUUCUGAAGGAGGCAUAUUCAUGGCCCGUCCUUCCAUUCGAUAUUCUCGCCGAGAGACCUCCACAGCACAAGUUUGAAUUGGUUAGUUAUCAAGUUAUCAUAUCACUUCAUGAUUCUAAUGUUUGAAUGCAAUAUCUUUGGUGCUCACACUUCACUUCGGUGUAUCCACCUUCGGCACUUGCAACCUUUCGGGCUAAGGUAAUUUCACAACCAUUCACCUGUUUGCAUGGAAGUAGGAAACCAGAAUUAAUCAUCAUCUACCUGGUCGCAAGCCCAUCGAAAUCUGGUGCUGCGAAAGGAGGCAAGAUGAGACGCUGGAACUGUCUAGUUGAUCGCAAUGUACUCUAUCUUUUUUGCAGGAAAAGAAAGAGAGUAAAUCUGACUAAAUCUAGUUGAUCGCAAUGUACUCUAAUGGCUAACGCAACCAGGAUCAUACCUGACUAAAUCUGACCAGAAGAAUAUAUUUUGUAGAACAUAAAUCUUUUGUGUUUUUUGCCUUGCAAUGAUGGACGGUGGCACAAUAUCCUUUCAACAGUGAAUAGUUGCACAAGAUAUGUGACUUGCCGUGGAUAUUUUGUCCAAUUAAGUUUGUUUUUGUGGAGAAUUACUCGAUGAACACAUUUUAUUAAAGGAAAAAUGGCAGAGGAAAAGGAUAGAAUCAGCUUAAUCACUCCCUGUGUAAAUCAAUAAUCAAAUCUAAGGUGGGCCUCAUUAAAAACACAUCUGACAUGUAUUGUUUCGUUAGAAUGUGUAAAUCAACAAUCAAAUCUAACGUGUGCCUCAUUAAAAACAUCUGACAUAUACUGUUUAAUUAGAAUCAGAUGCAAGAUCCAGAAUAGUCAAGAUGGUCACACAACUCAUAAGCAUUGCCAUCAAAGAUAUAAAUUGCAAUUAGUCAACUUACUUUAGUAUAGUAUAUACUUCAACUGAAUCCAAGUUUCGCACUAAUCAGUUAAGUUAUGCUCAUAUUACUUAACUGCAGAAAUAGCUAGGAUAUUCCUCUUCCUCUCUCUCUCUCUCUCUCUCUCUCUCUCUCUCUCUCUCUCUCUCCUCCCUCUAUGGCCACCGCAAUGCCACCAGACAGUGCCAAAGUUUCCUCUUUCCAAGCACUGCCUCCAAAUAAUUGUUCUGAUCGCACGGUGACUUAUAUUGUCUUCUCCGCACCACUCUAAUUAGAAGAUGCCGCUGGUGGGAGGCGCGACAUACAAAUGAGGCCUUAAUAUUUGCAUCCACCGACUCAUAAGUUCCGCCUCCCAUAAUCCGGUUCAACGACAUUUACCAAGGUCUUUUUGAGCAUUUAUUUGUGGUUGGCAUGCUUCUGUAGGAAGGGGAAGAAGGACUGCUCCAUGGUGAUCCUCGAGUGGAAGAAGUCAAUAAGCCGUCUGAUGGUCAACGAAGCCACCAAUGACUCCGUUAUUGCCUUGCGCCCGGACACAAAGCAGAGGCUGCAGUUGUUCCAUGGGGCCACCAUCCUCCUCAUGGUACUACAUGGUCUAAUUGAGCUAAUACUUAUUUAAAUUUAAGCUAUCUUGCUGGAUGGGCUCAAGGAUCCGUGGCUGAUUUUUUUGAAUUUGUAUUAGUUCUAGGAUACAUAUUUGUCAAAAAAAAUCAUAUCUUUAUCAUUGUGAUAGUUCGUAUAAGGUAGAAUAGACUAUUUUGCUGAGUUUUAGUAGUUUGCUGGGUUAUUUGUUCAACAUUUGAGCAAAAAUUCUACGCAAAUUUAUAUCCUACUAUUUGUGUCCCACACUUGUCUUUCAAAGUGUCUACUGGUUAUGUUGAUUUUUCAGCUUUAACUAUGUAAGAGACGAGCGCAAUGUUAAAAUUGUUUAGCUCAAAAUAUCCUUCUAACGAACUUCUACAUAGAAUGAUUUCUCAUCUCUUUGAAUACCAUAGCAGCAAAUGUAAUAUUUGCUUUGUGUUCCUAGAUUGAGAUAAGUCAAUAUCACAGUGCAUGUUUAAAGAAAUAACAACUGAGUUAUUCUACAGGUAAAAGAAAUUUCUACAAUCAAUUAGAACUGAUGCUACUUAAGCUUUGUUUGUCAUCAAUAAAUUAUUUCCCUCUCCGCAAGAAACGAUAUGAAGUGCUUAAUGGCAUGUUUGGCGCUAGCUAUUGUGACUCAAUAUUUGCUCUUGCUCACUGCAUGCUUUAUCUUUUACCAUGUGGCAACUUUAGUUUGAUUUUCACGUCUUUGGAGUCCCCUAUAGAAUUUGUUUGAAGAAUGCUUCGGUGCCAUCAAACUCAAAGUUGCACCAACGCAAAAAUAUCCAGAUUAACAUUUAAAGUGAUGGAUGGUUUCUAAUCAAGCGCUUGUUUUUCUACCGAAAUGGCCCUUUUACUUCUAAAAAUUGAAAUACGUUGAACUAUUAUUGUGUGCACUGUUUAGGAAAUCGCUAACUGAUAGUUGCUCGAUCGGCUUGGGAGCAACAACUAAUAGAUCAAUCGACCUAUUAACAAGAUUAAUAGGUUGACAACCACACUGAAAGGCAACGCGACAGAAAACAAAAAUUUUCUGACCUACGCACCAGCCCAGGACCACUAUGGAGACUGCAUACAUGGUUUGAUCUUUUUCGUUACCGACUCGUAGCGCAGCGGGAAGUAGAGUCGAUGACGAUCGGCGGUGCAGAUCCCCGCAGCUAGGAUUUACAACCUCCCAACCGCGAGGAUGUAUACCCUCAUCUGCUCCUUAGACAGCCCUCCGGGAGGCGGCCGAACAGCCCCCCGGACGGUGUCGCGGACAGCCCUUCGGGAGGACCUUCGAAACUCGAACGGUCACUCGGACAGCCCUUCGGGAGGACCUUCGAAACUCGGACGGUCACACGGACAGCCCUUCGGGAGGCACUCACGAACUAAGACCGAAACUACGAUCUCUCUACAGAGUUGCACACAUACGGUGUCAUCUAUCCGGCAGGGCUUCGCCGUCCAGAACUAGUUCCUGCCGGAACCCAGACAGCCUUACGGCUCUACGAAACUCUUUUCGUGGGAGGGAGAGAAGAAGCCAGAUAAUGCAUGGCAUGUGUAUGAGAGCAAGGGAUGAGUGUGGAGGGCUGCCCCUCCACCUCUAUUUAUAGGAAAUCCCAAGGGGGUAGGGUAGUUUCACAAAAAACCCAAAAUGCACAUGAAUGAAGUCCUUCCACAAGGACCUAGGAGUGAAACCAAGGAACAAGAGGGUCCCCAAGGGGGGAUACCCCAUGUGGCCGGCCACACCCCCAUGAGGGGCCCAAAAAAUGGCUCCUAUCCAUCCAUGUCAUCCCCAAGAUCUUUUGGAGCAAAGCCCCAAAAGGUGGCUUUCCAUAAAGUAACCAUAAAGCUGAUUUUCACUAUUCACGACGACAUUUUUCAGCGUCUGAUCGAACUGAAAAUAUUUAUGUGGGCUAAGAACAUUUCCAGUACCCACUAAAAUGAUUUUCAACGCGUUCCGAAACAAUUCCGGUUUUAGCGAUUUUCAUCUGCGAAACGCAUCUGAAGUGGCUCCGGCAGCUCCGGAACAUUUCCGGUUUUUAUCUCAGAAAAUUCCAAAAAGCUUCCAGAAUGAUUCUGGCAUCCUCCAAGAAUUAUCAGGCAUGUGCCGAAACCAAUUUGACUUAAUGGUGUAUCCCGAAACAACUUUUCGGUAUCAUCAAAACUUAUCCGAUGACCUCUCUCUGCGGUACGAUUCUGCUGUCCGAAACUUUUCGGUGUCCGAAACUUUUUCAAUGAUUUUCUCUCAGACUCCCUGUCUAGUAUUCAGCAGAUAGAUGACCCUUAAGCGUGUGACCCUAUAGGUUCGGUGAAGUAUAGACAUGACCCGGAACCCCUUCCGAUCAAUGAUCAACAUCGGAGCCGUGGACACCCAUAUUGACCCCUAUACCCACACGAAUAAAUAUUCGAGUGAACCUCCAGUUGCCGUGUGCUAUUCCUGUUGCUUCGCGAUAUGUUACAAAUACCCGAGGUGAGGCAUGUUGGCAUUCCCGUGGAUCAACAACUUGUCCACUAUGCUAGUUACCUCGUUACCGGUUUUGUUCUCUUUUCUCGUUUCGUGUUCCGGCAUCCCCGUGAUCAAAUCACAAAGUGUCUGGCCAGACAAUGAUGGACACCGUAACACCGAGAGGGCCCGAGUAUAUCUCUCCAUCGUCGGAGGAGCAAAUCCCAAUCUCGAGCUAUCAAGUCACUUAACAUACUUUCCCAUGAACCCGUAAGCCGCCGUAAUAGCCAUCCAGUUACGGAUGACGUUUAACAAACCCCAAAGUUCAUGAAGCAAGCAUGAAGAAACUCGAUACUCUCAUGGUCUAAGGAAUUAUGCAAACAUUAACUAUCUCUGUGUUAUAAACCAUUAACUUGUGAUGAAUGUACCUCAUAGCAUAACAUCAAUUCGGGUCGAUUCAACACAAAUGUCCUUCCUGACAUUGUGCCCUCAAAAUUGCUUGGCAUAGACAUGCCCAUGAUUGGGAAAACAUAAUCAUCAUGCAACACUUGAGCUAGUCUUAGAGGCACGACUAGGAAUACAUUUUACCGUUUAUUAUUCCACACGUGCAUAUGGGUUCUCCCCAGAGCCUUUAUGGAUAUACGGGCUCGGGAACCACAUCAGUUAUAGCAUGGAACAUAAACAUAAUUAUGAACAGGGAGAUAAUCAAUAACAUUUAUUAUUGCCUCUAGGGCAUAUCUCCUACAGACUCCCACUUGCACUAGAGACAAUAAUCUAGCUUAUGCUAAUGCACUUCACACCUGUGGCACACCGGUGUAAAUAUGCUUCGCUUGUGGUAUAGCCUGAUGUCCAAUGGAUCUGACGACUUCAGUUCCGUGUGUAUCUUUGCAUGUCCUCGCGUUUUCACAAAAUUCAUAUUUUGUGUGGACUUGGCUUUGUAUGUAUGUGAAUCACAGGUCGAACCUGGAUUCCUCAGACUGAGUUAUGGAGCAACUACCUGCAGUAGUGUCCCAUUGUCAAAAGCCAUCUUGGAACUAUACUAAGUUCAUGAAUGAACUAUAUGAUUCAACAUCUUCUUUGUCGCUUCUAAAGCGUCAACAUACUUAGCCCUUGUUAUAGAAUUCGCCACAGUAACUAGUUUGAACAAAUUCCAACUAACUGUGCCACCACAUUGUGUGUUACACAAAACCCUUAAUUUAAAUCGAAAAUCGCAUGGAGAAAAGAUGAAGAUUGUAUCGACGUAACAUUUUACAACGAACUCUUCAUGAUCUCUGCUUGCGAGAGAACCAUGUCAUCAGUACUUACUCUAGUACUCUGUGACAUCUUUCACUGUUGUCCCAUGAUCAGUAAUUUGAUCACUUUAGUAUCCAUACUCGCAACACCUUGGGAGUAUCGGACAUAUCUGGUUGUUUUACAUACCAUGGAAUAGAUGAUUAAUCCAAACACAAAAGUGUGUGGAAUCUGCAUCAUGUAUUUUACUCAUCAGUGUUUUGGGACACCGAGUCUUGCAAAAACUCUUUCCAUGUGACUUUGGCAAGAAUCACUCCUUGGCGUUUUAAAUGCUAAAAGGUUUUAGCAUCUUGUCAAUAUGUAUUCAUUGCUUAGCCCCAUUAGGUAAAUCUAUCUCCAUAGAUCAUCAUGCCUAAUAUUGAGGCUAUUUAGCCUAAGCACUUCAUCGAAAAACUAUUUUCAAAUGAAGUCCUAAUUUGUGUCAAGAAAUUUAUUUCCAAUUACCAAUGUGCCAAGCACAUAAGGUUUUUAGAAAUAUUAUUACGCUCCCACUUACUUUCUUGAAUUACAAGCAUCUUCGUUACCCAUUGAUGAAGUCAAACCCCUUUGACCAUUUCAUCAAAGCACGAAGAUUCCAACUCCAUUUUGCUCUCUUCUGUCCAUUGAUGGAACUCUGAAGUUUGCAUACCUACUAGCAUCCUCUGGAUCGACAAAUUACUUUGGACUGUAUCAUAUACAAGUCCUAGCUUUCAUUUCCAUCAGAUGGAAAUCCUUUUAUCAUCCAUGUUUCAUAUCUCAUGAUUGAAAUAUGUAUUAAUUGCUAGUUCAACCCGAACCGACUUUAAGCAUCGCUACGAUGAAAACAACCUCAUCGUAUUAUUUCAACAAGUCGAGCUUUAUGGAUAAAACAUUUUAUCCGUAUCAGUUUUAAGUUCCAUAAAUAUUCGUUAGACUCUAAGUCUUCCGAAAGGUGUAUCAAGGUUUUAAUCUUGAAUCACUUAUAUGGAAACUAACUCGGGUUGUAUUGGCAUUUAGCCAAUUCCGGAGUCAGGGCCCGUCAACGCUUCCUUGUGUAUCGUAGGUAUAAUGUUGUCUAACAACAAUAUCUCGUUUGCGCACCUGAGAGGUUUGCACGAGCCUUGCCUACGUGGUUCAGCUGCAAGUUCGACCGAAGUUCAUACAUUUUAUUGUAGAGACUUCCAUAUCAGUCGCAGUAGGAAACUCUGGAAUUACUUCCAAGGUCUCUUUCCUUUGAUCUGAUGAAGAUACUGUUUAUCUCGUCGAGUUGCACUAUUCUCCCACUCACCUUUUAGAAAGAACCAUUCUCUUUAAAAGCAUACCGUUCUUUGUGGCAAACCUAUUUGCCUCGGUAUAGUGAGGGAGGAAUACCCAACAUUUUGGUAUAACCUACAAAGUAGCACUUGUCUGAUUUGGAAUAGGUUUGUAACCUUUUACACAAGCCCCAUAUUCCAAAUGUUAAGAAAAGAUAUAACAUGGUUGGGCGUACCAUACCAUGGCUUCAUUUCAACAGACCCGAUGUAGCUCUUUUCAGUGUAAAAGCCGCAGUCUCUAAAGCAUCACUUUAAAAGGGAUAAUGGCAAAUUUAUUUAUGUCAUCUUUGACCUUACCAUGUCAUAAAUGGUUUGAUUACAUCUCCACGGACUUUCCACUUGCAGUGGUGUUCCGGGAGGUGCAAGUUUAUGAAACCCCUUUCACAACUCAUCAGACAUUCACUAAACAUGUAACUCAAAUAUUCCUUUGUGCAAUCAAAUUGCAGAAACAUAAUUUUCUUGUUACAAUAACUUCUACUUCAUUUUGAGAACCUUUCGAAUGAUUUCAAAAGAUCCAGACUUACGUCUCAUCAAGUAAAUAUCCAUAUAUCUACUUGAGUCAUUUCUGAAGAUAAAUAAAUCCACCACUAACAACACUUAUCGGACUACACACAUCAAAUGUAUGAUCACUAAUAAGUUUGUUGUUCGUUCCUUAUGGCCUGUGAACGGUAUUUUAGUCACUUCACUUUUCGGAGGAAAGUUGCAAGUGUCAGAUGAUUCAAAAUCAAAAAGACUUCAAAAUCCAUCAUAAUGGAAUUUUCCAUGCGGGUUUCUCCAAUGUGACCAAAUGUAGUGCCACACUUGUGUGGUAUUCUUUUAGUCUUGCGACAUUUAGUGUCAGUGUUAUGGAUGUAUCAUAUUACCCUCAAUAUUCAUAACAUACGUCCCAUCGAUGAUGGAAGUAUGGCCCUUAUGUUAUUCAUAAUACUUAACAACAAUUGUUGUUUUUAUGAACAACUCUUUUGCAACAAACAUUGUGUAAUGGGCUAGAGUGUAUGAAACUCUAAAAUGAAUUAUGUAAGUAAACCCAGAGGUAUUGUAUUAUUAUCAAUAUUCAUAACAUACAUCUCAUUCAUAAUGAAAGUAUGGCCCUUGUGUUAUUCAUAACAUCGAACAUAAAAAGUUCUCUUAUGAACAACCUUCUUGCAAGAUGCCUUAUGCAAUGGGAUAGAGUUUGUAAAACUCUAAAUGAAUUAUGAAAAUAAAUACAGACGGCAAUACACCGAUGGAAGGUAUAGUAACAUUUACUAUGUUCCCUGUGUAUACCUUAACCUCAUUUCUAGCAAGUCUUUCAGGCCAUAGUAGUUCUUACAUCGAGUUGCAACAGAAUGCAAUCGAGCGGGCAUUUUUGUGAUGAACUCACAAUACCCAAGAAUUAGUGAUUAACAUGUUUAACCAUAAUUCGCAAGAACUAUAUCUUUGACCAGCCUUCUAUACAUCAAAAACUUGUAUGGCAUUCAUACAUGAGCUGGAUAUUCCAGUCUUCUUUCCUUUUGCCUUUAUACUUCUAGCAGUUUAACUUUUAGUAUUUCUCCUACUCUCAGAAGAAGCACCCAACUUAAGAGUGGCAUUAGCCCUGGACUUCCUAGGCGUGUAAGUCAUACUAACACCCUUUGGACACUUCCUUUCUCUUUAAGUUGUUGUUUUAUUCACCUUUCAUUAUAUGACAGGCGUUCUUCUGGAUCCCUUUCCCAACAGUCAAAUGCAUAGUAAACACUUUUACUAAUAUUUGCAAACAAACAUUGCUUUGUUUGUAUCUGAAAAUAAUUUCCAGUUCCAUGAAUAUCAUAUAACUAUCCCAACUUUCGAAGUUUGGGUUUCAUGGAAGCAAACAUAUUCCACUUGACCGUAACAGAAUUCUAGCUUUUGGAUCAAAGGACGAGAGUCACAUGAUCCAUAGCAUUAGCGGGAGGAUACGGAAAGCAUGCGAUAGGACAAAGUACUUCUCGGCACUUUUGAGGACAAUCCUCAUAUUACGUUACCAAUCGUAAAGUUUUAACCAGAUAUUUAACAGCUAUUCAAUUUUAACAGGGAAGGUGGAAACGCGAGCCAUUAUUCUACAACUAUUUUGCAUAUAACACUUAGACAAUGUUCAUAAUUAAUUGCACUAAGAAUUAAACAUGUUAAUUCAACAGUGUGCUCCCACUCAAUUCAAUAUCUCUCAAAAUUGAUUGUGAGUGAUACAAGACCCACAUUUCAAUUGUUCGCCAUUGGUGUAACACCAUUCAUGACGAAAAAUUACAACCGGUAGGCCAACUUGCCAAUCACAUCUCUAUGUGACUCUUGUUCAUCUUUUGAUGCGUGUGUUCUGAGCUCAUGACGGUCAUGCCUGAACGUCAAGACAACCAAGUGAUCUCGCUGCAAGGUCUCAACUCACCCGCCUCACACUUCUCUAGUCGUUCGUACCCGUGUGACACGGCGCACCCCGAAAAGAUAGGUGCCGUGACGGUGCUACACUUGGGAGAACACUAACUACUUGGUAUUUUAAGUGAGAGAUCACCCUAAUAAAAGCGACUACCGCGCAAUCUAGAAGGGUGCAUCAUAAGGGAUAAACAUCUCAGGCAAUUCAUAAUAGCAUGAUAUGGUAUAGCCCUUUCUGACGGAGAAGUCUUUCAUUUCUUCGUCUUCGGCAUUCGCGUCGGUGUUCACCUUCGCGAAGAUUGCCACCACCUUGUCGAUGCACCAGAUAAUAUUGCUAUCUCUAUAGCUAACAAAAUAAUGCAUUACAACAAGGUGGACACGUAGGUCAUUAAAGUGCAAUCAUAUGGCUCCAACCAUCAUGCCGAAUCAUGACACGCAGGUCAUGUUAAUCAAAUUACAUCAUAUAGUCAUCUCAUACAUAAUCGAAUUAGUAUGAGCACUGCUAUACCACAUCAUAUGCACAUCCUGCAAAACCAAGUUAGACGCCUCUAAUCGGUUUAUGCAAAAUUUAUUUUACGUGGCUUCUAAGGUUUUGACUUAAACCGCAGCGACCAACGUUUUAUCAUCAAGUAUGAUUAUUCAAGUUGCUAGAUUAACAUCUCGGGGUGUAUGAAACACGGGAUAAUUAAAUCUCGAGCCCCAUACUAAACUUCGUCAUACGCAUGACCCCCGUGCAGAUCAUAUCUGCAAUGCCCUUUCAUCUGCGAAUUUCAUCUUUCUUUUGACUACGGCAGAACCCAAAGAACUGAUAGCACUUCCAUGAUCAAUCAGGAUCACGGAUUGCUAGAACUUUGUCAAAUUCCACCAUGAUGUCUCGAGAUUGAGCAAACGCAAAUUCUAGGGAAGCAACAAGAACCUCGGGUAACAGAUUUCAUCUGUCACCCGCAUAAAUAAUUUUCAGCAAUAGAUCUCAUCUACUACCUAAUUAUAUUAUGCAAUACCCAUACAUCUCCAUGUAUUCUAGAUCGAAACCUGCAUCUACGCAUAGCACGGCUCUUGAUGCCACUGAAAGGGAACGCGACAGAAAACAAAAAUUUUCUUACCUACGCACCAGCCCAGGACCACUAUGGAGACUGCAUACAUGGUUUGAUCUUUUUCGUUACCGACUCGUAGCGCAGCGGGAAGUAGAGUCGAUGACGAUCGGCGGUGCAGAUCCCCGCAGCUAGGAUUUACAACCUCCCAACCGCGAGGAUGUAUACCCUCAUCUGCUCCUUAGACAGCCCUCCGGGAGGCGGUCGAACAGCCCCCCGGACGGUGUCGCGGACAGCCCUCGGGAGGACCUUCGAAACUCGAACGGUCACUCGGACAGCCCUUCGGGAGGACCUUCGAAACUCGGACGGUCACACGGACAGCCCUUCGGGAGGCACUCACGAACUAAGACCGAAACUACGAUCUCUCUACAGAGUUGCACACAUACGGUGUCAUCUAUCCGGCAGGGCUUCGCCGUCCAGAACUAGUGUCUGCCGGAACCCAGACAGCCUUACGGCUCUACGAAACUCUUUUCGUGGGAGGGAGAGAAGAAGCCAGAUAAUGCAUGGCAUGUGUAUGAGAGCAAGGGAUGAGUGUGGAGGGCUGCCCCUCCACCUCUAUUUAUAGGAAAUCCCAAGGGGGUAGGGUAGUUUCACAAAAAACCCAAAAUGCACAUGAAUGAAGUCCUUCCACAAGGACCUAGGAGUGAAACCAAGGAACAAGAGGGUCCCCAAGGGGGGAUACCCCAUGUGGCCGGCCACACCCCCAUGAGGGGCCCAAAAAAUGGCUCCUAUCCAUCCAUGUCAUCCCCAAGAUCUUUUGGAGCAAAGCCCCAAAAGGUGGCUUUCCAUAAAGUAACCAUAAAGCUGAUUUUCACUAUUCACGACGACAUUUUUCAGCGUCUGAUCGAACUGAAAAUAUUUAUGUGGGCUAAGAACAUUUCCAGUACCCACUAAAAUGAUUUUCAACGCGUUCCGAAACAAUUCCGGUUUUGUUCUCUUUUCUCGUUUCGUGUUCCGGCAUCCCCGUGAUCAAAUCACAAAGUGUCUGGCCAGACGAUGAUGGACACCGUAACACCGAGAGGGCCCAGAGAUAUCUCUCCAUCGUCGGAGGAGCAAAUCCCAAUCUUGAGCUAUCAAGUUACUUGACACACUUUUCCAUGAACCCGUAAGCCGCCGUAAUAGCCACCCAAUUACGGAUGACGUUUAACAAACCCCAAAGUUCAUGAAGCAAGCAUGAAGAAACUCGAUACUCUCAUGGUCUAAGGAAUCAUGCAAACGUUAACCAUCUCUGUGUUAUGUACCAAUAAACUUGUGACGAAUGAAUCUCAUAGCAUAACAUCAUGCCGGGUCGAUUCAACACAAAUGUUCUCUUAACAUUAUGCCCUCAAGGUUGCUGACAUAGACAUGCCCAUGAUCAGGAAAACAUAACCAUCAUGCAACACUUGAGCUAGUCUUAGAGGCCAGACUAGGAAUACAUUUUACCGUUUAUUAUUCCACACGUGCAUAUGAGUCUUCCUCCGAGCCUCGUGGUUAUUGCAGACUCGAGAACCAUAGCAGUUAUAGCAUGGAACAUAAACAUAAUUAUGAACUCGGAGAUAAAUAAUAUCAUUUAUUAUUGCCUCUAGGGCAUAUCUCCUAAAUGGUUUGAUUACAUCUCCACGGACUUUCCACUUGCAGUGGUGUUCCGGGAGGUGCAAGUUAUGAAACCCCUUUCACAACUCAUCAGACAUUCGCUAAACAUGUAACUCAAAUAUUCCUUUGUGCAAUCAAAUUGCAGAAACAUAAUUUUCUUGUUACAAUAACUUCUACUUCAUUUUUGAGAACCUUUCGAAUGAUUUCAAAAGAUCCAGACUUACGUCUCAUCAAGUAAAUAUCCAUAUAUCUACUUGAGUCAUUUAUGAAGAUAAAUAAAUCCACCACUAACAACACUUAUCGGACUACACACAUCAAAUGUAUGAUCACUAAUAAGUUUGUUGUUCGUUCCUUAUGGCCUGUGAACGGUAUUUUAGUCACUUCACUUUUCGGAGGAAAGUUGCAAGUGUCAGAUGAUUCAAAAUCAAAAAGACUUCAAAAUCCAUCAUAAUGGAAUUUUCAAUGCGGGUUUCUCCAAUGUGACCAAAUGUAGUGCCACACUUGUGUGGUAUUCUUUUAGUCUUGCGACAUUUAGCGUCAGUGUUAUGGAUGUAUCAUAUUACCCUCAAUAUUCAUAACAUACGUCCCAUCUUGGAUGGAAGCAUGGCCCUUCAUGUUAUUCAUAAUACUUAACAACAAUUGUUGUUUUUAUGAACAACUCUUUUGCAACAAACAUUGUGCAAUGGGCUAGAGUGUAUGAAACUCUAAAAUGAAUUAUGAAAGUAAACCCAGAGGUAUUGUAUUAUUAUCAAUAUUCAUAACAUACAUCUCAUUCAUAAUGAAAGUAUGGCCCUUGUGUUAUUCAUAACAUCGAACAUAAAAGGUUCUCUUAUGAACAACCUUCUUGCAAGAUACCUUAUGCAAUGGGCGAGAGUUUGUAAAACUCUAAAUGAAUUAUGAAAAUAAAUACAGACGGCAAUACACCGAUGGAAGGUAUAGUAAUAUUUACUAUGUUCCCUGUGUAUACCUUAACCUCAUUUCUGGCUAGUCUUUUUAGGCCAUAGUAGCUCUUACAGUGAUUCGCAAUUGAAUGCAAUCGAGCGGGUAUCUUUGUGAUUAACUCACAAUACCCAAGAAUUAGUGAUCAUGUUUAACCAUAAUUCCCAAGAACUAUAUCUUUGACCAGCCUACUAUACAUCAAAAACUUGUAUGACAUUCAUACAUGAGCUGGAUAUUCCAGUCAUCUUUCUUUCUGCCUUUAUACUUCUAACAGUUUAACUUUUAGUAUUUCUCCUACUCGCAAAAGAAGCACCCAACUUAAGAGUGGCGUUAGCCCCAGACUUCCUAGGCGUGUAAGUCAUACUAACACCCUUUGGACACUUCUUUUCUCUUUAAGUUGUUGUUUUAUUCACCUUUCAUUAUAUGACAGGCGUUCUUCUGGAUCCCUUUCCCAACAGUCAAAUGCAUAGUAAACACUUUUACUAAUACUUGCAAACAAACAUUGCUUUGUUUGUAUCUGAAAAUAAUUUCCAGUUCCAUGAAUAUCAUAUAACUAUCCCAACUUUUGAAGUUUGGGUUUCAUGGAAGCAAACAUAUUGCACUUGACUGAAACGGAAUUAUAGCUUUUGGAUCGAAGGACGAGAGUCACAUGAUCCAUAGCAUUAGCGGGAGGAUACGGAAAGCAUGCGAUAGGACAAAGUCCUUCUCGGCACUUUUGAGGACAAUCCUCAUAUUACGUUACCAAUCGUAAAGUUUUAACCAGAUAUUUAACAGCUAUUCAAUUUUAAUAGGGAAGGUGGAAACUUGAGCCAUUAUUCUACAACUAUCUUGCAAGAAACACUUAGACAGUGUUCAUAAUUAAUUGCACUGAGAAUUAAACAUGUUAAUUCAACAGUGCGCUCCCACUCAAAUCAAUAUCUCUCAAAAUUGAUUGUGAGUGAUACAAGACCCACAUUUCAAUUGUUCGCCAUUGGUGUAACACCACUGAUGAUGAAAAAUCUCAACCGGUAGGCCAACUUGCCAAUCACAUCUCUAUGUGACUCUUGUUCAUCUUUCGAUGCGUGUGUUCCGAGCUCAUGACGGUCAUGCCUGAACGUCAAGACAACCAAGUGAUCUUGCUGCGAGGUCUCAACUCACCCGCCUCACACUUCUCUAAUCGUUCGUACCCGUGUGACACGGCGCACCCCGAAAAGAUAGGUGCCGUGACGGUGCUACACUUGGGAGAACACUAACUACUUGGUAUUUUUGUGAGAGAUCACCCUAAUAAAAAGCGACUACCGCGCAAUCAAGAAGGGUGCAACAUAAGGGAUAAACAUCUCAGGCAAUUCAUAAUAGCAUGAUAUGGUAUAGCCCUUUCUGACGGAGAAGUAUUUCAUUUCUUCGUCUUCGGCAUUCGUGUUGGGGAACGCGACAGAAAACAAAAAUUUUCCGACCUACGCACCAGCCCAGGACCACUAUGGAGACUGCAUACAUGGUUUGAUCUUUUUCGUUACCGACUCGUAGCGCAGCGGGAAGUAGAGUCGAUGAUGAUCGGCGGUGCAGAUCCCCGCAGCUAGGAUUUACAACCUCCCAACCGCGAGGAUGUAUACCCUCAUCUGCUCCUCAGACAGCCCUCCGGGAGGCAGUCGAACAGCCCCCCGGACGGUGUCGCAGACAGCCCUUCGGGAGGACCUUCGAAACUCGAACGGUCACUCGGACAGCCCUCCGGGAGGACCUUCGAAACUCGGACGGUCACACGGACAGCCCUUCGGGAGGCACUCACGAACUAAGACCGAAACUACGAUCUCUCUACAGAGUUGCACACAUACGGUGUCAUCUAUCCGGCAGGGCUUCGCCAUCCAGAACUAGUUCCUGCCGGAACCCAGACAGCCUUACGGCUCUACGAAACUCUUUUCGUGGGAGGGAGAGAAGAAGCCAGAUAAUGCAUGGCAUGUGUAUGAGAGCAAGGGAUGAGUGUGGAGGGCUGCCCCUCCACCUCUAUUUAUAGGAAAUCCCAAGGGGGUAGGGUAGUUUCACAAAAAACCCAAAAUGCACAUGAAUGAAGUCCUUCCACAAGGACCUAGGAGUGAAACCAAGGAACAAGAGGGUCCCCAAGGGGGGAUACCCCAUGUGGCCGGCCACACCCCCAUGAGGGGCCCAAAAAAUGGCUCCUAUCCAUCCAUGUCAUCCCCAAGAUCUUUUGAAGCAAAGCCCCAAAAGGUGGCUUUCCAUAAAGUAACCAUAAAGCUGAUUUUCACUAUUCACGACGACAUUUUUCAGCGUCUGAUCGAACUGAAAAUAUUUAUGUGGGCUAAGAACAUUUCCAGUACCCACUAAAAUGAUUUUCAACGCGUUCCGAAACAAUUCCGGUUUUAGUGAUUUUCAUCUGCGAAACGCAUCUGAAGUGGCUCCGGCAGCUCCGGAACAUUUCCGGUUUUUAUCUCAGAAAAUUCCAAAAAGCUUCCAGAAUGAUUCUGGCAUCCUCCAAGAAUUAUCAGGCAUGUGCCGAAACCAAUUUGACUUAAUGGUGUAUCCUGAAACAACUUUUCGGUAUCAUCGAAACUUAUCCGAUGACCUCUCUCUGCGGUACGAUUCCGCUGUCCGAAACUUUUCGGUGUCCGAAACUUUUUCGGUGAUUUUCUCUCAGACUCCCUGUCUAGUAUUCAGCAGAUAGAUGACCCUUAAGCGUGUGACCCUAUAGGUUCGGUGAAGUAUAGACAUGAACCGGAACCCCUUCCGAUCAAUGAUCAACAUCGGAGCCGUGGACACCCAUAUUGACCCCUAUACCCACACGAAUAAAUAUUUGAGUGAACCUCCAGUUGCCGUGUGCUAUUCCUGUUGCUUCGCGAUAUGUUACAAAUACCCGAGGUGAGGCAUGUUGGCAUUCCCGUGGAUCAACAACUUGUCCACUAUGCUAGUUACCUCGUUACCGGUUUUGUUCUCUUUUCUCGUUUCGUGUUCCGGCAUCCCCGUGAUCAAAUCACAAAGUGUCUGGCCAGACAAUGAUGAACACCGUAACACCGAGAGGGCCCGAGUAUAUCUCUCCAUCGUCGGAGGAGCAAAUCCUAAUCUCGAGCUAUCAAGUCACUUAACAUACUUUCCCAUGAACCCGUAAGCCGCCGUAAUAGCCAUCCAGUUACGGAUGACGUUUAACAAACCCCAAAGUUCAUGAGGCAAGCAUGAAGAAACUCGAUACUCUCAUGGUCUAAGGAAUUAUGCAAACAUUAACUAUCUCUGUGUAAUAAACCAUUAACUUGUGAUGAAUGUAUCUCAUAACAUAACAUCAAUUCGGGUCGAUUCAACAAAAAUGUCCUUCCUGACAUUGUGCCCUCAAAAUUGCUUGGCGUAGACAUGCCCAUGAUUGGGAAAACAUAAUCAUCAUGCAACACUUGAGCUAGUCUUAGAGGCACGACUAGGAAUACAUUUUACCGUUUAUUAUUCCACACGUGCAUAUGGGUUCUCCCCAGAGCCUUUAUGGAUAUACGGGCUCGGGAACCACAUCAGUUAUAGCAUGGAACAUAAACAUAAUUAUGAACAGGGAGAUAAUCAAUAACAUUUAUUAUUGCCUCUAGGGCAUAUCUCCUACACACACGAGCAACUAGCUCAUGACGUGCAAGGCUAGAAUUACGAUUAGGGCCAGACAUCUAAAUACGCAGCGAGUGGAACAAUGACAACCAAUGCUAGCAAACAAGAACUUUGUUUGUCUUUUAUUCCCAAUCUUGAACUAGCACUUGGUCGGGGUCACACAUGAUGGUGCACGCCACUUUAUUUGUCAUCGUUACAUCGAUUGGUGCAUAAGCUAAGCAACGUUGACCUAUCUACCUUUUAGUAUAGCUCUUGCUUUUUUUUCAUUGGCCACCAAUGCCGGCGACUAUGCUGGCAAAUGGUGCCCUGAUGGUGGAGCAGUAAGGUGGGACAUACACGUUGCACAUGGUUGCAAGAGUUUGCAACACCAAUGACCUAAUCACCUCCAAUUGAGCUGGUUGUUGAGGUUGGAUGAUGCCCUGACCUUGGACGAGAGUACCUUGACCUACCUGUUGCUGUUGAGACAGUGGCACCAGGAUUUGCACACCCUGUCGUUGUUCUUGUUGUUCUUGCUGCAUGAUGAUGGAAUGCACGAUGCUAUGGAUGGCUGCACACUGGAGUUGCUGAGGAAUUUGUGCUAGUUGUUGGCAACAUUGUUGCCGCAUCACCUGGCAAUCGCUUCGUGGCAAGAUCAUUGACCAGAGGGAUGACACCAAGGACACAGGUUUGCAUUGUUGCAAGAGGAAAUUCUUGCAUGGGUUCAACUGUUGUUGUAGAGAUUGUUGAAUCAACGAUGGUUGUUGUUGGGGGAAUGAUUGUUGUGGUUGUUGGGGCUGCGGGAAUUGUUGUUGGGGCUGGGGAAAAGGUUGUUGUGGUUGCUGGGACUGGGGAAAUGGUUGUUGGGGUUGUUGAGUCUGGGGGAAUGGUUGUUGUGGUCGCUGGGGAUAUGUUUGUUGUGGUUGUUGGGGGAAUGGUUGUUGGGGCUGGAUAAAUUGUUGUUGUGGUUGCUGAGGCUGGGAAAAUUGUUGUUGUGGUUGAUGGGGGAAUGUUUGUUGGGGUUGGGGAAAUGUUUGUUGCGGUUGCUGGGAGAAUGGUUGGUGAGGCUGCGGGAAUGGUUGUUGUUGUGGCCAUGGUACUUGGCCGCUAGGGUCGACCUGCAUAUUGGCGGUGGCGAUGGUUAUUGCCAUCACGAGGAUUGUUUGGAUGAGUAAGGUCUUCAUGGUGGAUUUGCGUUAACUACUACCUACUUGGAUUUGAUGCUUGUGCUCUAGUUGUGUGAAGGAUGGAUGAUGGUAUGGAGUCUACAUAUUGUAGGCCUUUUUAUAGCUACCAUGGUUAGGUUUCUUUUCAUUAUUGCUUUCCUUUUUUAAAGUGAUUCGAUGCUUAUCGAACUAAUUUUUUUGGCGUGUUGUGUUUGGUGGCACUGCAUACAAGCGUAAUUUCGGAGUGAUCAACAAAGUUGCCUUUUUACCGCUCAUAUUAUCUAAGAGUGAGGAAAACUUGAUAAUUGGCACUGACUCAUCUUAUUCACUUUACAUGUCAAACAAUUAUCUGGAUUGCGUUCCUUUUGGAUCUAAGUUUGUCAUGUUAUACAAGUUGUUAGGCAUAAACCAAAUCUUCAUAGCUUGUGGGGGACUAAAUUUGUGUCCUUGUGCAUGUUGUUAAGAUAGAUCAGGCUAGUAUUGUCAUGUUCGUUCUGAACUCUUAUUCCUUUUUAAACUAACUCGUAGUGUUGUAUAGUAUGAUGGUAAGAUGAACAAGCUGAUAGUAAUGUUGUACACAUUAUUAAGAGAUGAGUCAUCAACUUCUCUUUUUAUGUCAACGGUAGUAAUGUUGUACACGUUAUCAAUACAUGACUCAUCAUAUUCCCUUUUUACGUCAUGUGUUGUAAUUUUGUGGAAGUUAUUACUAAAUAUUGGAUUAGUACUUGCUUUACACGUCUUAAUUGAUUCACUCUAAGUACAUUUCAAGGUUUGUUUUCUUGCUUCAAUAGGUUAACUUAUUGAACUAAGUUUGUAUGUAUUAUUCGUAACAUUUGAUGCAUUUAGUCGAAGUUGUUCAUGACAAUUGUUGUUACUAAGAUUUCCGAGAAUGAUUUCGGGCAUUUACAAAAUAAAUAGUGGCAUAUUUGUACGGAUAUUGUCUUUGGAGGCCGAGCUCCAUGGAGAUCGGUUUUGAAAAUUUUGAAUUUUGUCUACUUGCACAAAUUUUUUCAGAUUUUUUUGUAACCGAAAAGUUCGAAUUUUGAUUUGUUUUAAAAAAAAAGGCCUCCAUGGCUCCCGGGAGCCACACGUCCACUCUCCAUAUUUGUAUCCUUAGAUAGCUAAAAGCAUGUAUUAUUACACCACCUACUAACAUACCUUUAAUCUACACAGACUUGUCAAGAAGUCCUUUAUUGGCGUGUUUAUCUACCUGACCGGAAGCCCAUCAAGUUCUAGUGUCGUAAAAGGAAGCAAAGAAUAGGUGGUAAAAUUGCUCAACAAGUCAAUCUUCUUGUUUGUUUAAUUACCUAGAACUGACGGUUGACUCCUGAGAUCUUGUGGGCAUAUGUUUUCGAAAUAAAAAAUCCACUCAAGUUUUAAUAUGUUUGACAUGAUUCACAUUUUUAUCUGAGGGUGGGGGUGAAAUAUGAACCUACAUGUUGCCGGGUCUUGGUGUGUCUUCAGCCAUUUUUCUUGCCAGUCCUCCUUGGACAGGUCUUGCCACGGGAGCUCGCGGUAGCAGCAUGUAGCUCCUAGCGCCAACAUUGUGUUGCCCUUCCUGCUGGAUUCUGCGCCAGCACAGAAUCCAAUGCAUUCUUUUUAAUUCACCUGCAAAUAAUUCUUUGGAAAUAUGGGUCGCUGGCAUCUCUCGUCUCCUUUGUUGCCGUGUUUAUCUACCUAGUCACAAGCCCAUCGAAAUCUAGUGCUGCAAAAGGAGGCAAGAAGAGACACUGAAACUGUCUAGUCGAUCGCAAUGUACUCCAAUGGCUAACGCAACUAGGAUCGCACCUGGCUAAAUCUGAAAAAAAUAAUAUAUUUGGUAGAACAUAAAUCUUUUGUGUUUUUGCCUUGCAAUAUGAUGGAUAGUGGCACAAUAUCCUUUCAACAGUGAACAGUUGCACAAGAUAUGCAACUUGCCGUGGAUAUUUUGUCCAGUCAAGUUUGUUUUUGUGGAGAAUUACUCGAUGGACACAUUUUAUGAAUGGAAAAAUGGCAGAGGAAAAGGAUAGAAUCAGUUUAUCAAUCCUUGUGUAAAUCAACAAACAAAUCUAACGUGGGCCUGAUUAGAAACAUCUGACAUAUACUAUUUAAUUAGAAUGUGUAAAUCAACAAUCAAAUCUAAUGUGUGCCUCAUUAACAACAUCUGACAUAUACUGUUUAAUUAGAAUCAGAUGCAAGAUCCAGAACAGUCAAGAUGGUCACACAACUCAUAAGCAUUGCCAUCAAAGGUUUAAAUUGCAAUUAGUCAACUUACUUUAGUAUAGUAUAUUCUUCAACCGAAUCCAUGUUUCCAACACACUACUAGGGAAAAGCCUAGCAGUAGCGUGGGUUUUAGGUAUAUCAGUAGCCACUAGUAGAAAAAGGGGCUUUGGUUCAGCCAGAAAAGAGCAUUAAUACCGGUUGCACUACGAACCGGGACUAAUGGUCCCGGUUCGAGCGGCGAGGGCACCGUACAGGCAUUACUCCCGGUUCAAAUGGGACCUUUAGUCCCGGUUGGUGCCACGAACCGGUACUAAAGGGUGCGAUGCCCAUUAGUACCGGUUCGUGGCACGAACCGGUACUAAAGGUCUAACCUUUAGUACCGGUUCGUGGCACGAACCAGUACUAAUGGCGUUGAGACCUUUAGUACCGGUUCGUGCCACGAACCNNNNNNNNNNNNNNNNNNNNNNNNNNNNNNNNNNNNNNNNNNNNNNNNNNNNNNNNNNNNNNNNNNNNNNNNNNNNNNNNNNNNNNNNNNNNNNNNNNNNNNNNNNNNNNNNNNNNNNNNNNNNNNNNNNNNNNNNNNNNNNNNNNNNNNNNNNNNNNNNNNNNNNNNNNNNNNNNNNNNNNNNNNNNNNNNNNNNNNNNNNNNNNNNNNNNNNNNNNNNNNNNNNNNNNNNNNNNNNNNNNNNNNNNNNNNNNNUAUCGCCUUUUCAGUUUUGUAAAAAGCAAAACAAAAUGAUAAAAACUUCAAAAGUUAAUAUCCUUCGAGAUGUAGUUAUGUUACCACAUCUACUAGUUAGGAAAAUUUAAAAACUUAAAUUUGGACAUGUUUUGCAAAAAGUGUAGGGAAAAUGUAAAACGGCUAUAACUUUUGCAUACGAUGUCAGAAAAAACGUAUAAUAUAUCAAAAUGUUCAGCACGAAAAUCCGCAUCCGAUUUUGACGGCCUACGGCCUGUUUGCAAAUUUUUAGAAUCCUCAAAUUCCAAAAGGAAAAAAAGUUAUGCUCAAAUUUCAGUUUUUUUAAAUUUUCGUUAAAUCUGGUCAAACUAUGGUCAAACUACUUAUUCAAGAAUUAUUAGUGUUACUAAAUAAUUAUUCAAGAAUAUUAGUGUUACUAAAUAAUUAUUUCAGUUUUUUUAAAUUUUGGUCAAAUCUGGUCAAACUGUGGUCAAACAAUGGUCAAACUACUUAUUCAAGAAAUAUUAGUGUUACUAAAUAAUUAUUGUUUUUUAGAACAAUAGCUUCAAACUCAAACAGUGAAAUGUGUGACUUCAUGCUCAAGCUAAACUCCUGAGGGUUAAUAGGAUUGACAUCUUACUAUUGUCAGGAAAACAACAAGUGCAGACUUGGAAACGAGGGAGAAUAGAACCCGGAAGUUAAGCGUGCUCAGGCUGGGGGAGUGGGAGGAUGGGUGACCGUUCGGGAAGUUAGAUGAUUUGGAAUGAUGAGGGGUGAUUAGAGAUUAAAUUGAGCAGUGAUGAGGGGUGAUUAGAGAUUAGAGGUUAAAAUAAUUCAGAAAUUUGAAAAUCGGGAAAAUAUUUCAAAAAAAUUAAAAAAAUCCUUUAGUACCGGUUGGUGUUACCAACCGGGACUAAAGGGGGGACCUUUAGUAACGACCCUUUAGUCCCGGUUCCAGAACCGGGACUAAAGGCCCUUUUUCUACUAGUGAGCGCGGGUGAGGGCGAUACUGAUACGGCGCUACAACUAACAGGUAGUAGUAGCGCGGGUGCCACCCGCGCUACUACUAUGUCCGUUAGUAGUAGCGUGGAUACCACCCACGCUACUACUAACUAGUAGUAGCGUGGUUCUGCAUCCUCGCUACUGCUAACUAAUUAGGAGAUAAAAAAAAUAAAUUUCAACCACGGCUGCUGCUACUAGACGUCAUCGUCCUCUGCAUCCAUGGCCGAUGCUGAUCCUGGAGGGGAUGAAGUCAUCCAUGGAGAUGUUGCUUCCCCAUCCAACUCUUCUCCACACCUCUCCUUUGCUGCUGCUACAAAAAAAGGGACAAGGAUUAGAAGAAGAAGAGAGAGAUAGAGAGGAGUAGGUGCAGCAACUCACCAGUUGCCGCCGGAGUUGGAGCCGAACCCCUAGAUGAUGCCAUGGGUUGCGUCCAUCAGAGAUCUGGCCAUCAUCAUGGGCGGCGCUCUGCUGGAUCUUCCUCUCCUUCCAGCAGCGGAGGAGGAGGAGGCAGGAGGGGCAGCGGAGGAGGAGGAGGAGGAAGGAGGGGCUACGGUGGAAGAGGAGGUCGCGGAUAUGAGGGAGACGUCGCGGCGCGAGGCCGACAGUUGCGGUGGAGGAGGAGACGCGCAUGUGCAGGAGCGCCAUGGAGAGAGAGAGGAGGAGGAGGAGAGGGACGGGGGAGAGGAGUGAUUUGGACGAGGAGGUGGGGAUUUCAGGGCUGUUAAAAAACCCAGCACUUAGUAGUAGCGCGNNNNNNNNNNNNNNNNNNNNNNNNNNNNNNNNNNNNNNNNNNNNNNNNNNNNNNNNNNNNNNNNNNNNNNNNNNNNNNNNNNNNNNNNNNNNNNNNNNNNNNNNNNNNNNNNNNNNNNNNNNNNNNNNNNNNNNNNNNNNNNNNNNNNNNNNNNNNNNNNNNNNNNNNNNNNNNNNNNNNNNNNNNNNNNNNNNNNNNNNNNNNNNNNNNNNNNNNNNNNNNNNNNNNNNNNNNNNNNNNNNNNNNNNNNNNNNNNNNNNNNNNNNAGUAGUGAGGGGUAAAAACCCGCGCUACUACUAUCAACUUAGUAGUAGCGUGGGUUUAUAAACCUCGCUACUACUAUGGCAUGUCCCGGGGGGCACGGUAGAGACUGCUUAGUAGUAGCGAGGGUUAAAAACCCGCGCUACUACUAUCAACUUAGUAGUAGCGAGGGAUAAAAACCCGCGCUACUAGUAAGUAGCAGUAGCGAGGGGUAUAGACCCGCGCUACUAGUAAGCGUCUGUGUAUAAGCUUUUCCCUAGUAGUGGUACCUAUUGGUUAAGUUAUGCUCAUAUGACUUCACUACAGAAAUAGCUAGCCUAUUCCUCUUCCUCUCUUGCGCAUUUUUUUCAUCUUGGUUUUCAUCGUCGAUCACCGCUGCUCCUAGUUUUCCCAUUCAGCAUCCCUCCCUCCAUCCCUCUCUCUCUUCAACCCUGCGGCUACCGCAAUGCCAUCGGACAGUGCCAAAUUCUCCUCUUUACAAGCACUGCCUCCUAAUUGUUUCGCUUGCACGGUGACUUAUAUUGUCUUCUCCGCACCAUUCUAAGUAGAAGACACCUCUUGUGGGAGGCACGACAUACCAAUGAGGCCUCGAUAUCUGCAUCCACCGGCUCAUAAGAUUCCGCCUCCCAUAAUCCGGUUCAACGACAUUUACCAAGGUCUUUUUGAGCAUUUAUUUGUGGUUGGCGUGCUUAUGUAGGAUGGGGAAGAAGGACUGGUCCACGGUGAUCCUCGAGUGGAAGAAGUCAAUAAGCCGUAUGUGGUCAACCAAGCCACCAAUGACAAUUACUCCAUUAUCGCCUUGCGCCCGGACACAAUGGAAAGGCUAGAGUUGUUCCAUGGGGCCACCAUCCUCCUGAAGGUACUACAUGGUCUAACCGAGCUAAUACUUCUUUCAAUUUAAGCUAUCUUGUUGGAUUGGCUCGGGGAUCUAUGGCCGAUUUUUUUGAAUUUGUAUUCCAAAAAAAUUCAUAGCUUUAUCAUGGUGACAGUUGGUAUAAGGUAGAAUAGACUGUUUUGCUGAGUUUUAGUAGUUUGCUGGGUUAUUUGUUCAACAUUUGAGCAAACAUUCUACUCAAAUUUAUAUCCUACUAUUUGUUUCACACACUUGUCUUACAAAGUGUCCACUGGUUAUGUUGAUUUUUCAGCUUUAACUAUGUAAGGCACGAGUACAAUGUUGAGAGUGGAUGUCCUGCACGCAGCGGCAGCUGAACGCAUUCGCGUGGUGAUGCGUGCAAGUUGAUUUGAAAAAGGGGUAAAGCGGAGACACAUCGCUGAUACAGACAAAUACACUGCCUCUCGUCCGUCCAUUGGGCUCGGGCCGUCGUACCUUGUGACACGGGAGAGGGACGUGCCACGCACGGCGUGCAGAGUGGGACAUUGUUUUUCUGCUCCACGGGCCCGGGGGUCUGACCGGAGAAGCUCUGUACGGACUGGACCUGUUGGUGAGGACACAGGUUAGUCGCAUGCGCUGCGUCUCGCACGAGCCCCUUUCCGUCUUGGUGGCAAAGAACAAGCUGAGCUGCGAGAACAACACCGGCGAGAUGGUGUUCGGAGUUUGGAUCUGCCCACUGAGAUGGUGUUCUUCUCCCACGGACAAAUCUGCAAGGGGUGGAGAAGCAUCACGGGGGUUAGUCUAGUCGUGGGGGGAGCUGCGGAAAGCGCCGGGGGCCUGAGGUUCGCUGCGCGGCGGAGCCGCUGCCUGAUGCGUCGCCCGGCGAGGGCGUAGCUCGUGACGUACAGUGCCGCAAGCAGGGGAGGGGAUGGCCGCCGCAACGUGUGGCAGCGUUUCGUUUCAUUAAUUGCGGUAGCCGCGUGGUUGGGGGUCGGGUUAUGUUAGACCGUGCGUGUCCUCCUCUCCUCUGACAUGCGGUGCAUGCGCUUUUUGACCGACCGGCCGUUGCCACAUGUGCCCUCCGCACGCGUACGCAGAAAAGUCGUCGGUCGGGGUGUGCCUUCUGACACAUAACAGUACAAUUCCAUGUUUUAUUACAUCUAAUCGGGGAUUAACUAAAACAUUGGUGAUUACAUAAACAUGUAUUGCACCCCGCUGGUCGCACCGAGCUACUAAUGCACAAGGGACUGCUAAAUUCAUUAUUUCUACAAUCAUGCUCUUGUGAGGCACGGCGGCGUCGACGGAACGCGGCAACGCAGAGGUGCUUGUGUGCGUGCAAAACGAUCGGUACUGCCAACGGCUGGUGCAUGGGCCUUAAAUACAUGCAGCUGGGUAAAGUGUUUACGUUAUACAGUGCGCGGUGCAACGGUAGUAUUCCGUCCUCUCGACUGCACAUGCGCAGUGCUUGCAGUAGCUGCGUCAGUCCGGCUGUCACUGCACAGUACAACGAAUACAACAUAUACGAAACAUAACGCUCGUCGGCGGUGCACUAUACUCCAAGUAGCACUUUGGCUGGUCCUAAUCGGGAUGCUGUGCCAGCCGUGGAUGCGCUGCGUGCAGCGAUGGACUUCUCGUACAAUGUUAAGUUUGUUACUUAGGUCAAAAUAUCCUUCUAAGGAACUUCUACACAGAAUGAUUUCUCAUCUGUUUGGAGUCCAUAGCAGCAAAUGUAUUAUUUGCUUUGUGUUCCUAGAUUGAGAUAAGUCAAUAUCACAGUGCAUAUUUAAAGAAAUAACAACCAAGUCAUUCUACAGGUAAAAGAAAUUUCUACAAUCAAUUAGAACUGAUCCUACUUAAGUUUUGUUUGCCAUCUGUAAACUGUUUCCCUCUCUCCAAUAAUCCAUAAGAAGAGUUUAAUGGCAUGUUUGGCGCUAGCUAUUGUGACUCAAUAUUUCCUCUUGCUCGCCGCAUGCUUUAUCUUUUACCAUGUGGAAACUUUAGUUUGAUUUUCACCUCUUUGGAGUUCCCUGUAGAAUUGCUUUGAAGAAUGUGUCGGUGCCAUCAAACUCAAAAUUGCACCAAUGCAAAAAUAUCCAGAUUAACAUUUAAAGUGAUGGAUGGUUUCUAAUCAGGCACUUGUUUUUCUGCUAAAAUGGCCCUUUUACUUCUAGACAUUGAAAUACGUUGAAUUAUUAUCGUGUGCAAUGUUCAGGAAAUCACUAACUGAUAGCUGCUCGGUCGGCUUGGGAGCACCAAUUAAUAGAUCAAUCGGCCUAUAAACUGGAUCAUUAGGUCGACCAUUAAUCGGUAGAUUACAUAGGAACCUGCCGGCACGAGCAACUAGCUAUUGAUGUGUAAGACUAGAAUUGCAGUUAGGGAUGAAAAUCUAAAUACACAGUGAAUGGAACAAUGACAAGCGAUGUUCGCAAACUUGAACUUUCUUUGUCUUUUAUUCCCAAGCUUGAAAUUGCACUGGUCGGGGUCACACAUGAUGGUGCACGCCAGUUUAUUCUAUCAUCGUUACAUCGAUGGGUAAAUCAACUAAGCAACGAUGAUCCAUCUACCUAUUAGUAUGGCUCUUGCAUUUUUCAUUGGCCACCAAUGCCGGCGACUACGCUGGAAAAUGGUGCCUUGAUGAUGGAGCACUCAGGUGGGACAUACACGUUGCACAUGGUUGGAAGAGUUUGCAACACCAAUGACCUGAUCGCCUCCAAUUGAGCUGGUUGUUGGGGUUGGAUGAUGCCCUGGCCCUGGACGAGAGUACCUUGACCCACCUGUUGCUGCUGAUAUAGUGGCAGCAGGAUAUGCAUGCCUUGUUGUUGUUCUUGCUGCAUGAUGAUGGAAUGUAUGACGGUAUGGAUGGCUGCACACUGGAGCUGCUGAGGAAUCUGUGCUAGUUGUUGGCAGCAUUGUUGCCGCAUCACUUGGCAAUCGCUUUGUGGCCAGAUCAUUGACCAGAGGGAUGACACCAGUGACACAGGUUUGCAUUGCUGCAAGAGGAAAUUCUUGCAUGGGUUCACCUGUUGUUGUAGAGAUGGCUGAAUGAACGGUGGUUGUUGUUGGGGGAAUGAUUGUUGCGGUUGUUGGGGCUGCGGGAAUUGUUGUUGGGGCUGAGAAAAUUGUUGUUGUGGUUGCUGGGACUGGGGAAAUAGUUGUUGGGGUUGUUGAGUCUGGGGGAAUGGUUGUUGUGGUUGCUGGGGAUAUGGUUGUUGUGGUUGUUGGGGGAAUGGUUGUUGGGGCUGGAGAAAUUGUUGUUGUGGUUGCUGAGGCUGGGGAAAUUGUUGUUGUGGUUGAUGGGGGAAUGUUUGUUGGGGUUGGGGAAAUGUUUGUUGUGGUUGCUGGGAGAAUGGUUGGUGAGGCUGUGGGACUGGUUGUUGUUGUGGCCAUUGUACUUGGCUGCUAGGGUCGACCUGCAUAUUGGCGGUGCCGAUGGUUAUUGCCAUCGCAAGGAUUGUUAGGAUGAGUAAGGUCUUCAUAGUGGAUUUGCGUUAACUACUACGUACUUGGAUUUGAUGCUUGUGCUCUAGUUGUGUGAAGGAUGGAUGAUGGUACGGAGUCUAAUAUUGCAGGCCUUUUUAUAGCUACCAUGGUUAGGUUUCUUUUCAUUAUUGCUUUCCUUUGCAAAAGUGAUUCGAUGCUUAUCGAACUAAUUAUUUGGUGUGUUGCGUUUGGUGGCACUACAUACAAAUGUAAUUUUGGAGUGAUCAUCAAAGUUGCCUUUUUAUGGUUCAUAUCAUGUAAGAGUGAAGAAAACUUGAUAAUUGGUAGUGACUCAUCUUAUUCACUUUACAUGUCAAACAAUUAUCUGGAUUGCAUUACAAUUAUCUGGUUUGCAUUCCUUUUGGAUCUAAGUUUGUCGUGUUGUACAAGUUGUUAGACAUAAACCAAAUCUUCAUAGCUUGCGGGUAACUAAAUUUGUGUCCUUGUGCAUGUUGUUAAGAUAGAUGAGGCUAGUAUUCUAAUGUUCGUUCUGGACUCUUAUUCUUUUUCAAACUAACUUGUAGUGUUGUAUAGUACGAUGGUAAGAUGAACAAGCUGAAGUAAUGUUAUACACGUUAUCAAUACAUGACUCAUCAAAUUCUCCUUUUAUGUCAAGGGUAGUAAUGUUUACACAUUAUCAAUACAUGACUCAUCAUAUUCCCUCUUUACGUCAAGUGUUGUAAGUAUAUGCAAGUCAUUAAGAAAUAUUGAGUUAGUACUAGCUUUACACGUCUUAAUUGAUUCACUCUAAGUACAUUUGAAGGUUUGUAUGUAUUAUUCGUAACAUUUUUUGCAUUUAGUCCAAGCUGUUCAUGACAACUGUUGUUACUAAGAUUUCUGAGAAUGAUUUCGAGCAUUUACAAAGUAAAUAGUGUCAUAUUUGUUUCCUUAGAUAGCUAAAAGCAUGUAUUUAUUACACCAUCUACUAACAUACCUUUAAUCUGCAUAGACUUGUCAAGAAGUCCAUUAUUGGCGUGUUUAUCUAGUACCUCCUUUCCGGUUUAUAAGGCUUGUAUGUAUCCCUAGAUCUAUAAUUUGACCAACAUAAUAUGAGCUGCAUAGUCUAAAAUUAUACCAUUAAAAAGUAUAUGAUUUGAAGUUCCUAAUUAUAUAUUUUUCGUGAUAUAUAACUUGUAUUAAGUUGGUCUAUUUGUCAACCUAGAGAUACGCGCAAGCCAUAUAAAUCGGAAAGGAGGUGACCGGAAGCCCGUCAAGUUCUAGUGUCAUAAAGGAAGCUAGAAGAGGUCGUAAAGUUGCUCAACAAGUCAAUCUUCUUGUUUGUUUAAUUACCUAGAACCAACGGUUGACUCCUGAGCUCUUGUGAGCAUAUUUCUCCGAAAUAAAAAAUGCACUCAAGUUUUAAUAUGUUUCAAAUGAUUGACGGUUUUAUCCAAGGGUGGGGGUGAAAUAUGAAUCUACAUGUUGCCGGGUCUUGGUGUGUCUUCAGCCAUUUCUCUUGCCUAUCCUCCUUGGGUAGGUCUUGCCCACGGGAGCAGCACGUAGCUGCUAGCGUCAGCAUGGUGUGGCCCUGGCUGCUGGAUUCCGUGCUAACAGAGAAUUCAGUGCAUAUAUGGAAUUAACCCGCACAAAAUUCUUGGGAAAUAUGGGCCGCUGGCAUCUCUCGUCUCCUUUGUUGCCGUGUUUAUCUACCUGGUUGCAAAUCUAGUGCUGCAAAAGUAGGCAAGAAGAGACGCUGAAACUGUCUAGUCGAUCGCAAUGUACUCUAAUGGCUUACGCAACCAGGAUCAUACCUGGCUAAAUCUGAACAAAAGAAUGUAUUUGAUAAAACAUAAAUCUUUUGUGUUCUUUCCUUGCAAAGAUGGAUAGUGGCACAAUAAGCUUUCAGCAGCGAACAGUUGCACAAGAUAUGCGACUUGCCAUGGAUAUUUUGUCCAGUUAAGUUUGUUUUUGUGGAGAAUUACUCCAUGGACACAUUUUAUGAAAGGAAAAAUGGCAGACGAAAAGGAUAGAAUCAGCUUAUCACCCGCUCUAUAAAUUAACAAUCAAAUCUAACGUGGACAUCAUUAAAAACAUCUGACAUAUAUUGUUUAAUUAGUAUCAGAUUGAAGAUCCAGAACAGUCAAGAUUGUCAUACAACUCAUAUGCAUUGCCAUCAAAGAUUUAAAUUGCAAUUAGGCUUUACAACUUACUUUAGUAUAGUAUACUUCAACUGAUUCCAAUUUUUACACUGAUCAAUUAAGUUAUGCUCAUAUUACUUCAUGACAGAGAUAGCUAAUCUACCCCCCCCCCCAACCUGCUCGUGUUGUUUUCAUCUUGGUUUUUGUCCUCAAUCACCCAAUUUUUUUCCAUCCAUCACCUCUCCUCCCUCCCCAGUCCUCUCUCACUCUCGUCGUCCCUACGGCUACCACAACUCCACCAGAAACUGCCAAAGUCUCCUCUUUACACGCACUGCCACCGAAUUUUCUGCUCCCACGGUGACUAAUACUGUCGUCUCCGCACCGCUCUACCCCUAAUUAAAAGAUGCCUCUGGUGGGAGGCACGACAUACACAUGAGGCCUCUGGCGAGCAACGAUGAGGCCUCGACAUCUGCAUCUACCGACUCAUAAGAUUCCUCCUGCCUACAAUCCGGUUCAAUGGCAUUUGCUAAGGUCUUUUUGAGCAUUUAUUUUUGGUUGGCGUGCUUCUGUAGGAAGGGGAAGAAGGACUGCUCACGGUGAUCCUCGAGUGGAAGAAGUCAAUAAGCCAUCUGGUGGUCAAAGAAGCCACCAAUGAUUACUAGUAGAACGCCCGUGCGUUGCCACGGGCCAACAAAUGGAUCUAUCAUGAGCCCCUCAGCUUUCAGCCCUUCGACCAUUGUGUCAUUACUUCGCUAUGUUGUCACACUACUCCAAAUCCGUGUUCCCUCCAAAUCAAUCAAAUUGUCGAGUCCAUCAUCUCGAACUCAUGGACUAACAAAUGUAUGAAUCAUUUAGCUUAAGCUCUACAUUGCUACCCAGCUCAAAUUCGCAUAUGUUUUCUCCAAGUUUGCCAAAUUGCCAUAGGCAUUCCCAUCAUCCUAAGUUUGAAUGUCUUCCAACAUUUGCCACUCACUCCCUCCUAAAAGUUCUGACAAAUUAAACAUUUUUUUCAUAUAAUUUGCAAUGUUAUACAACAAAAGUCGCAAAUUCCUCUCAUUUUUCUUUUUAAGCAUUGCAUGAGAGCUGAUAGUUCGACUUGUACGAACCCUCCUACCUCAUGAUAAGAACCACCCAUGCAAAGGAAAAUAGCUAGAUCGUAUCAUAUGCAUAUAAUGAUCAGGGUGUAGCACUUGUGUUGUCGAAUUAGUUGUUAUAAAAACAAUUUGUUUCCACUUUACACAAAAAAUCACAUGAAACAAUUUCUUCUCGUUUGAAUUGAUGAUUCAUGCAACAUCUUUGUAUUCUUUUAUUUAAAUGAUUGCAUGCACCAUAAAAAUAGUAGAACUAUGACACCUUCUCGCCAAAAUAAGGAAACAAAGGCAACCUCGGCUUCGGUAUGAUGGUUUUAGUAUAUCCUUGCAUGCGUCAUGAUAAGUCCUGCGUGUUUUAUCAGAUUAUAAAGGAAGCAGUUUGCUGCAUACAUUGAACGAUGAUUUUAGAAUUCAGAAUGGAUUUUUUGUUCUUGUACAUGUUUUAAGUGUUAUUUUGGAGCAGUUUUCCAGGUUGUUAUUAGGCAUAAGCAUAUUGUUCUAGUACUGUAUUUAGUAUGUAUCAGGGACUCAAAAAGCUUCGGCAAAUCUUCUAUUUGCAUAUGUUUCCUAUAGGAACAAAAAAAUGUGUUUCUGAUAAUAGAAAUCAAAAGCUAGGUAAAGGAAACGAUCAAAAAGCAUCCCGGAAACUUUUGUUCUUCUUAUUUAGACCAAAAAAGUUUCUACAUAUACUGUGUCAAUGAUAAAUCUACAACCACAAUAAUAUAUUAAGAGCGAAAAACACUAUAGAAUUAAAAUCUCAUGAAUCAUAAAGGACAAAUAGCUCACCAAAUCCCAUUUUAUAAUGUAGUAAAGAUAUACAUCAUUUUGUUUUGACUCCCUCUCCCUCCCUCGCUCACACGCGCACAAGCUAGUCGUCGUUGUCGUUGUUGAUGUUCAUGGUCCUUUGCCCCUCCUUUUCCACCUCUCAUCAGUGCCUCUUCUUGUGCUGCAAAAGAGAUGCAUGUUGGUGGUUAUGUUUGCCUCCCUUUUCAAGUCGUGCCCACCUUUAGUGAGAGACGUAAAAUGAAGCCGCGAAAAAGAGGAAACAAAAUAAGGAAUUUGGAAUGUUAUGGCUAAUGGCCGAUCGAAAUAGAUCAACAGAAAGUCCCCAUCUUUCCAAAUCAACGGAGAUUGCACCACAAAAAGAACAUAGAAAAUCAUUGUAUUGUCACAACAAACCGGAUCAAACAAUCAAGCGAUUGGAGCAAACAUUCAGAUUAGAAACAUAUGAUAGCUCAUCACAUGUCUCUGCUACAUCUACUUGAGGUUAUUGUUGGAGCUCCACGCGAUCUCCAGCCUUCUUCAAUAACCUACUGACUGAAUGUUAAUGCGGACUUGUAUGAGAAUUUGUCAGUAUCAUCUGCAUAGUAAAUGCCACUACUAUUUAUGGAGCAAGUUUUCCUUUAUUAGUUCACCCGUGUGCUCACAAAAAGGAAGCUUAGAACCGUUUGCUCACGAAAGGAAGCUUAGAAUAUUUGAUGUCUAGAUCAAAGAGGGAGCAAUAUAAGCUUCAGUAUAACCGACAAAUAACUUAGUAACUUAGUAAUAAUAAUUAUUCAAACCUUCAAGUACUAACAAUUAAAAUAAGUAGCAAGGAACUUAAGGUAAGCACAUAGCUAAUCAAUAGUGACUACCAAGAAUUGUUCAGUUCUAUUUUCUAAACUGUGUACCAAUUAGCUCUGUCUCACAAUUGCUCGUGUUCUACUUAUGUCUGAGAUGAUUUGUUCAGCCAAAAAUCCUAAUGUAAGGUAUCAAAUUAUUUGAAAACACAGUCAGGGAAACUUAGAUACCUGUGAACUCCAAAUGCAUGAAAUUCCUGAACAACGAAUCAAUUCUUCAGAAUCUGCAGAAGCUAGAGCACCAAAAAAAGUAUUAUCACUCUUGAUUCUGAGAGGAAGAUGUAAGGAACCAUCCGAAUCUAAUUUUGUUUGUCAUCAUACCUAAGCCGAGCCUGACCUUGUUGUCCUGGCUGCUGCAUUCCACAACCACUAUCUCGAAUUGGUGCAAACAGAAGCAGGCCCUAAUCAGAACUGAGAAGAAGACAUCAGAGACCAAUUCAUUAGUAGUUUGGAAAGAUGUAUCAGAGGUAACACGUACCCGAAGCCCAGCCGCAAUAUCAUGGCUAGUGGAGACCUGAAGAACACAAACCACAAGCGGAGACUUGGAGUAGACCAGACGCGAUCAUCAUGAUGUCGCUGCCAAAUGAGGCGGUGCUAUGCGAGGUCUCUAGGCAGGCUCUAAACUCCUCAAUUUAUUGUUUUAAUUUACCACAGUGAGCAAGGAACCGUGUUAAAUCUGUACCAGUUUCUGAAAAUCAUAGUUAAAUCAAGAUUAUUUCAAAAAAACUCCAGAGCAAAUCAACCAACCCAAGACUCGUCACACAACUGAUAAUUUCUCCUACUUAAAUUCAGGCAAGUAGAAGCACCAGGGAAAAAGUACUACUACCUAGCCCUUGAAUCCCUCCUCCUCAAAUUUGCAUGCAAGGCACAUGCAACUACAAUAUGUCCACUGAAUCACAAUUCUGGGCUUCCUUCGCAUUGUCGAGUAAGCUGACAAUUGAUACGUCACAAGAUUUACAAAAGCAGACACCAACAAAGUACUUGACAUUUUUUUUUUGAAAUGGAGGAGGACCCCCGGCCUCUGCAUCUGGACGAUGCAUGCAGCCACUUUAUUAAUUAUUCACACAAGAUCUUACAAAGUCAUACAACAGUAAGGCUGAAGCCACCGUCUAGGCAACAAAAGUGUCGCUACUCCUAUCCAAGUGAUGAAGGGAUGCUGAUAGUCUGGGCCUAGUACCAAACACACCUCGCAGCCAAACCUAACAUCUAAGACCUGAGGUCCCAACCAGGACGCCUGCCGGGUAUGGGUCACCUACCAGUCCGGCGCACUCCUCAACCAGGACGCCUGCCGGGUCUGAGGCCGCCGCAGCCACCUGCCACCAAUCCAUCUUCAGAGAUGUACUGCUGCAUCUACCUUGCCCGGUCUAGCUGCCGUCGACGCCAGACCGCGUCACCCUCCUGUGCGAGUUCAUCUCCGCGCAUCGGACGCAGAGUCACCACAGCGCCAUGCCGCCGAGACCUGCCGCUAUCAAUGAGUGAGAUGCCACACCGCUCCACCAAAAAAUCCGUCCUCUGGUCUUGCAUCCAGCCGCUGCUCAAAAAAAUGAUGCCCCCAUGAGGGAAAACGACACCAAAAGCACCGCCAUCGUCCGAUCCGGAAACUCCGGAUCUAGGUUUUCACCCAUAGCAGCGCAAGCAAGUCGACAUAAGCUGCAGAGGCGAUGUCUUCAACAAGAUAACGACGCGAAAACGCCGCCAUCGCCCGCCAUGACCCGAGUGAUAGCACGGUUUUCACCGGCAGCCUCGUCUCCCCACUCAACGCCGGGACUGGAUGCGAGAAUCCACAACCAUCUAGCCGACCACCUCCGGCGAAGAAGAUGGACACCACCUCCACGCCCAGGGCCGGAGCCACCGACGUCCUCGUGUCGCGUGCCUAGUCCAGAGGCCGCUUGCCACGCCGGAACAAAGGAUGCGCACGACGGCUCGAGGAACCACCAUCCAGAUCCGAAAGGGAUCCAGAUCGGACACCAUAGCCGCCGCCGUGAUCUCUUCGUCGCCGCUGCCAGCACGACAACCCUGGUCGCCACCGGCCUGCGCCACCGCCCUUGAAUCGGCCGGAGUGGGUCGCCGCCACCCAGAUCCGAUCGCCGGCCGAGGAAGAUUGCCGCCGCCGCCGCUGCGGCCCGCAGGCUUAGCCUGCGAUGCCCUUGGGGGCGGCGGCGGGAGGAGAGGAGGCCCGGCGGGGAGGAGAAGGAGGCCCGGCGGGGAGGCCCCGAUGCGGCGCGGCGCCGCCGCACGAGGGGAGGAGGUCACGAGGAGAGGAGGCCCGGCUAAGUCCCUUUGCCUGAUGUACUUGACAUAACCAGCAUAUUUAUAUGUAUAUGGAGAUUCAGGAGGGACAAAAUAGGUGCAGAACAAUAAAUGCACAGUUGGCCUUGCAGGAUCAAAAGAACCUACAAUAUAAUGCACCAUCAGUUCAUUGCUAACUGCUUGCAAGUAGUAUUCUUUAACAUCUAGCAUAAAACAGUAGAAUCACAGUACCAUUGCUCUCUUUCCGACAGUUGAUAUUCACUUAAACGACAUGUUUUAUAAUCUAGCAACAACAUAACCAUCCCCAAUUAGCCAUUGAUCUCUCUCUCUCACACACACAUACGCAGCAAAGCUGGCACAACAACAAUAGGUAGCACGAUGCGGCCUCAUCCCAUCAUCUCAUCUCCGUAAGAAGGUGAUGCUGCUGCAUUACCAUGGAGCCCGUAGAAAGGCUUGACGGCACAACACACAAACACCACCAAAUUGGGCGGCCAUUCGUGACCUUCGCUUUCCUGCUUCCCAAGGCCUCAAGGUUAAUUUCUUUUGUCUAGGUCAAGAUUUUCAAGAGAAGAUAACCUCACCUCCGAGCCACCAUGUCCAUCAUACACGACGAGCAUCUCUCUUCCGGUGACUUGGCCUAUUACUAUUGUUGUAACAACAAUGUCAUCCCAGUACUUGAUGUUCUUCUUGUUAUUAUCUCGAUGGAAUCAUUUGAGUUUUUCGACCAAAUGGUUGUCUGCGUUUGAGGAUAGAUUGGCUGAGACAAACAAGUAAAUCAGUUCAAAUGAAUAGCAUCAUAAAUUGAGCACUGAGGCAAGUAAUCUCAUUACCAAUCUUGCAUCUUCUUCCGAUGUCCAAGCCAUACGGUGUGCGAUCCUACCGGGUUUUGAAUCCCCUUCAAGACUGACGACAACAUUGGUGGUACUUGGUCAGCUACUGCGGGCAGUUUAAGGGAAUUGUGCAAAUGGUGUUAGACACAUAUUAUUUAGUCCUUCUGAUCUAUCCUCCGCACAACACAUAGUGGAAAUAAAUUCUAUUAGCUAAUCAAAAUAGAAAAUCUGAACAUUUGCAAAAUUACUGUAUCAUGCAACCUGAAUAAACCGAAGUAGUGGACGAGCAUACAAACUGAACAAUCCUACUGUUAUUUAUCUGACUGCUCCGUGUUAACGGGAAAAGUUGGGAAAAGUGCCUUUCCUUUUUGCGGUUUAAGUGCAAGGAACUUGAAAUAGGAUCCUACUGCGUUUUUAGUGGAACGCCUUUUAAGGCAGAUUCCUUUAGUAAUAUAUAAUCUAUACAUUCAAUUCAUCAACAGAGAGGGGCUACAUAAUACCACAUUCUCUGAAAAAUAAACAACACAAGGAUGAAUUUGAGAGGGGGAGAGAUGACUUGCUCAUUAGUCAUUACCUUCUGGCUAUGAUGAAUGGACCAGCACACAAGGUGGAGAUCAGGGCGUACAAGGGGGAGCUGGCUGCAGGUAGGAUGACUCCGGCAGAGAGAAGAUCCUGGUGGGAGGUGUGGGUUGAGGUUGUGCCCACUGGGGUGCCAGUCUCGAACUUCACGACACGGGGCGGUGCGAUGAUGGGCUUCUCGAGGUCCUGUUGGUCCUCGUCCAUGACAAGCGCCUCGACGCCCGGGCCAUAGACCUCGUCGAUGACAUUUGUUGUUGAUUAUUAUUAACAAUAUUGGCAAUGGCAAUUCAGCUUUCUUUCUCAUCAAGUAAUUUAUUGGGAAGUCGUUGAAACAGAGAUCACAAUUAUCAAUCCGUAAACCUGAAGAUUCCGUCAAGAGCAAGGACGGAAAAGCAAAAAAGAUUAGCCAUACCAGCCUAUGUUCAGUCACAUCCAAAAGUUUAGGACAUAAGCACUCACCAACUAUGAGUUCUGAGCUCCAAAGUAAUAACCCUGCCCUACUAAAGUCCUGAUCAUGUUCAGCUAUGCCAAUUUCAUAUUGACAGAUAUUGGUUUAACCUACGAGAGCACAAAUAAAAACCAUUUUAUGGUCUACUCUUCAGUCUUCACUGAAUGAUAUGUUCUGCAGAACAAGUAUGCUUGUCAAGCCUCGCGAUAAUGCAUGACCAAUAACUAUAGCCAUACCCUGCUAUCAAGUUUUUGAAAUCGUUAACAUCACCCUCCUGAAAACUGAAGGAAAACAGAUGCAUGACAAAUGCCAAUGGAACGGACAAAGCAUGAGAUGAAGGCAACUAAAAUGAAGAUAAAAUCGAGAGUUUACAUCCCAUAGCACAUACCCAGGGCCGGCCCUGGGGCAGGGCGAACGGGGCGGCCGCCCCGGGCCCCCUCCCGUAUGCAUGUGUAGUAUUGGGGCCCAUGUUUAGAACGAUAUUUUUUGAAACCCAGGCUUGCGCGUACUGCGUACAUAGAAUGAAAAGAGAAAAAGGCCUGGCCCAUGUUCGCGUGUAGGCAGAGACGAACGUGGAAACUGGAAACCAAAUGGCUCGUUUCCGUGUUUUUCGGAUCACGGGAUCGAUCAGACCAUGCCCUUUUUUUAAAGAAAGGCCAUCAUGGCUAGCUUUAUUGAUUAUGGAUAAUGUUUACAUCGUCCCACUAGUGCAAAACAGGCCUUUAUCACCGGUUCGUAAGGGCUUUUAGUGCCGGUUCUGCAACCGGCACUAUGAAGUGGAGACUAAAGGCCCCCCUUUUAGUACCGGUUCGGCACGAACCGGCGCUAAAGUGCCACCACGUGGCACGAGCUAGGCCCGGAUGCUGAUAGACCAUUACUACCGGUUGGUAGCACCAACCGGUACUAAAUGUUUGGGGGGUUUUGGUUUUAAUUUUUAUUUUUCCAUUAAUUUUGUGUUUUCCAUGUAAUUCUUUUUUGUUUGCUGGUAUUUUACGAUACUACAUAUUGUACACGUUAUGCAUAUAUAUAAAUAGAUUUUCUCGUAGAACCGAUUAUAUAUAUAUAAUCGAAUGUCUCACAACCACCAUUAAUUAUUCACACAUACACAUGUAUAUAUAUACAAUUUCUCCUACAUGUUGCCUUGGUGCCUUCGGAGCACGAUGACAAGUGGUUCAUGGGGCGGUAGCGGGUAAUAGUAUUCUUCUUUGGAUCUAUGAUCUGGUCGAGCAAAAAUCCCGCUAUUUCCUCUUGAAGUGCUCGUAUGCGCUCCUCUGAUAGGAGCUUGUCCCGCACCUCUUUGAACGGUUAAGAAGGAGAUCAAUAUGCAUGUGUAUUAGUUGUGUGACUAGAUAUCGACAAUCAUGUAACAUUUGUGUAUAGUGUUCUGGCAAACGUACCUAGUUCUGUCUAUCAGAUCUGCUCCUUUCGGACGCCAUCAUGCGAAUGUUCUCGCAAACGUAGUAUGCACACACUUCAGUCCCCGGCGCCUGCUUCAGAGCCUUUACGACAAUAGAACUUAAUCAGAUAAUAAUUAAUCAAGCAUGUUAAUUAAUUAAUGGUAUUGAAACAAGAAUUAAAGAUAUGGUAGCUAGCUAGCUAGUACUACUUAAUUACUUACCUUGGGUCGAUACCAACUUAGCUUUUGUCGCCAUUUUCCUGAAGUCACCUUGAUGUACUUUGCCCAAGCCCUGCCCGCCGGCAAAGAAAAUUAAUAAAGGGGUUAUUAAAAAUAGUUCAUAUCAGGAAAUGACGAACUAAAUAGGCCGAGAUAUAGUUAAUAAUGAUUGAAAUAACCUGUCGACUAUCCCCUUCACGAUGCUGUAGUCACUAUUUUUUUUAAAUAGUGAGUUCAGUACUUCAACUUUUCCUUCUUCAACUUUAAUGUCUAACAAGAUCCAAUGGAAGCUGUAUGCGCAUACGUUUGCAUGUAUAAAUUAAGCGGGCAUGUGCAUAACACUAAUCAACUAUAACCCUAAACCCUAUACACUUAUUAACAUCUAGCUAGUAAGCAAAAACAGAAUUUGUAGUACAAAGACAGUGUGACUCACUCGAAGUUGUAAGGAAGUAGUAUAUCUUCAUUGCUAUUGAGGCGCUUCAAGAACUGUAGCAUGCAUUUCUCUACAUCUUGUCUACACCAUUCCAAUUUCCAUGUGUAUUCAUUAACGGUAUUUGGGUCAAUGAACCCAAUGCCAUAGCGUCCAGCUUUUUUCAUUUCAUACAUCUUCAUCCUGCAUAAUACCACAGAAAAGAAUAUAUAGUGAGGAUAUAUAAUUACAGGUACUUAAUGAUCAAUCAAUGAGCACUAGAGCUAGCUUGAGACUUAAAUUACAGAAAGAAAUCACUUACAGACAAUAGCAACUGACGAUAGAUUUGUCGAGUGCAUCUUGAUUGAAUAACUGAAAUAGUUCUGAAUACUCAACGGCCAGAGCUUUCUUAUGGAAGUAAUGAUCUUCCUCGACUUGCACCAUGAGGGACUCUCGAUUGGAAAUCUUGGUAAUUUUCAUGUACCAAUCAUGCAAUUCAUACAUUCUCGUUGGGAGGUUCUUGACCUCCUCGGGCUCGACCAAAGGUUGGCCCCGGACAUAUUUCCGUUUUAUUUCCUCCUCUCUAAGCGGAGACAUGGGCUCGAUCUUGAGGAGUUGUCCAACAGUGAUCUUGAGCAUUUCAGCCUGCAUUAUAUGUUCCUCGGUUAUUACCACAUCGCCCAGCUCAGGAACGUAAACGGUUUGCCCACAAUAAUAUAGGGCGCGNNNNNNNNNNNNNNNNNNNNNNNNNNNNNNNNNNNNNNNNNNNNNNNNNNNNNNNNNNNNNNNNNNNNNNNNNNNNNNNNNNNNNNNNNNNNNNNNNNNNNNNNNNNNNNNNNNNNNNNNNNNNNNNNNNNNNNNNNNNNNNNNNNNNNNNNNNNNNNNNNNNNNNNNNNNNNNNNNNNNNNNNNNNNNNNNNNNNNNNNNNNNNNNNNNNNNNNNNNNNNNNNNNNNNNNNNNNNNNNNNNNNNNNNNNNNNNNNNNNNNNNNNNNNNNNNNNNNNCUGCUUGUUGGCUCGAGCUCGAGCUCGCUUCUUUCUGUAGUCGUGCUCGAUGUGCCUUCCUGAUUUGGCGCUCAUAGUCUGAGUCAACAGGCUUGGGAGCUGGUGGUCUAGCCAUACGAAUGAAGUGGUCAAUCUUUUCCUCAGACACUUUCACCCUCGUCGGCGUUGCCGGUUUCGGUCGAAAAUGAGCGUCCACUUCGGCCCGCACUAUUGCAUCGUUUUGCUCCUCGGUCAUGUCGUAAGGCCUCUGAGGAAGAGGAGCGAGGAUGCUUGGACCAUAUUUAUAUCGCUUGUCUCCGCCUGUACUUUCUGUACUACCUCGACUCGUACCGCUACGCACCAUAGCUGCGGCGUGUCUCUUCUGCGAUUGCUUAGGCGGCGGAGACGGCUGACGUGGCUUAGUUGGAGCAGGAGGAGUGGCCUGACGCUGUGCCGGACUUGAAGGAGGAGGUGUGGCCUGACACGGUGUCGGACUUGAAGCAGGAGGUGUGGCCUGACGCUGUGCCGGACUUGAAGCAGGAGGUGUGGCCUGACAGAGUGUCAGACUUGAAACAGGAGGAGUGGCCUGACGCUAUGCCGGACUUGAAGCAGGAGUCUGCUCACGCGUUCGUGGACUUGGAGGAGCGGGAGUCUGCUGACACGGUGGCGGACUUCGAGGAGGAAUCGGCAGACGCGGUGUCGGUGGACUUCGAAAGAUGAUGCAAUCCUUUUUCCAUAGGAUGAAACAAUGUAUGGCCUCUCCCAGUGUUUGCUCGUCGUCACCUCCAGGAAUGUCAAGCCUUAGCCCCGAAUAUGGGCCCACCACCUCAUCAACCAAGACACGAGCAUAGCCCGCUGGAAUUGGGGCGCAAUGGAAGGUUGCUUCGGGGGUAAUUGUAAAAGCAACGGCGUUCGCCACCUUCAUGGAUAUGUUCUUCAUUUUGAAGUGUAGCUCACAGUUAGUGUUCUCUAUGAUGUCAUCCACAGGGUAUGUAUCCAGCAGUGCGUCGCCCGGGGCGGAACCAACGCUGCUUCUCGGCAUGGAUGGGACGGUGCUAUCCAAUGCUGGAUGAUCAUCCGCUUGCUGCUGCCGCUGCUGAGACCCCCUUUCCUGGCUAAGUGAGUCGAUCUGCUGCUGCUGCUGCUGCGGCUGGAAUUUGAGUGCCAAGUCCGCGUGCCUUGCUUCUAGGCCUUGAAGGCGUUCCGCGUCCUGCUUCCGCUGCUCCUCCUCCAGCUUCCUCUUCUUCUCCUCCUCCAUCUUCUUUCUUGCACGGGUCCUGUAGUCGUCGUUCCAUUCCGAAAAGCCCUCAUACCAGGGAAUAACGCCCUUGCCUCGUGUUCUUCCCGGGUGUUCAGGAUUUCCCAGGGCGCGCGUAAGCUCGUCGUUCUCUCUGUUGGGCGUGAACACCCCCUUUCGAGCAUCUUCUAUUGCGUCAAGUAACUUUUGUUCUGCUCCGUUUAGACUUGCCUUCUUCGAACCCAGGCCUGUCUUCGGGUCCAACGCCCCCCCAUGCGCAUAGAACCAAGUCCUGCACCUGGGGGGCCAGCUCCUAGUAACCUCCUAGUAACCAGAGUGACCCCUGCAUCCUCCAUCUCUUGCUCAGACUUAUCCCACUUAGGCAUUGCCACCGCGUAGCCACCUAGACCCAGCCUAUGGAACUGCGUCUUUUUUGCGGCAUUGGCCUUGUUUUUUCUCGACCGUUCCUUAGAUAAUUCUGAUUCCUUGAAUUUCACGAAAGCGGGCCAGUGUUCUCUUUGUUUCUCCAGUGUUCCCUUGAAUUCUGGAGUCUUCCUUUCUGCAGCAAGUUAGUUGGCCCAUACAGUUUUCUUGUGGGUGUUGAAUGCAAUUGCCAUCUUCUUAAGAGCAGCGUCCUUGACUUUCUGCACAUCUGCAUCAGUGAAAUAAUCUGGUAGGGUGAAAUGUUCCAUCAGAGAUUCCCAAAGCUUUUGUUUUGCUCUGUCGUCGACCCAAGUAACAUCUGGGCGUUUAGUUUUUGGCUCUUUCCAUUCUUGAAUGGAGAUCGGGAGUUGGUCCUUCACAAGAACUCCGCACUGACGAACGAACUUGCUCACAAUGUUCUUAGGCGUGAGGGGUUCGCCACUAGCUUUGAUGGAAUCGAUGUUGUACUUUACACCCUCCUUCAACUUUUUGCUCGGGCCGCGCUUUGUCCUGCUGUCUGUAGAAGCAGAUUUGCUCGAUCCGGAGGGCUGAAAGAAGAAAGAUUGAUUCGUUAAUAUAUCUUCAAAUAAAAAAAACAUGUGAUGAUCAAUAGAUGCCUGCUUAUAUAAAUAUACCUCGCCGGUAAGUCUUUGUUAUUUCAAGAUCAACAUUGUAUUCGUCAUCAUAAUCAUUGUCUGCGUCAUCAUAAUCAUAAUCAUAGUUCAUGACUUCAUCAGCUCGGUCGUCGAGAUCGAAAAAUCUUAUCAUCACCCUCCCCGGUAUUGUUCAGAUAUUGGGAGCCGUCAUUUGCUUCAUUCAGAUCAUCUGGCCUUCUAGGGCUGCGUAUGAUCUCGAACAGGGCCUCUUCUCCCUCUCUGCCGGUAUUGUCCGCCAUAGCUUUUAUUUAACUAAUACAGAAGAAAUAUAAAACAAUUUAGUAUUCAAAUUACAAUGCAUGGAUGCAAUCAAUAAGGAAAAACUGAAUCAUAUAGUACAUAAUAUGCAUCGUCUCGAAUAAUAUAUAAUCUCGAAUACAUCGUCUUGAAUAAUAUAUAAUCUCGAAUACAUCGUCUCGAAUAAUAUAUAAUCUCGAAUACAUUGUCUCAAAUAAUAUAUAAUCUCGAAUACAUCACUGGCUAGGUAGCUAAUAAAGAUCGAAUACUAUAGAAGAAUCUAGGCCACUCGCGGUUCCUGGGGCGCGGGCGGUGGACACCCAACCAUCACAGGAUCAUAUCUCCGGUCAUCUGCCCAAAGAACCUGCCAGGUAUUGGAGAACCUGACGUCCAUAGCAGCCAUGUAGCGAUGGACGUGCUCGUCCUACUCCCUGACACGACGACGCACCACCUCCGACGGGGCCGGCUCCCUCUGCACUGAGUGUGGCCCACGCGAACGCCACCAAAGGAGAUCAGGGUCGACGACGGGACCCGAGGCCGGGUUCCUCACCAAGCGUCGCGCCCCUCCAGGUAGCACCUCCCAGUGCCAGCCCGGCGGAGCCCAAUCCCGGACAUGGGUCCUCUGAAGCAGGACGUCGUCGCGAACGGGUCGACGGUGAGGAUGCGGGCCGGGCAUCGUCGACAACAAAUACUAUAUGCCGCAAAAGUAAAGUAACAUUUUUUAAAUGAUUGGAUUGUGAUUUCUUAUAUGCAAAUUCUAAAUUUUAUAACUAAAAAUAUAAUCAACUAAAAAAACAUCGACCAUAUCUAAAACUAACAUUUCUAUAACUAAAAUUGUAUAACAAAUUUUUCUUUAACAUUUCUAUAUAACAAACAUUUCUAUAACAUUAAUAUAGAAAAAACUAACAUUUCUAUAUAUAACUAACAUUUCUAUAUAACUAACAUUUCUAUAACAUUAAUACAGAAAAAACAAAAAAAA
rnacentral:lncRNA from 1 species